ACCAUAUUUAUUUCAUGACAUGAAGGUAAACAAAAGAUAACUUAGGACCACUAGUACAACACACAUAACUUAGUACCACCAAUACAACUCAAUCAAACCACUCCACUUUUGCAUUACGAACCUUUAUUAUGGUACUGCUAAGUCAUAAGCAGCAACUAUUGGUAAUAGCUGAUCACACAGUAAUGUAUAUAUAGACUUGGGACUAUUUGUUCUAAUUAUCUUCUGGUGGAGGUGGGAUGUACUGAGGGGCCAAGCUCCAGUCUCCAGUGACCUCAUCUUGGACCAUGUUCUUGUUCUUCGCCACCAACCAAUAGGCCGGAAUUUUUCUUUCAUCCUUCAGAGCAUCCAUUCCCUUGUUCACCAGCUCAAUCCCGCGACGCUUGUCAACAUUGAAUUCGUUGCUAUCGAUGCCUUGUGUGCCCGCGAUUAGAUGUAGGCACGUCUCCAACAUAUGCCCGAUUGCCACGGCGCCAGUCAUACCGCUGUAGAGAGGCUUCAGGUCCGGGGACUUGCGCGAGUCGACCAGCAGCUGUUCUCCGACGUGGUAAUAUCUGAUUGGAGGGAUGAAGGGAGUGAUAUCAAGGGCGUUGGUCACUCGAAGGGCUCGGAGCUUCUCGGACGACGAGAACUUCGCCUGGAAGUUCUCGUCCCCGACGUUGGGGCUGGCGAAGGGGAAUGCGGUCACCAGACAGGCAUUCUCGGGGUGGUCGGUGGGCGCGUUGUAGCCAUUGGUCAAGAUGUCCAGCGCAUUGAUCGUUGCCAAAGCCGCGCCCAGGCUGUGGCCGGCCACUGUUAUGCUGAUUGUCUCGCCUUUGCCGGCAUAGAGAUCGACUUGCUUCCGGACCUCCCUUAGAACCUGACCAAAGUUGUCCAUCAAUACCAGUUUUAAUUUGACAAAGUAGUCCAAACAUCACGUGCUAUAUCUUAUCAUAUUUUUAGAUUUAUAUAUAAUAAUAAAAAAAAGGUGAAGACAAUUUGGAGCUUAUUCGGGAGGUAAAUUAGCAACAGCAAUCUAUAAAGGAGUGAAAGUUUCAUACCUGGUCUCUGGCACUAAGCCUUGUGUACGGAUUUACAAGAUCCCACUUCGUAUACAAAUCUAAAAAGCCAGCGUGAAUCUUAGUAUGGGUGUCGUCCUUGAAAAUGUUGUUCGCCGGGGCCAAAUCAUCUCGAAUAUCUUCCAUGGACUCCAGGAAAUUCGCCGUUCCUCUCCAAGUGACCAAAAUGUCCCUUCUCCCUAAUGCCUGGGUCCCCUCAUCGGUGCUCACUGCCACAUAUCCGGCCCAAGACCUGUCCGGCUGCUCCAGAAAGGUCGCGUGCGACGGUACGUAGAAGUACCGGGUCACCUCAUACCUGAACUUGUUGUUGUCCGUCUCGAGACCCACUUUAGAGAAGAGCUUGUCCAUCGGGUACAGGGGCAUGCCGUAGCCGGCUCCAGACUCCUACUGGGCGUUGUACGCGUCGUAGAUGGCUUGGACUCGUUCUCCGUAGUGUAUGAGGUACAUCCGAAGAUCCUCGUCGAGAGGAUCCAACAUGUCCUUCCAGUUGGUCUCGCCGCUGAGCUCGGUCCAUGGCCUUGAGCUGCCGCCUCCCAUGGUAUGUAUCUCUCUCUCUCUCUCCCUCUCCCUCUCCCUCUCCCUCUCCCUGAACUCUCACUGAUAAUUGUUUUUUCUCUAGAUGGAAAGGCUUGUGGAGAUGCAAUCCUGCUUCCAUGCAAUUUAUAGACUCUACCUCUUCACUGCGCCAUGCGCGGUCACAUUACGUUUCGAGGGUUUGUUUUUUCUUUAAAUUGCUACGAUAAGUUACGUGAUGGAGUUGCUUUAUGCAUAAUCUGGCACGUGAAAAUCUCCCCUGAUUAUCUAUCAGAGAGUACUCAAUUUCUAGGUGAGUCCUCCACCUUUUUUUGCGUGCCCACCUAUAUUAAAUAGCACUACGAACCGAAUGGAUCAGAGGGACCGUGCAUAUCUUCAGUUUAGUAGAUAAGAAUGUGAAUUUCCAGUCUCAGUAGCUCGAAACUAAAUAUGAAAGAUUACAUGCCUGUCUUUCGUAAGGAAUGAUACUUGUGCUAUAAAAAUGUGCCAAUAUUUUGUUUCCACAUGAUGGGUAAUGCAGCUUCUGUGACGGGAAUGAACCAUCCACUUUGUAUUGGGUCUCACUCUUUAUAUAACUAAUUAAAUUCAAUCUUGCCGUAUUAGGCUGGAAAUCAUUGACAUGGACUCCGACUAUUGUAUAUGAUAUGACCGAUGCUGAGAUAAAUUAAUUUUAGAAUUUUUUAUUUUAUUGAUCGUGACCAACAAGAGUCAUGGCCCCCGCCUAGGCCAUAGCCAACCACGGUUGAGGGUGGCCCUUGCAUGAGAAAUAUUGCACACCUAAGUCAAUAAAUUGCUUCUCUGUCAAUAGGAGAAAUUUAGUAAUUAAGAAGUCUUCGAUACCUCUACAUUGUUUAGAUUAAAUAUCUAGAUGCGUAAAUUUGUACUUUCCUAUUUUUAGCAGUUAAAUGUAUUAGUCCUAUAUACAUAUUGAUGAAUUUAACAAAAAAUGCCAUUAUUAGGGAUUUUUUCGCGGUUUUUUUUUUCUUCAUGCAAGCGUUGCUCAAUGAAUGAAUGACUUAGCAUAGGUGGCAGGACCCUAGGUUGUUCUUGACUAUUUGGGAUGUUUUAGAGAGUUUUUUUGCUCGAUUGGCUGGGGACAAGGCUUAUUAAAAAUGGCCCUACCUAAUUGCUUAUUCAGAAUGGCCCUACCUAUUUUCUAACCCUUUUAAUUAGAUUUCUUGUCAUUAUUAUCUAACUGAUGGUCGGUUAUAUAUUCAAUUUUUCGAUCGCUGAAACUUGUCAAACGUGCAAAGCGUGCGAGCUCCGGGGAUCAUCCACCCGUUAUAUGGGCAGCUCGCUCUUGAACCACAUCAGUUCUGGAAUAUUUGCUUGUUUUUUUGGUUGGACCAUUCCAGUCCUCUUGCAUUAGAAAAAUGAAGGGAACUGUCAUGCAACGCAGUGAACAGUGGAAUUAUGGGGACAGCUGACCUCGACCAAGAGCAUCUCGCUGGUACAAAUCCUUUCAGUUUCCUGUUCCGCUCAUGCCUGAUUUCUUCCUCCUUCUGUUUUAACUCCGAAUAUAAUAUUUCUUGUUAUAUAACUAAAUACAUAAUUUCUAUCUCGUGACACUCUUAUUCUAAGACUAACAUUUUCUAUGAUAAGUUUGUAGAUGUUUUUUAAUUCAAUCGUUGCUAGUGAUUAUUGUUAAGAGCAUACAAUAGAAAUCUGAUAUUUCUACUUGGGGAGAUUGUCAAGAGGGGGUCUAAAUUUGAAUCUAUCAACAUAAUUAGUUGGAUCCAUCUUCAUUCAAAAUCUUAAAUUAAUGGGUCAUAGGCCAACUAAAAUUGUAUUAACUGCUCCACAUAUAGGAUUUCUCUAAUAUAACUCACACAUAUAUUUGAAAAAUCUCUCUCUCAUGCGUAAGCUCAUGCCAAUGCUCCGAUGUGAGAUUUUUCUAAUAUAAGUCACACGUGUGUUUUGACAAUCUCCCUCUCACGUGUGAGCUUAGUGUUAGGUAUAUUCUUCCUUAAUUUAGGUACUAUUCUACAUCAACUUAUUGUAAGUUGAGUCUCCACGUCAUUGUAAUGCACCCCCAACUAUGCACAACAAUAAUCAUCGACUGCUAACUUGGGAUUACAUCCCAUAGUCUCUAUCAUGCAGCAUAGACCAACUAUCCAUGUUCUCUUCUUGCCAGAUUAAUUGUGAUGGCAAUUUCCACGAAAAACGAGCAUUGAUCAUGAGAUUUCUUUUUUAAGUCGGAACAAAUUGGGGGUGGAACAGCAAUUGACUAUCGUCUUUGAUAUCAUUUAUUAAGAGUGCGCAAUAGAUACCAGAUAUCUUCACCUAGAGAGAUCGUCAAGAGGGAGCCCAAGUCCGAGCCCUUCAACAUAUCAAAUUGGGCCACCUUCACUCAUAAACUUAAGCCUAUGAGUUAUGAGUCAAUUAUGAUAUAUUAACUACUCCAUACCACAUCAAUUUUCCAAUGUGAGACUUCACUACCAUAACUCACGCAUAUAUCUCAACAAUUAUCGCCACACCUCUCAAGUCAAAAUUUUUUUCCUUAUAUUGCAACGUUAUGUCAUUACUAUUACUAAACCAUAACAUUGUAGUUUUUUUUUUCAUCGGUAUAACAUUGUAGUUUGAUUAAGCACGUUUUUUUCCUUGCUAAUCUCUCGAACUUUCUUGCUUUCUAUAACACAAUGCUUCUACAUCAUUUCUUUCUUUCUUUGCCUUUUCCUGCUCUCCAAAUAAACAGUUUUAGAGAAUAGGAAACGUGCACAUGUAUGCGAUGUAAGAUCCUAGAAUUAGACAUUUUAUGUAUGUCAUUCCUUGUCACUAGCAAAAACCGGAGGGCCUCAUUUAUCUUUCAUCUAGUGCCUUACGCAGUCCAAUGUCCCUCGGAGGUGUCUAUGAGAACUAAUUUAAAUGUCCCUCGUGCACGAGAAAAAUGAAGGGAAUUUCUUUUGGCGUGAGAAAAAUUAAUGGAAUUGCUGUGCUGUGAACGUUGGAUUAAUGAGGACCACAGUCCUCGACCAAUUGCUUAUUACAUAACUACUAUUAAAUACAGCAAUUUAUUCAUUCAUCGAUGAAUUACAUUAAGGUAGUUUGUGGUGAUUGUGUGAUAAAACAAUUAAUUCUUGGCAAAAGAACAACGCAAAUGCCAAAACUUGGCACAGGGAUACCUAAGUGCCAAAAGUUACGAAAGGUAUCCUUAAGUGUCAUUUUUUUUUUAAAAUUAGGACACUUGAAUGCCAAGUUCGGCGAUCCUAGUCGGAAAUCCCACGUGGCAAUUUUUUAGUAAUAUAAUUCGCCUACAUGGCUUGCCAGAGAGCUAAAUUAGCAAAGAAGAGCAAGAACAACGUCGUUUUGCCUUUUUUUGAAUUUUAAUAUUGAUAUUAAUUUAUUAUUAAGAUAAUGGAGGAGAUGAAGAUUGCAGAAGGCGAGGGCUUAGCCUUCACCGUCGUCUCCCUACCAUUGCCGGGAAGGGUUGGCCAGGAUUGUGACAUCCUGAAAUUUGACCUCGUCUCGAAUAUAUGAAAUAGACAUUUCGUUGACAUGCCUAUGGUCCUUUUUCUUUGAGUUGGCCACUCACAAGUUAAAUAAUCUAUUAGAUGAAGUCGUUAAGGGAUAUAAACGCGGCAGACUAGAAAAUUGCGGGUAAUUCCACACGAUUGUGAAAUUCAUGUCAAACGACACUAACCUGAUUUUCUGUCGAAUUAUACUCGGGACACGUAAUUGAAACCUUGCGAUUUUUACGACAAUCGAACGUCAUUUACGAGUCAGAGAUGCACAAACGUGGAUCGAAAAUUAUCGACCACGGGUUGUCGCGACCUCUUUUUUUUUUUUGGCGCCCGCAAUCAGGUACGGGCGCCUUGCGGAGCCUGAUGGCUCAGCUGAAAUUAGUUAUGCCUAGACUCUCCCAAGUCCAUCAAUUCACGACUUUAAUAGUCUAAAUUUUUAACCUAUAAAUUAAUUUUAAAACGGAGUCACCACUAAUCGGUUUGGGGUGGGUUGAUUAGAAACCCGAGCGAAGUAUUGGGAGAAAUACUCGCUCCUGCGCAACCAGAGAAAUUAGGAUCGGGGAGUUGAUUACACUAGUUAAUCACUAAUGCCCUUUCGGUACCUAAUCUUGUUUAAACCUUGGGGUUUUUUGGAUGUUCGAGGGAUUUUCCAUGCAUUUUUGGGAAGAAAAACAUUUUUUGAGUCUUUUUCUAAUUUUUUUGGACACAAAAGGGAUUUUUUUGGGAUUUUUUGAAAAAAAUACAAAUCUUUUUUGGCCUUUUUCUGAUUUUUUUUUUGGCUUUUUCAUGAAUUUUUGGCUUUUUUUGGAUUUUUGGCAUUUUUUGGAAAAUAUGGAAUAUUUUUGAUUUUUUUUUAUUUUUUUGGAAAAUAAAAUAUUUUUAUCAUUUUUUAUUAUUUUUCGAUUUUCUGGAAAUUAAAAUAUUUUUAAUAUUUUUCUAAAAUAAAAUAUAUUUUUGAUUUUUUAAAAAUAAAUUGUUUAUUUAUUAUUUAUUUAUUUAAAAUAUUAUUUAAAAUAAGAUUUAAAAAAAAGGGGCCGACCCGAAUCAGAUCCGCGGGUUGGGUCCGACCCGGGUCAGCCCAAAACGCAGAAGGGCUCGCUACGCGGGCCUGACUUUUUUUUUUUUUUUUUAAAACGACGUCACGGCCGGGCGUUUGGGGACACUCGGCCCGACCCGACGACCCGGCUCCACGACCCGCUCCCCUAAUGAAACCCUACUCGGAUCCGACCCGAACCUCGACCCGACUUCCGCCGCCCCUAAAAUCGCAGAAUCCCUACCCAUUUUCUAAACUCGGAUCUGCUUCGUGACCCGGAAAUCGCAGACCCUAGGGUUUGUGAAUUUGCGGCGCCAAAAGGGGGGGAAACGGGAGCAUUACGGUGGCGACGGCGGUGACGGUGGCUACAAUGGCUACGGUGACAGCAGUGAAUGGCAAAGGCGAUGGCCAUUAGAGCUUUGGAUGGACAGCGUAGGUAGGGCUCCAUCGUCACCUAUUCUCAGCUUUGGCGCAGCACAGUGGCACAGCUUGCGGUGACGAUGGCGACCUUUAGAUCUGGACGGCGUUGAGACGGUGUUUGGGGCGGCGUUGGAGCUGAAUCGACGGCGGAUCUGAGCCUCGACCGUCUCUACACUUUGAUUUCCCUUAUCUCUGUAGGCUCGCUUGCCCGCGGCCUCCCCCGGUGUCUCUUGGUGGGAGGCCGUUUAAGCUCACGACCUACCUCCGGCGGGCCUCAGAUCUUCGACUGCGCGUCCUCGGACCCCCCCUGAAGUCUCUCAAUGGGGAACCUGAAGUCUGCAGCCUUAGAUCCGACUCCCUCUCUCUCUCUGUUCGUCUCUUCGGCAGAAUCUCUCCCUCUCUGGCCGCGAGCUUUUGGAUCUAGGCUUGCUCGUCUUCGGCCCCCUUUCUAAAGUCUCUCAGUAGGAAGCACGAAGCUUUGCAGCAUUCGAUCGUUCUCGGCGUGCCCUUUGCCGUCGUUGGGGGAGCCCUAUUUAUGGCGAGGAGGAGAUCGGUCGAUGGAGGUUUGGCCGUCGGCCCUCGCACGCCGACCGGACCCCCACGGCUGAACCGGCGUCCCAUCCGAGCUCCUGCAACAACGCAUGCUCGGCAUUGAAGGAAGCCAAUGAUGGCGCUUGAGAUCUGUCUCUUCCGGCUGACGUCGGCCUACCCUCCUCGGCCGUAGGUUGUCUUCGAGCGCGUCAUCGUCACUACGCGUGAACUACAGAGGCGAAGAAGGAAGGAGCAAGGAAGAAGAGGAAGGAAGAAGAAGGAGAGAGGGGGGUGGGCCGGGUUGUGCGAGCCCACGCGAAAAAAAGGAUGGGGCUGGGCUUGGAUGCCAAGCCCUAAUGGCUGCUGCUUUUGUUUUUUCUUUGUUUUAUUUUUUUUUUGUUGUUUUUGUUUAUUUGUUUUGUUUAUUAUCCGAAAAAGGAAAUAUAAAAGAAAUUAAGGCCUAAUUAAUAACUUAAUCAAAAUUUAGGUGUCAACACGGGUCAAAUGCGCUAAAAUCCCUAAAGGCUACUCGGUAGGUUAGGUUGUACUAAAAUCGCGUUCAGUCGAUUUUAAUCAUGAAAUUGAAUUCAAUUUNNNNNNNNNNNNNNNNNNNNNNNNNNNNNNNNNNNNNNNNNNNNNNNNNNNNNNNNNNNNNNNNNNNNNNNNNNNNNNNNNNNNNNNNNNNNNNNNNNNNUGAAAAAAAAAGGGAAUUUGGAGGGGUAAAAAAAAGCCCCUUUUUUCCCCAAAAAAAGGUUUUAUUUUGGAAAAAUUAAACUUAUUUCUUCAUGGGGGGGGGGCUUGCUUUUUGGGUUAAAACUUUGGGGGGUUUUUCCAGAACCCUUGGAAUUUUUCCCAACCCUUUUAAUGGGCCCUUCCCUGGAUUUUUGGCCCUUUUUGCCCCCCCCCCCCCCCCCCCCCCUCUCUCUCUCUCUCCCCCUCCCUCAUGUGUGAAGACCCAACUGCAGCAGCCCCUUCUUUGGGUGCAUUUGGGAAAGCUUUUGGAAAAAGCCUUUAAGGAAAUGCAAAGGCCUUUAGUCUAAAGGGUUUUGAUGAAAUGCAAAAACCGUUUGGUAAACUGUAAUUGAAAAGUGCCUUAAAAAGCAACUUUAAGAAAAUGUUGUUUGGUAAACAUAAAUUUGAAAAGUCAUUUUAGUGUGAUUAAUUUAAGUUUUUAUUUUAUUUUAAUUUGUUUAAAAUUGACAAAAAUGAUUGUAAUUUUUAUAUUUUUGUUAAGAAUAAUGUAUUAAAGACAAAUUAACAAAUUUAUAAACCAAAAAAUAUAUCAAGGUGGAUCAUUCUCAAUUAAAAAGAGAGUAAUUUCAUUAAAAUAAGCAUGGUCAUAUAUGUUCUAAGGAAAGAAAUAUGUUAUCCUUAAAUAUUACACGAACAUUCUUGGACAACAUCCAAAGAGGCCUAAUUGACCAUGAAGAACAAGACCAAAUGUUGCCAUCCCAAAUUCUGAGUUGAAGAUCUUGCCAUCCAAAACUUUAGCUCCACGAGAGUCAAGACCAGUAAUUGUCUCAGCUUCGUCAUCGCCAGAAGUAUAUGAACUGCUCCCUGAUUCAGCCUCCUCCAAAUGCAUGACACUCUGGUCAUCAUCUUCAUUUACAGACAUCAGUAAGUGACCUGAAAAUAAGGUCAAUGACUGGUCUCAUCACUGCAUAGGCAAGAAGCUCCCUGACAAUGCAUCUGACAAAUGAGCAUUGCAAAUGUUCAGGCUCGAAGGUAAAAGAGAUAAGUCCAUCCAUUACAUGUUGUAAAACCUGAGCUGGAAAAAAAAAAAAAGCAUGUGUAUAGCAAGGAACAUAAGUAUGUCUAUGUAAAGGAUAUUACAAGAAAGCAACCUUGUGCUCAGCUUUAAUGGAAAAUAAUGCUGAGUGCAAUUUAUUUUCAGAAGCCAAGAUACGUCUUAGUUCACCAUCUAGUUGAUGAACAGUGAGGUGUUCAAACUGUUGCUUUUCAAUCUUUGCCCGUGUCAUGCGAAAGAUCUCCAAAUGUGUUCAGAUGAGACCAACAAGGUCCCUGCACCAGUUAAUAAGGUCAAUGACCUUGAAAACCAGAUUUAAAAAAAAAGAAAAACAUACAGAGAAAAGAUGAACAAUAUCAUGAUGAGAAUACCUUGUAAGAAGGUCGAUAAGGUUAAUGUUCCUCACGCGAUUUGAAAAUUCUGCAAGAACAUGAUUGAUGAUGCACACCAAUUCCUCUGGGCCUUCUCUAUCAAGUGUUAAACAAGAAUACCAAUGAUCUGUGACCCACUCGGAUACUAGAUGCCUGGUAAAGCAAUCCAUUGCAUCUUCAACUACAGGAGAACCCACUUUACUUCUCCACUUCGACUAUGUAACAACUUUAGGAGUUUGAACAGGUUUCUUCAGAGAUGCAGUGGUGCUUGCAGGUUUUUUGCUGUUAUAUACUGCAGCUUUCCUUCGCAUAUCAAAAUCCAUUGAAAAAUAGAGAAGGGCUAUGAUUAAUGUUGCAGCAGCGGGCAAGUUAACCCACACAGAAGAGCUUGUCACUAGAAACAGAGAUAAGAUCAGUGAAUGUCCCAUCAUAAGCAAGAAGAUUAGCAAAUAAUAGCAGAAAGAAUCACAGGACAUAAAUUUUCAACAAUACCUUCAAUCUAACAAAUUUUCAAAUUAUGAGAACACAUCAAAGUUUCGCACAAAAUCACAAGACCUGAUUAUUCCAAAACUCCACAAAGCUCCAUUAGGUUUCAAAUUUUGAUGCACCAACAGCAGCAAGGACAAAAAUGCUAUCUUCGUUGAAAUGGUCGGAAAUGAAGGUAUGAAGCAAAAGAUAAUUCUAGCAAGAUAUUUGCUAACUGUAAAAGUUACUUGAGUUUAUCCUUCUUUCUAAUGUUAUUUGUUGAGGCCCAAGAUAUUGCCAAGCCUUUGCUAUCUUAAUUACUAUGCCAAUUGGGUAGCUACACAAGUUAGGAAGUGUUUAUGUCCACGGGAGUGAAUUACUCACAUCUCUUUCACUGACAACUUUGUUAGACAGGGAUAUUUGUUCUGAUCUCCGUUGAGAGGUCGUACUCUGAACUCUAAAGCAAUAAAGAUUAAGUCUGAUGCAUUUCUGGUCAAAAAAAAGAAAAGAAUCCUUGCUCUCUUUAUUCUUAUUGCCACAGAGAAAAAGAGCGUCAAUCUCACUCUUUAGUAUGAAUGACAAUGCUAGCGAGUCGUCCACCAAUAUAAAGCAAAUUAAUAGCUGGGGUUUUAUUUCAAAGAUCAUUACAAAUAAUCAAAAUGGAACUACAAAAGAGUAGAAUAGUAUAAGUUAGCAUCAACAAAACCGAGGACAAGAAGAAGACCAAAUGUUGAAGAAGCACAAGAUCUUCAACUCAGAAUUCAUAUUUCUACACUAAACAAGCAAAUAUCCACAUCUCGUCAGAAAUUAACUGUAGCAAGACCAAUGAACAAAUAACUCGACUUAAUUCAAUCAUCAAAACGCAAAGUCCUGGAUGCCCCGAAGCCUCGCUAAUCAAAGUCAAAAUUCCAAAGUCAGAUUAGCCCAUAACAAAAUAAAAACAUCGAAAGACUGACAACAAAAUUAAAGUUCACUAGAAAAUAGAAACAGAUUGGUCCACAGACAACCACAAUCAACAAAUGUGGAAUCACGACCAACACAACCGGAGAAAUCAACACCAAUCAAAUAAGUAUUGAACAUCAGUGGCAGAGAUUAUAGUGAAAGUGAAGACCUUGCCAAUGGCAUUGCGGAGGAAGCCAUCGCGAUAGACCUCGCGCUUCAGCUUCAACGUCAAAUGCUUCGUGAAGGUGACGUUCCAUUUCUUCGGAACUUCGAUGGUUGUUGAAUAUGGGAUGAUAAUUUCUAGGAUUACUUCGGAGCCCAGGCGUCGCCAGACCCCAGGCGCAGUGCACCGGUGUCCUGCGACCUCGGCAAACCUCGCAACAACAGAUCUGUGCGACGACGCGACCGUCGACCAGGCGAUUAGCGGCGACCGUCGAUUAGGCGACUGCAAGCGACUGGGCGAGUAAUGUUCGCGAGGCGAAUAAAGAGAGGUGAGAGAGCUAUGUUUCGUUAGGCAACCGCACGAGUGAAGAGAGGCAAAGGAAGAAGAGCGACAGAUCUAAAGGGUUUUUUACGUUAGAAUAGGGGGUAAUGUGGAAUUAUGAUUAGUGAGUGAGGGUAAGAUUGGAAAUUCAAAAAAAUCAUUAACUGGGUACUGUUGCAUGCCGAGAAUGCCAGAAAGCUAAGGCAGGGGAGAGGCAGCCUUGAGCUCAAUGCCUUUACAAGGCCUUUGGAAAUACUAGCAUUUGGGAAAUGUAUCCCCAAAAUUAAAUGCCAAACGCACUUGUCUUUGCCUAAGGGCCUUUAGAGGUUCAAAGGGCUUUGUAAAGCUAUCCCCAAGCGCAGCCUUCUUCAUUUCAUUUCCCCUCACCCUCACGUAUUCCCCCUCCCCUCCAUUUUCCUUGCUGCAUAUCCACCACCUGGUUCCCCCACGAUCACCCUCCUUCUAUCACGCCAACUCCACACCAACUUCAACAACCGCUAGCCUCCCAUCUCCAAUGACCAGUAACGCCAACACCACCCCAACACCAGUUUCACCGCUAACGCACCAACAACUCUGCCCAUCUCCGCCCACAACUUCAUCCGCCCACCCCCACCACACGCUACCAGUAGCGCACCACCCACCAGAAGCCCCAACUUCAGCUCAGCUCACCCCCAACCGUCUAGCGACUGUAGCUCCACAGGUCAACCUGCCACAGAACCAAACCAGCUUUGGCCGUGAGCCCCCUUACGGAUUUCAGCCACUGUUUGAGCUCCAUUGGAGACACGGUUGUUCUGGGCCUUCACCGCCAUCGCCGUGAGCCCGCCGCCAUCAAAUUUCGGUGAGUUAAUUCCCUAAUCCUUGAUUAGGUUGUUAAUUGCGCUUAAGGGGUUAGAUUAGUGCUAAUUAGCUUAGUUAAAUUAGUAUUGAGUGAUAUUAACCUUAAGAUGGAUUAGUCUUAAUCUAUUUUGGUUAGAUUAGCCUUAAGAUGUAUUAAUAUUGAUCUAGUUGGUUGGAUUAGUUCUAAUGAGGGUGAUUUAGUUUGGUUUAGUGGAUUUCUCCCAGAUCAGUUUGCUGGAUGCUCACCGCUUGCCAUUUUUGUGAGGAAAAAGUGCUACGAUUUUGAGGUUGUUUCCUUCUUGAAAAAUGUUCUAGACAACUUCAGCUAUGACAUAUAUUUUACUCCAUAUUUUAGGGAUUUAAAAGAAUGAGAUUUCAGUUUCGUUAUUUGCAAAACAAAAUCUCGAAUUAUGCUGGAAACAGUGACCUUGUGGUGUUCAAAUGAUUUUUAUCAACUCUUAAGGUUCGAUUUUUGAAAGAGUUUCUUCAUAAAAGUUGUUCAUUACAUCUUGUAAUUUAAUAUAGUUAAAUUUCAGAUCAAACAAACAAGUUUUGGAUUUCGAACUAAACUGAUUUUGGAAAACAUAAUUUCUAGACAAGGACAUAGUUUUUGUAACAGUUUGAGAGAUUUACUACUCUCAUUCUAGAAGAAUCUGGGUUAUGGUGUCUCAUAAAAAGUGUUUGAUUAAGUGUCCUUUAGAACAUAUUAAAAUUUGAGAAUUUUCUGAGCUUGUUUGAUUAUGUUUAUGAAAUUAAACUUGGAGGCGCACCCGGUUUCUGCCGAUUAAGAUCAGUAGUGAUUUUGUGAUUGUUCUUAAUGUUGUGCUUGCUGGACAAUGCAUAUUUGGUGGUGUGGUUGACUUUUGGCAUGCUUAGAACUUAUGUGUGAUGAUAUGUGAAUGGUAGUUCUACGGUGGUUGUUUAUUGUUAUUGCAAAAAAAUGACCUUAUGAGUUUUUAAUUAGAAAAACAAUGAGGUGUCGGGUUGGAUACCAAAACUUAUUUGCUCAAUAAAACAAUGAGAUUUUAAAUUAGGCACGUGCAAAUUUUGACAGAUUAAUUUUGAGUACAUGAGCAUCUAUGAAUUUAUUUCUAAAAGUUUUGAACAAAAAAGGCGGGGUUACUAAAGAUUGUUUUUAAAAGGGAUGGUUGGGCAAGAAAAUGGAAAAAUAAAUGAGGUGUCGGUUGGACACGAGGUUUUAUGUGGUCAAUAAAAUGAGGAGGUUUUAUACUAGAUGCGUGCAAAGUUUGACGGGUAAAUUUCAAAUACGUUACCCCGUACGAAUUUAUUUCGAAAAGUUUGAACAAAAAAAAAUGGGUUGCUAAGUUGAUUUUUUUAAAAAGGGGUUUUGGUGUUCAUGGCUACAUAAUGGAGGAUAAAGUUGACUUGAUUGAUGAUAUGCCUGCAUGGUUAAGUUAAUUAAGUAGUUCAGUUUACUUAAAUGUGAUUUAUUUAAUUGAUCGCAAUUAGCGUAAUUAGUGACGGAUUAGCCGUUUCGUGAAAUUAUGUGCUGAUUCUCUUGGUUGAAUUUAUAUGUGAAAUUGAUUGAUUAUAAGUGCAAUUGAGUGCUUGGUGGUGAUUUUUGAAUAUUAUUACAAAACCUGAUUUUAUGGUAUUUAAAUAGAAAAACAUCGAGUGUCAGUUUUUGACGCCAAAAUUUUAGAUACUAUAUAAAAUCAUGGAGUUUUGAACUAGGAGUGUACCAAAUUUGAUGGUUCAAUUUAAAUGCGUGAUCACACGCGAUUAUUUUACUAGGAUGAUUUUUAAUACGAAUAAAAGUGGCCAAGUUCAUUAUUCGAAAUUGAGGCAUUUGAGUGCAAAGCACGAUGUUCUUGGCUGAGUAUGGAUGUGCAUGUGGUCACUAUCAAAACCCAUCCUGAUGUGUAUGAAUACGCAGGGCGAUACUUGAUUAAGUUUGGAUGCCCCAAAUCAAUGGAUGCCGGUCUCAGUAAGGGCUGGGCUGAUGCUCUUGUGUGGAAUGCCGUCUUGAUGCGUAUGAAUACAUGGGAUGAUGUCGUGCUCGAUGGAAUGGGACGACGCCUGGUUAUGCCGAAUGACCGCCAACUGUCGAGUUGGCCGUGGUCAUUGGAUCGUAAUAACUAGAACAUGCAUGAAUGGUUGUGAUAAUUGUGCCUAAUUAUGGGACAAAAUUGUGUAACACGGUAUGGACGUGUCAUAAUGGUUCAGUCUUAUAAUUGGGACCCAUGUAAUUGAAAUGAUGUGUUCCGGUUAUUAAACUGUGCUUGCUGCACUGAUGAUGGUAUAUAUGUUGAGCUAACGUGCAGGUACGUGCCGAGGCGAGCUAAGAUCUGUAUGGUGUUUGCUUAGGACCACCUUCGAGGUGAAUUUGCGUCCUAAUCAAGGUUUAGGGUUUUGACUCACUCAGAUUUUUAUCUCAUCUCGUCGUGGGCUAACCUUUUUCAAGGCCGUAGCGUGGUGAUCUGAUGAGUUCGGAUGUGGUGGGUGUGAGAUGCGACACCUUGUGGCUGGCCCUGCCGUUAGCGAAGUUUAAGGUGAUCAUGAUCCUUGAGGUCUUUUAAGAGAGUCAAGAGGAAGUAGCCGCUGAAGGGCUUGUAAUUAUUAGACUUCCUUGGGUCAACAGUUGGUAAGGAAAUUGUUAGGUUUGGGAAAUUUGUUCCUUGUGUUUAUUAUCCCUAUUGUUUGUUUAUUGACCAAGGGUUUGUUUAAUUCGCUUCCGCAUGUGCUUAAUUGAAAGAAAAAAAAUGGGUCAGCGAUGCGUCCUGGGACGUCGCAUUUUUAAGUCAACCGUCGAGGGAUGCCACACACUCAGGGUUUGGGGCGUGAUAGGGGUCACUAGGCCCUAGCUAGGGGUUGGCAACCCUAUCUAAUUGGCGAUGAGGGCCUACAAGCCCUUGCUUAGAUCUAGGGUGAAGGUUGCGGCCUCCCCUAGAUUUAGCGAGGGUCGCCGGCCCUUCUAGGUACAGUUGCUCGGCACCUAUUGGUGUUACUUGAACAAAGCCCUUGAUGUCGCGAUUAUUGCCUCCCAAAAGAACUUGACUCCAUAAUUUUGAUGCGAGAUCACCAAAUUUUCUUUUAGAUCUCUCCUUCAUUCGUUGCUGAUCCCCUUUAUCUACAUUGCGUUUUUGGCCCCUAGCCAGCGGCAACCCUUUGCCUAGUAGGGCAACGGUUGGCGACCCUCACCAAAUUUGGGGGAGGGCCACGACCCCUACCCCAGAUUUGGGUGAGGGCUUGCAAUGUGGCAUCCCAAAAUUCAAAGUCAAGUUAUAAGAUGUGUUAAAGUCUCUAAUUAGGUAAUGAAAUUACCUAUGGAUUAUGCUUUAGCCAUUAGUCUCUUUUUAAGAUUAGAUGAUUUGUGCAUAUGUUUGUGAGAAUUUAAAUUUGAUAGAUUAAUGAUGAUAAUCUAUGCUUGGCCAUGCAUCUUACAAAUUAAAUUCCUAUAAAUAAAAUGUCACAAGACUUUGGCCAUGUGGAAAAAAAUUAAAAUUUAAAAUUUAUAGAAGAAAUUCAAAAAAAAAAAAAGAAAAAAAAGAGAGAUUUGAAUGGGCCUUAAGCCCAAAGUGGAUCUUUAAUGGGCCAAGUUGGCCGACCCAUUGAAGCCCGCAAGUGGGCUGCCGUCGACCAAGAAGGAGGCCCAAAAGAAGGCCCAAGCCCAAGCCCAUUAUGCAUGCAAUGAGACAAGUGGCACAAAGGAGGAUGUCAUGCAUUGGCUAAUUUGAAGGCAAACAAUGAUUACCAAUGAUGAGGAUUAGGGGGAUAAAAGGGAAGAGAGAGAGAAGGGUGGCCGGUUCAUUCGGCCAAGAGAGUGGGAGGGAGAGAGAGAUUUCGAGAGAGAGAGACACCGUGCGAGAGAGGGAGAGAGUGGCCAAGAGAGGAGAAGCCGAGGAGGGAGUUGCCGUCGCUCACCGUCCAUCUGCCGUGCUCGCCGCCAUGUGCCGCCGUCCGUCCAGUCUAGAGGCAAGUGGGAGUCCUCUAACUGCUCUUGCAUGUGUGUUUGUUACAUGUAUGGUUGAUAUAGUGUCGAGUUUGGGUGAUUAGGUGAGGAAAACCGAAGUAUGGAUGGAUUGUUCUUGGGUGGUAUGGCUGUUUUCGCUUGAACAGUUUGAGUCAGAAUGUUGUGUGAGCUUGCAUGCAUGUUUGGAGUCCGAUUUUGGCUUCUAUCUCUUCAUGAAAGUUGUAGCUAACAUCUUGAACUAAAACAUACUAAAAUUUCGUGGAAAAUUAUGGAUAUUUGAGGGGUUAAACUCUCAUCCUACGGAGACCUCAGAUCUGGAAAGAUUUCACUGACCUUUUGAUGGAUUUGUGGUUGCAUGUUGAUUUGUGCUAAGAAUCUUUCUUCGAUCUCUCAUGAAAGUUGCAGGGGACAUAUUAAACUACAACAUACUCAAAUUUGAAGUGCAACGAACAAGUAUAGCCUAGUAAAUCGACUAGAUCUUGAAGACGGUAAUUCUGGAGAUGUAUUUCGGGACACCCGAGACUUCAUGGACUUAAAUGACGACUAUACCCUGGUUAUUUGACUUAUAUCUCUUCUUAAAACUUGUAUAUGACAUCUUGAUGUAUAACAUAUCCAAAUUUCAGAGGAAACGAAAGAGAAUAGGUAGGUGAAAACUCAGUAUUUCGGAGAAGCAUGCACUGGAUGAUGCGGUAAUGGAUCCAGAAGCUUCGUGAGACUGUAGAAAUUAAUCUAAAAAUAAUCUGGCUUUGGAGUCUUCAUGAAAGAUGUACGAAAAUUUCUUGUCUGUAACUCAGUAAAAUUUCGUAAUUUUUGGAGGAUGUAUGGAUAUUUUAAUCGAAUUUAUUCAAAAACUGUGCAUUCUGAUUUCACCCGAAAAUGACAUGCCAUUUUGUGAGAAUUGUGAAAUUGUGUGAAAUUCUAUUUGGCCAUGUAUUUUGCAUGAAAUUAUUAUUCUAUUGUCUUAUUUAUCACUUGCCUUAAUUUUUUUUAUAAUUUAUAGAUAUUAAAUUUAAUAUUUUUGAAAAUAAGAAAAGCUGGAAUUUAAAUAAAAAAAGGGCAUGAAAAAGGGAUUAUUUUAUUGGCCAUAAAUUCCAUUAAAUUUAAUUAUACCAUGUAACAUGUAUGAUGAGGUCUUGAUGUAUGCAUGACAUUGAAUUGACAUACAUGUAUGAAUUCCAUGCCAAGUAUGACUUGUUUGAUGUCACGUCAUAUGCCAUGCUAAAUUAAGACUGAAAUUGGUAAACAUGGAUAAUGGUAAAUGAGGAGGUGGUUGUGGUGGACGAUAAUGCCCGGAAUGUGGGGGGCCGGAAGCCCUGUCGGAGGUCUUUGCCCAAGGGGAAUGCCUCGCGAUGCGAGGAUUGGAGUGCGGGAUGCCCGGCCAGGGAGUGUAAAUGUUGGAAGCCCUGUCGGAGGUCUUUGUCCGAAGGGAAUGCCUUGUGAUGCCAGUUGGGAUGCGAGAUGCCUGGAAUGUGGGGGGCCGGAUGCCCGGUGGCCUGGAAUGGCUGAAUGCCGGAGGUUUUUCUCGCAUGGGAUGCGAGGGUAUAGUAUGAGAUGAAAUUGAUGAUCUAAGGAAGGAUGAUGAUGCGAGGGUAUAGUAUGAGAUGAAAUUGAUGAUCUAAGGAAGGAUGAUGUGGUGAUCAAAUUGAAAGUUAAAAGUGGAAAUCAAACCAUGAUGAUAUGCAUGAUGAUGAUGAUGAUGAUGAUGAUGAUGAUGAUGAUAUAUGAUAUGGCAUGAUGAUAUGCAUGAUGAUGAUGAUGAUGAUGAUAUAUGAUAUGGCAUGAUGAUAUACAUGAUGAUGAUGAUGAUAUGCAUGAUGAUGAUGAUGAUGAUGAUGAUAUAUGAUAUGGUAUGAUGAUAUGUAUGAUGAUGAUGAUGGUGAAAUAUGAUAAGGCAUGAUGACAAUAUGUCAUGUAUAUGAUGAUGAUGACAUGUGUGUAAUAUAAUAAUAUCAUGAUGACGCCAUAUGAGUAUGACAUGAUGAUACACAUGUAUGUGUUAUGAUUGUGAUGAUGAUGCAUGAUAGUAUGCGCAUGGCUUCAAGGUAAGUAAUGCCUGAAAUGCAUGUAUGACUUGUAUGAUGCAUUGAGUGGUUAUUGGAUUCCUUUACCUGCUGAGUGGUUGUACUCACCCCUUUUGGGGACCAACAUUUCAAAUUAGCAGCAUGCCGCUCCCUGCCGUCACGCGGGGUGUAUUUUACGGUUUACCAUUCGAUGUCGAGGUUAAGUGCGAGGAGUUCAGCUGUCCUUCUGUGCCUGGAUUGAUGUAUAUACGAGUGCGUUACGACAUAGGCCUAGCUGGGGGCUCGAUUGUCCAGGAGUUCGUCUCUGUCCACGUUCGUCGCGAUGGGGUUAUGAGAGGGAUGUUGCCACCGCCACCACCUGACGCACCGGAUUGGGUGUGAGGCCCGUGCGUGACGAGUAGGAGCUAGAUCUUUUUGGGAUAGUUAGCCGACACUGAUGAUGGGGGUUGUACACAUGAGAUGUAGAGGGUCGAGGGUUCUUUUUUGGGUUUUAAGCCGGACAUGGCUGAGUCCUGGCUUUUCCUUUUGAUGUAUCGACCCAAAGAAGUCCCAUUUUGAAAAUAUAUGUAAAUAAAGUGUCAUGGCUUGUCUAUAAAAUCAAGAUGAUUAGUGGUGCAUAUUUGUAUUAUGGUUGGUAGGGGGAGAGAUGGUGAUGUUUUAAUUUGCUUCCGCCAAUGAGUCGCACUGGGACCGUUUUGUUUAAAAAAAAAAUGUGUUUAUGAAUUACGACGUUUCUUCUAAGGGGAAAGGUAAUAAGGUGUAACAUUAGCGCUGGUGGCGACCUACGAAGGGUUCGGGGUGCCACAUGCAAGGUCCUUGCUGCCGGUCGACUAGGGUCACCCGGCCUUGGCCCGCCAAAGGGUUGAUCCCUCACUUUCUACAAUCUUCAUCUUCAUCUUUUUCUUUUUCUUUUUUUUCAAUAAUUUAGUUUUAAAUUUUAUUUAAUUAAUAUUUAUAUUAAAAUUCAAAUCCAAGACAAGAUGACUUUGUUUUGGCUUAUCUAGCCACGUCAACGUACAAAACGACGUCAUUUUGCACUUGUCUCAUCAGAAAAACAUCACAUUGGUAUUUCGAUCAUAUUUUCUCACCAUUGGGACUUAAUUGAUCAAUUUUGCUACGAUUUUGUCACUUAAAUGUACAUUUCUUAAAUUUUGGCACUUAAGUAUCCUCCAUGUCAAGUUUUGGCACUAUAUGGAUUUGGGUCUCAUUAAUUCUGAUACAAUAAAUCCCGUUCAAGGCUUUCAAUCAGAGUAAUCUAUCAUUCUAUGGUUGGAGUUUCGUGAAGUAUAUCUUGAUGUAAUAGUUUGCAAUCAUUCGUGACAUUUGUGUAACAUAAGGUUUAUGAUCAUAUUACAAGAGAAAAGGAUCAUAAUUACUACUCACACAUCAAGAAUGCAAAGAGAUCCACACAAAGAAUGAGGUUAAUGCAGUUAUGAUUAGGCUAAUAAGUACCUAAAACAUUUUAUUGUCAGAGGACAUAGAAUUUUUACUUAAGUUCUAUUGUUCUCGAUGAUAUAAAGGUGACCAAGAUUUGAAAUGUGCAUACUCUCAAAAAAUACCCUAAAGGAACGAAAUUGACUUUUGUUGUAUUAGCUGACCCUAAAGUGCCAAAACUAAAUUUUGUCACCCUAGGUUGUCGGCUAAGGUGACUCAAGGCAACAAAUCAUGGUUUUAUCAUUUUAAGUCUGCCUCCACUUGAAAAGAAGAAGAAGAGCGCUAGCCAUUCUUGAAGGUGCCGCUAAGCUCCCUCGCUUAAAUUGUUGAACAAAAUAAGAUCUACAUUUUACCAUUGCCAUGGGCCGGCACUACUUAUCUGUGUUCUCCUCUAUCACAGUACUGGGUCUAGGCUCACAAUGCUAGAUCACCAAACAUCACGACCUUUUUUGAGGUGAACCAUUAAAAAAAAGUAAAUGGAUUAUUAGAUGAGCAUAAAUGAUUCCUUGUUAAGCUUCGACUCAGUUCAAAUGGGAAGCCAAGCAACCGCAGAAAGAAAAUGGCAGCGAUGACUAAUCUGCAUCUCCGGUAUCCUCCGACUAUCUCCAGGCCUUCACUUCUGUUCUUGAAACCUUCAUUAUCUCCUCAUCUCUACUCCUACGCAUAACAAACACCUCAGGUCUCUCCCUAUUCUCUCUCUGAAUUGAUGCGCUUGGUGUUUCCUACUCAUGUAAUUCUAUGCUUUAUCUGCCUCUCUGACGCCCUUGCUUGCAAUCAGAGUGCCUCUUCGUUGACUCUGUUGAGCGGUUCAAGUGUUGGAGAUCUAGUGGUUGGCUGCUGACCGACCUCUAGCAACCUUGUGUGAGGCUUGAGCCUUGCUUGGCUCGUUGGAUCUGGCCAGGUGAGCCUUGCCAGAUUUGGACGAGGCUUGAGCUCGCCUAUGGCUAGUGGCUGGCCAUUAUUGUGGCCAGUGACUGGUCGAGGAUGAAUCAGUAAGAAAUGAAGAAAAAAAAGAAAAAUUAAUUAAAAAUUCAAUUUUUUUUAAAUAUUAUUUAUGAGAAGAAAUGUUUCAUUAAUCAAUGACAUCAAUGACCCAAGUUCAAGUGCCGAGGACCCAAGCCUGAGUGCCGGGGACUCAAGCACGGCCUUUAUGGACCCAAGCUUGAGUGUCAAGGCAUCAAGCACAUGCAUUAGGGGUUCAAAGCCAACCUCAUUGGACCCAAGCAUGGGCACCGAGGGCCUAAGCUAAAGCACCGUGGUCCAAGGCGUAACCAUGGGAGACCAAAGAACCAACAUUGGGUUUCCGUGCCCAAGCGUAGUUUCGGAUUUAAGUUUUGGUACCUAGUCAUAUUUUAUAAUAUGCUUUCUGAAUUUUCAAAGAGAAAAUUUCCUUAAUUUAAACUUCAGUAGGAAAUUUUUUUUCUUUACUUGAAAAACAUUUUCUGUUGACUCAUUUUUCUAAGUAAACCAACUACCAGAAAAAUGAGUAAGAUAUUUUCAAGAAUUAUAUUUUUUAGGAAACAAACGGAGCUUAAAGAGAUGGUAUUGUCGCAUAGCACGAACUCUCCCUAGCCUAGACCAAUCGCAACUUUGGCAUUUUCAAUAAAUCAUUUAGACAUGCAAUUUAACUUAUUUUGGAGGUGUCACUGAUCUAUUAUGCUUAAGACGAGAAGCUCCAGUCAGCAUAAACAAGCUUGAAUUUCUGAAUUCGGUGGUCAAAGAAUGGCUAAAAGGAGACAUGAGGAAAUGAAGGGCGUAAUUAAAUGACACGCAAGAGCAUAUUUGCGCUUGGGCAUUAUGAGAAGCGUAGGCUGAGUAGGUAUCAAACGAAGUGGCGUUUUUCUUAAGGAGGUGAACGAAUGAACGGACAGGGAAGCACGCGAUACAGGGAGAUAGAAAAGGGUGAGUGCGCAUGUGGAGGAACAGAAAAGAAGAGCAAAGAAGCAUGUCACAGGCAAGAAGAAAGCAAAGUCCAGAGGGAAUAUUUGCUCAGCUACGAAUCGGAAAUUUUGGGAAGAGCAGGUCAACAUUCAUGGCCGAAGGGAGAGGAAGAAACAGUAGCAUUCUAGAAGAAAGCAAGAACACGUUUAGCUAAGCAUGGAUAAAACGUGAUGGAAAAAGACGAACCCGCACUUCGGGAUGGACUUCAGGGAGCUCUUCCUCCAUUUUGUUUUUCUGUUAAAAGGAGAUUGACGGUGAAUUAUAGAGGGGGGAAUUUCGGGAGAAAAAGAGAGGAGAGAAAAGGAGGAUUCAUUUGAAUAUACAGAUACACGACGUGAUUCACUCUCUCCCAGGUUAGAUGGCUACACAUAUUGCUAGAGGCAAUGGCACAUUCGAACAAAGAGAAGGAGAACCCAUGAGUAACUAAAGAUGAUCACCUGUUUCCAUCCGUCGACUGCAUUUAUCCUCAUUGAUCACUAGUCCAUCUUCACUGCCGCAAUUAAUGUCGUAAAUUCUGUCUUGGCUGCUGUUCUAGUCAGCAAUGCCGUCACCCACUGCCCGUGACGUUAUUGCUUGAUGAAAUAAUUUGAAUUUGAAACACUCGCAACUCACACAUCUCAAGGAAGUGAAGGAGACAAGAUGGAUUUAUUUAUUUAUUUAUUUAUUUAUUUCACCUUAUCAGAACGAUGACAAUACUUGCUUUUAAAUAAGCUUGUUAUAUGACUAUUACACUCAAAUGACUCAUAAAUAUAUUUAUCAUUCCAAUGAGAUAAAUCUCGAGAAUUUACGAAACAUUAACUCAACUUAGAAACACAAACAAUCAAGACAUAGAAAUACGAAUCGACUCUUUAGAACAACAUUACAAUAAAGACUCUUCUUAACUCAUAAACGUGUAGUGGAAUUUGAAUGGACACCAACAUUAAACUUGCCCAUCAAUACAACAUUAUGAAUUUGGUUUCUAACAUUGCUAAUGUGAACUUUGGAGCUACCCUCCUACUCCGCUUCUAUGGUGGUUUGAGCUCAAAGAUUGUAGCAUCAUUACCGUUUUGAGCCGCAUCAUCUUUGCCAUUCAAACUGCAGACCUUAUGUACAUCUAACUUCAUGGACUAGGACGUCAAUCGAUAAGCUAAAUCCAACACUUUCGCUCUUUUGAUUUUCCAUAGUUUCGUGUGUACGAUUUUGUAAUAGAUGGGCUCAACAAGCUCAAGCCUAUCUCUCCCAAGCCCCAACCCAUUUUAAUUUUCUUCAGCAGAUUAAGUGAGACGUCUCCGACGAACAAAACAAGGAAAAACAGACGGAGCUCAUCCUGGGCAGAAGAAGAAGCGGAAAAGGAGAAAAGAGGAAAAACUUUAGCGCCUAGCCAAUUCAGACACCACGAUUAGCCAAAUCAACUACAAGUUGCAACACUUGGUGAGUAUUCAAGCCGAUCAUUCAUCUAAUUGGAGUAAAUUUCUGAUUUAGGGCACGAGUUCAAACUUAUGUGGACUCUAAUGAACAAUUGAGGAGCUAUUAAGCUUAGAUUUAUAUGGAAAUGAUAGAUAAAGGCAUUGUAGAGCUUUGGAGUUUGUAGAAAUUUAAUUCUGAAGUACAGUUUGAUUGGAACAAAAUUAUGAAGUUUGCGUACAAGUUACACAUAAUGGAUAAUACACGUAAGGAAAAGGAUGCAUGUGUGCUUUGAAUGAGGUCACUCCAAACGCAUAGAAGUCAUUUUGUUGAUGAUUAAAUGUAAUUUACUCUAGUCAUUUGUUAGAGUAAUUGAUAGGAAUGCAAGUGCAAUAGUUUGAAUAACCACCGUAGGUUGGUUUAUGGUUUUUUUAGGUAAAUGAUAGUAUUUCUUCUUUGAGUUUAUAUAUUCAUGUUUCAAAAAUGAAAUAAAUUAGUUAUGUUAUGAGUUAAGAACAAGCAUAUUCCUUGCAUAAAUUGGAUUGAGCAUUUACUACCAUUUGCGUAUUAGAUGUGAAAAUGUUAUAUUUUGAUUAUAGUCUAAAUUGAUUACUUGCAAAUGGGUUUGCAAAGCCUUUUGGGAAAGACUCAUGAGAAGUCUUUGAUUUUAAAUAUGGUUUGUGAAUGGUUAUAUACUGAUUUGUGAACUAGUUUAAGAAAUGGACUUUGAAAUAGUUUGGGAAAUGUAUUGUGAUAUAUAAGAUGUGAUUUAAUAGAGAUUAAUUAAUGGACUUGACUAUUGAUAUUUGAAUUGUAAUGGUGAAAAGUUGUGAUCUAGUUAUUAGACCUGAGUUGUAAGAUGGUAUUUUAUUUUAUUUGUGGAUUUCUAGAGAUUAAGCUUGAUGGAUUAUGCUUAGUGUCUUUAUAAACCUAUUGAGGUGUGUGUGGGUAUGUGCAUACCAGUUUAGGAUAUUUUUGUGGACAGAGUCACUAGCUAAUAAUAGGUGAGACCUAACUAAGGAGAGAAUCUUCGUUGCCUUUUUACAAGCAUUAUGCAUGAUCACGACUAGAUACUUGAGCAUGAGAUUGGUCAAUGGAAUGGACUAUUUAUUGGCGGAUGAAGCCAAAUCUUUUUAGGGGCUUUUUUUUUUUUCCUUUUCUAUUAAUUUUGCUUUUAGGUUAAAAGCUACGCCUUUAUAUUAGUGAUAGUUAGAUAUUAACAAUUAGCCAUCAAGGGUUUGAAAAGGAAAAUAGAGAGAAAAGAAAAAGCGAGAAGAAAAAGUGAGUUUUUCUUUAUGAGUGUACUCAACCUUUUUGCGCCUUGAUCUUGACAGAAGAUUAUCACUAUAUUCUAAAUUUCUUCAAAGUGCAUUCAUAGAGUGCCUUGUGCGAAAACAUAGCCUGGGUUUGGAUGAACUUCAAUAACACAUUUUCUAGUGUGUUCUUUCGACUUUGCUCUUUAUUAUUAUAUUAUGCUUGAGUGAAUUGUUUGUGAACGUUAUUUUUUGAAAUUGACAUGCUAUUUCCUAACAACUAGUAUCGUAGCCUGGGUUGGCUAAUUGAGAACAUAGAGGGGGGUUUUUUUUUUUUGGUAACAUUUGAGUGAAAGCAAACAACAUGACAAAAGAUAAAAUUAGAAUCAACAAGUUCGAUGGGCAGGAUUUCGGAGGUGGAAACUCCAAAUUGAGAACUAUCUUUAUUGGAAAGAUCUCUAUGCACUACUCAAGGGUUGGAAACCCAAGAUCACGGAGGUGGAUCUAGUAAUAAAAUUGGGGUGGAAAAUUGAUCGAAAAGCAUUAGGUACAAUUCAUCUAGGGCUCAUGAAAAAGAGAAGAUACCACAUUGCGAAAGCAAAAACUACAAAAGAAGCCAUGGAUAUUCUAACGAAUAUUUAUGAGAAGCCAUCCACAUCAAAUAUGGUAUUCUUGUUGAAGAGAUUGGUUAAUAUGAAGUUAUUUGUGGCAUAACUUAUCAAUAGUUUCACAUAAGUCAUAGAUUAGUUGGAAUUCACAAGCAUAAUGAGGAUAUGAAGUUUCAAGCAUUGUUAUUUUUAUGUUCCCUUCUAGAAAGCUACAAUACCAUAGUGCAAGAAAUUUCAUGCACCAUGAAGGAUGAUUUGACUUUAGAUGGAUGAAUAGAUGCCAAAGAAAGUCUCAAGUGGAGAUAAUUUGUUGGCAUCUACAUCUUUUUCCCAAUGACCAAUGUCAUUUUCAGUCACACAUCCACCUCAUGAUGCAGCAAUUCCAUGAUUUAAUUUAAAAACACGUCGACGUCAGUACAAUCCAGGGACUCAACCGUCAAUCGAAUAAAUCCUUAGUCAUUUCUUAUCCUUUAGAGUAAUAUAAACUCACUAGUGCUGAUAUUAGAUGAACUGUAAAAGGAAUCUCAUAUUCUAGGCCUUAAAUUAGCCUUAAAAGGUGUUCUACGCGCCUUUAGAAAUGACAUUUGUUAUCUAGGUAAUUAGGUUUAAAAAAUUAUGAAACUUUAGUAUAAGGUAGACAAGACCUAGAGGGACAUUUUUCAGCGAAGGACCCAAAGUCCAAUUCAGCUCAUAUAGUUCUAAAUAACUUUCAUGAAGGAUGCAUGUUAAGAUUCUUUGACUGAAAAUCUGUGGAAAAUGGAAAGCAAAAAGAGGUUGGUUCAAUGACCUCAAAAACAGAUUUCUAAUAAUGUAGUUUUCAAAUGUAUUUUUGUCAUAUGAAGUCCUAAAAUUUGGAUAUUAAAGUAUGUUGCACAACGGCCAAAAAUGGACAAUUUUCAUGAAGAAUGCCCCUAAAAUUCACAUCAUAGAAAUCAGUACAAAAUUAGCAAAAGUUCAAGGUUGGUCUAAAUCGAAUCUGUCCUCAAUCUCGGCACUAAUUUCACCCAGAAAUUCAACUACCAGCCCGUACGUGGUAAAUAUUAACCAUCCAUGUUCCUACGACCUAACCACAAGCUCGACUACUUUGAACUCGACAAUGUAGCUAGGUAACAUAAUUAAAACUUUUGAUAAAAUGAGGAUCUAAACAAUGUUCAUGUAUUUCACCAAAAAAAAAAAAAAACAAUGUUCAUGAAUUUCUAGGAAACCAUCCUCAUCACACAUAAUCGGUUGACAUAGGAUAGAACGGGAGAAAUCUACUUGCCUUGGGUCCUUGUGGAUUGUGGUGGGGGUUCGGCAGGACGAUGGGGUGGUUGAUGGUGGCGACGUGCGUGGCUGCAAUGGAAAGGGGAGCUGCUAGUGGUCGCAAGUUGUAGUGGUGCGCUUGACAAAGGCUUGGGGGAGAGAGCAUGACCGUGAACUGAGGAGGGGCAGUCUUCGCUAGCUUCGAGCUUGCUAGCAUAGACAUGCAAAGGGCAACUGAAGAUGAGUGUGAGGUUAACUGGGCCAUCACAACAGAAGAGAAAGAGGGAGGGGGCAUGUAGGGUCUGAAGAGGGAUUGAGGAAGCAGCUUCCGCUCUGAGCGAGGAUGGGUAGAGUUUUUAUUAUACUCUAUUUCUACCUUUUCGUUGCUGUUUUGGAGUUGGGCAGCACCGUUGCUCGAGUUGGUUGUCGUGAUUGACUUGAGCGGCAUUGCUGCUGGUGGCAAGUGGAAGAAGGCCAACCGGUCAGCCGUGUCUUGUAGGGAUGCGGCCAGGUGGUAGCAUGCAGAGGUGCUGAGUUGGCAAGCUAGCGUGGUAUUAUUGUGGCAGUGUGGUGGUGGUUUGCUAGUGCCGGAAACUACUAAGUGUUGGAGAAAACUUCCUUGUGUGUUUUGAAGAUGACAAAACGUUUCCAUUAGUCUAGUCCGAAGACUUGCAAACUCUUUAGUCAAAGUCUGAAGAUCGUCGAACCGCUAGACUUAAGAUUUAAGGUCUAUCCUCAUUGACAGUUUCUAGACCGUCGAAAAAGACUUAUCCAGAACUGAGUUGUGGCACCCCUCGACGGCCCUUGAUCCAUUAGGGUCGCCACAGUUCGCUCUACCUUUCACUUUCCCUAUUAACAUGUUACUCUGAUACCAUUUCAAUUGCAGCGGGUCCAUACAACCAUGGGGGUUCACACAUUUUUUUUUCUCUUUUUUAACUAAAGGUCCCUUGCACAAUUCAUAUACGAAAGCACGUCCAACAACUCCCUUUCCUAUAUUCAGAAAACGAUGCACACCUACUAAAUAUUUAUAAGUAAAAGCCGUACACUUUUAUUUGCUUAAAUCAGAUGGACAUCAUUCAUCGGUCCAUCAAAAUGUCUUAGUCUUUUAUAUUCGGCUACACUCCAAAAGAUGAACGACAUUUCCUCAAACAGUCAUACACUUUAAGUCCAUCGAUCUGUGUCAGCGUCCAAAAGCUCCUUCCCUUGCUAUCCUCCUCCUCACGGUCACAUCCAACCGUUCAAACCAUCUACUAAUCUGAAAUGUUGGUCCCCAAAAGGGGUGAGUACAACCACUCAGCAGGUAAAUGAAUCCAAUAACCACUCAAUGCAUCAUACAAGUCAUACAUGCAUUGCAAGCAUUACUUACCUUGAAGCCAUGCAUAUACUAUCAUGCAUCAUCAUAUCAAUUUAUAAUACAUACAUGUGUAUCAUCUUCGUAUCAUACAUGUCAUCAUCAUUAUCAUCAUGCAUAUCAUAUCAUGGGUGAUCAUCAUUAUUUCACAUCACAUAUCAUCAUCAUUUCCAUGCAUCCAUGCAUGUAACAUCAUCAUCACAUCAUGCAUAUAUCAUCAUGCAUAAUUUAAUUUCAAUUUCAUUUUGAACUGCCGCAUUUCUCUUUUCCCGGGAUCAAUGUUUGCAUCCCACAUUCAUCACUCGCGCCCAAUCCUGGCAUUGCGAGAACCAUUCGGGCAUGUAUCCAAGAUACAACCGGACAUCCGGCACCCCCACAUUCCGGGCAUCUCGUAUCCCAACUAGCAUCACGAGGCAUCCGGGCAUGCAUCCAAGAUACAACCGGGCAUCCAAAGGGCAUCGACUCAUUCGAACCUUUGGGCAUCUCGCACCCCACCUGGCAUCACGAGGAAUCUCCGGGGCUCGCCAUGAAAAUGGUUACCCCUACCCUCCGGGCAUGCAUCAUGAUACAACCCCUCACCCUCCGGGUAUGUAUCAUAAUACAACCGGGCAUCCCAACACUCCCGGGGAAAACCUCUGGGCAUGUAUUCAUAAUACAACCAGGCAUCCAAAGGGCAUCGACUCCUUCGAACCUUUGGGCAUCCCGACUCCCGGGGCAUUGUCGGCUCACACCUCCGACGGUAUCAUCAUCACCACGAUGCAUAUUCUCAUACAUCUCAUUUCUCAUCUUCCACAUUUUCCAAUAUUUUGAUCUCAAUUUAACAUGGCACAUGUCGUGACAUCAAACAAGUCAUACUUGGCAUAACAUUAACACAUGCAUCACAAUUCAAUGUCACACAUACACCAAUAUCUCAUCAUACAUGCUACAAUGUAUAAUUAUUUAUUAAUAAAUUCAAUGGAAUUUCAUUUUAUUAUCAUUAUUAUUAUUUUUUAAUAAAUAAAUAUUAAAUUCAAUAUCUAUAAAUUCCCAAAAUUAUAAAAAUUCAAGCAUCUACAAACCAAUAGAAUUACAUGCAAAAUUCAUGGCCAAAUCGAAUUUCACAAAAUUUCACAAUUUCCACAAAACAGCCCAUAAUAUUCGGAUAAAACCAGAAUGCACAGUUUCUGAAGAAAUUCAAUUAAAAUAUCCAUACGGCCUCCAAAAAUUACGAAAUUUUACAGCGUGAUAGCCAAGACAUUUUCGCACAACUUUUAUGCAGACUUCUAAGCCAGAUUAUUUUUAUUUUAUAUUAUACAACCUCACGAAUCUUCUGGAUCCAUUACCGCAUCGUCCAGUGUACACAUCACCGAAAUAUUGAGAUUUAUCCUACCUAUUAUUUUUAGUUUCCUAUUAAAUUUGGAUAUGUUAUACAUAAAAGUAUUCUCUACAAGUUUCAUGAAGAGAUCUAGGUCAAAUAACCAGAUUAUAAUCAUCAUUUAAGUCCUUGAAGUCUCGGGUAUCUCGGAAUACAUCACCAGAACCAACAUCUUCAAGAUCUAUUCGAUUCACUAGGCUAUACUUGUUCAUUUCACUUAAAAUUUGAUUAUGUUGUAUUUUAAGAUGUCUCCUACAACUUUCAUGAAGAAACCGAAGUGAUAUUCUCAACAAAAACCAACAUGAAACCAUGAAUCCAGCAAGAGGUCAGUAAAAACUCUCCAGAUCUGAGGUCUCCGUAUAACAAGACUUUAACCCCUCAAAUCUCCAUAAUUUUCCACGAAAUUUCAGUAUGUUAUAUUACAAGAUGUUAGAUACAACUUCCAUGAAGACAUCGAAGCCAAAAUCGGACUUCAAACACACAUGCAAGCUCAAACAAGUUUCUGACUCACAUGAUCCGAACGAAAACAGUCACACUCUUCACACACGACUCAUCCAUGCUUCGGUUUUUCUCAUCUAACAUCCAAAAAUUCGACAUGCAAACAUCAUACAAGCAUGAAAGAGAAGCUAUAGGACUCCCACUUUCCUCUAAGACUGAGCAAACACGUCCACACUGACGGCAAACCGGCGACGGACGAACGGCGUGCGGCGGCGACGGGCGAGCUACUUCCUUUCUCUCUUCCUCUCUUUGUCUCUUUCUCUCCUUCUCUCCUCUCUCUCGGCACCUCUCUUGGACGACAGCCCUCAAUCCAUCAGCCACUCUCUCUCUCUCUUCCUUUUUGGUUGUAUUUAUAUUGCAUGUAUUCUCUUUUUGCAUGGGGGACAAGUGUUCUCAUGAGGAGAACAAGUGGCAACAAGGAGAGGACAAGUGUUGGAGGACAUGCAAGUUUAAUGGGCCCUCUUCUUGGGCCAACCUUGGGCCAUCAAAUGGGCUGGUCGACCACUCCUUUUUGGGCCUCUAUUGGGCCGGCCAACUUGGCCCAUUAAAAGCUUAGGCCAAUGGGCCUAACGCCCAUCCUAAAAAUUGACCUUUUCCUCUCUUUUUUUUUUUUGAAUUUCUUUUUAUAAAUAUUUUAAACUUUAAAUUUUCCACAUGGCCAAAGUCUUUCGACAUUUCAUUUAUUGAAAUUUAAUUUAUAAAGUGCAUGGCCAAGCAUAGAUUAUUAAUUUAUCCUAUAGUCCUAAAUUCAAAAUUCAUAAACACAAGCACAAUAACACCUAGCCUUAAGAAAACUAAUGGCUAACACAUAGACCAUGGGUAAUUUCAUUACCUAAAUAUAGGCUUUAAUUUCUCUAGGGAAUGACUUGAAUUUUGGGAUGCCACAAUUCUCCCCUCCUUAGAGAAUUUCGUCCUCGAAAUUAGACAUUUCCUAUGUCUCUUGAAAUAAGUGAGGGUACCUUUCCCUCAUCUCAUUUUCACUCUCCCAUGUGGCUUCCUCCACAUCAUGAUAUCGCCAUAAUAUCUUAACCAAUGGAAUUCUCUUGGUCCUGAGAAUUUGUUCCUUCCGAUCCAAUAUCAACACAGGCUCUUCGAUAUACCUCACUUUCUCAUCUAUUUUGAUGGCUUCAUGAUCGAGUAUGUGUCCUAGAUCGGGCUGAUACUUCCUCUUAAGUUAAGGAUGCAAGCUCUUAACAUAUCUUAAUUUAUCUCAACACCAUAAACAUUUUUAAAACAAUAACCACAUCUGAAAUUUCUUUUGAAUGCUUGAUAAUCUUCCUUCAUGAAAUCAAACAAUACAAACUGAGUUCAAAAGCAUUCAACGACAACAGCAACCUUUGAAAUCAUAUGUCAUUUCCAUGUCAAAACGUUUUCAAAUCACCAAUGUGGAAAAUCCUUUGAGUUCUUGAAAAUUCCACCUCAUGAUAUCAAAUAAUACAAAAUAAGGAUUUCAAAGACACAUCGUUAUAACAAUGAUAGUAUUUGAGAAUAGGUAAAUCUCAUAUUGUUGAAACCAAUUCAUAAAAUCAAAAGCAUGAUACCAAUUCCAUAAAAUCCAUGUUCACGUUUAAAUUCUAAAUGUUUUUCGGAAUUCACAUGUAAAGCCUUGAGUUGUACUUGCAUCACGGCGCGAAACAAAAUACUUUAUCAUAACCCUUAGUGAAUUUAAAUCGGUACGUUGGCAAAUUCCAAUCUCAAUCCCAACUCCGAUGGGUUGGAAUGUUUUCUAUAAAAAGUUCAGAAUUCUUUGAAAUAGAAAACAUUUCUUAAAACAUUUGGGCACGGUGUCACAGUACUCAUAAAUUUUGAUGAAAUUCAAGAGAUUUUCUAAAACGGUUCAGAAUCAAAAUCUGCUUUUCAAUUGAAGUUCAAAACUUGGAAUGUACAGGUGAUAAUUUCCUCCAAACACCAUAAGCAUUUCUUGAAGUAUUGAAAAUCAUAGUUAAGCAAAUUGAUAAUAUUGGUCCUGUCGUAAAGAUUUUUGAAACUAAAAACUUUGAAUACCAAAAUCCUAAGCCUUUCUUGAAAUACCGAAAUCAACGCAUCGGCGAGUCAUCAAACUCAGUCCCGACCUUAAGAUUUUCAAAGUAAUUUACAUGCAAAAUCUUAGAGCUUUGAAAACAUCCAAACUCAAGUGUUUCCAAUCUAAUUGCACUACAUCAGACAACAAUGGCAAUGCAUUAUAUAGGUUAGUAGACUUUCACUUGCUGGCAUGUUAAACGCUAGGAAACGUGUUUAGCUAAGUCCACCUUCAUGCUAUCCCACCAAAACUAUUGGUGUAAUCUCUAUACCUUUGUCACCACCAAUUCAAGCCUAGAACCAUCAAAAUCAACACCACCAAUAACUCAUUUGGUUCAGUCCAACAAAGACAUUCACUAUGCAUUCACCGCAACAUAGAUUCAAGCCUAAAAUAUAAUACCAUUCAUUUGGUUCAAAUAUCGAUAGUCCACCAAGACUCAUUCAAUUCAAAGAUCGACAAUCUACCAAAAUAAAACUUGUCUAGUUUCCACCGAAUAUAUCUCAGAUCUCAUCCUAAAGAAUCAUCACUUAGACUAACCAUUCAUCAAAUCCACAACUUGAACUUCCACCAUUUCACCUUGGAAAGUCUAUAACCACAAAUGAUCAUGUUUACUAAUUCCACCAAACCUUUUUCAAACUGAGAUCAUCACCUAAAAUUAAAAGUUGACUACCAUCGAUCAAACCUAUUAUUCCGACAUAUAAACCACAAAUAAUUUUAUGUCUCAUAUGACCACUCAAACUCAUGACUUCCAAGAUCAAUCUAUACAUACUAAAUACCUCCAUGUAACGCAUCAAGAUUUCCAAUGAAAUCCUCAAAUAGGAAGUCACUACUUAGCUCAAAUGAUCGUAACUUAAUCCUCAAAUUCAUAAUUCACUCUCUGUAAUCCACUUCUUAAGCCUUGCUUGCAGCACUACGGUUAGAUGCUACGCAUGCUCUUUAGGUCCUUUAGGAUAUAUCAGGAUAUCAUCAAAUGAAGACAAUCACAAUUUGAUUCAAAUAAGGCUUAAGUAUUCUACUCAUUAAAUCCAUGAAUGCAGCUAAGGCUUUCAUCAAUCCAAAUAGCAUAACUAGGAACUCAUAAUAUCCAUAGCGAGUCCUAGAUGCAAUCUUAGGAAUGUCUUCCUUCUCAAUCCUUAGUCGAUAUCCUAAUCUCAAGUUAGGUUUAGAAAGACCAAACUUCCUUGCAAUUGGUUGAAUACGUCAUCAAUUCUAGAUAAUGAGUACUUAUUCUUAAUGGUCACCUGAUUCGGCUGCCUAUAACCAAUACACAAUCGCAUCGAUCCAUCUUUCUUUUUCACAAGCAAUAGUUCUACAAGCUUAACCAUGCUUCCACUGCGCUACUCUAACAAAAUUAUCCCAGAAACACUACCUUUCCAGUUCAGUUCAUAGUUCGGUUCACUCCUACCCCUUUUGCCAUUCUAGAAGCCUGCCAGGAGCCGCUCCUUGUUCAGGUCCUCUGACCUCGGCGUCCACUCCCCGCCCUCAUCAAACUAGGACGUUACAGGUACACCAGCUUUCGCCUGGUUCGAACCCGAACUACACAUCUACUGAAGGGUCUCGUUUCAAUAGGGAUUAACUUAUGGAGAUAUUAUCCGCUUUAGCUUAUCACAUUCUUAGCCUCACGAUUUUAUCCUUAGCACACGGGGAAGUACUAUCUUAGGAGAUCAUUCAUCCUAGUCCAUUGCUUACAGAGCUAGUCCAUUCUUAUGAUGACAUCAAAGUCAUACAUAACUAUCACUAUCAAGUCCAUUUCCAAAUCUCAUUCCCCUAGGGUUAUCUCACUCAUCUCACAUGCCAACGUAGAUAACAACAUAUCUUUCAGCGAUGUAGAAAUACGAAGAGGUAUAUCUAGAGAUUUGUUCCUACUCCUCACAAUCAUCUAUAUUUUUCGGACACAAAUGAAUGCAUGUCACUCACAUCAAAUAACGCAUGUACCUUCCUAUCCCCCUAUCAAAAUCAUACCUGAGAUAACACUUUUGGAAGCUCUUGCUUCCUCUUGAGUGACUGUAUACACCCUUCCUUGUAGUGGUGGCCUUUGUGGAUUCCUUGGUGGAUUUGGUCCACCAGUACUUUGUUGUACCUGUCGCACCGAGCUGACAUUUGGCUGCGACCUUCCUUGGGGACAAUCUUUCUUAAAGUGACCUCUCUGCCCACAGCCAAAACAUUUCAAUCGAUCAUUACAGGGUCCUGGUCCAUGUUGUCCACCACAUCUCUGACAAAUGUUACCCUGAUAGGGUACUCUUCCUAGAAUCGGGCCACUCCUGACCUUUCUAGAAUUCCCAAAAUUAUACCUCUUCUUAGAUUCCCAGGUAUGACCUUGACCAGGAUAGGGUCUCUUAUCCCUUCGAACAUCAUUAAAGGUCAUUUGCCCCUUAGAUUCUGAUUGCUCCCUCACUAACUCUUGCUCCAUCAACUGUGCCCUCUCAUAAAUCUCAUUAUAAUCCCUUAUAUUUAGAGGCACUAGUUGUUUUCUAAUAUCAGUCCUUAAUCCUUUCAGAAAUCUCUUAGCCUUUUCCUCUUGAUCCUCAACCAACCUAGGAGCAUACCUAGACAAUUCAGAAAAUUUUGCCUCGUACUGAUCUACUGCCAGCUCCCUUUGUUCUAACUGAACUAAUUCAGUGAUCUUUCUAUCCUUGGCACAAUCAGAGAAAUGCUUCCUAUUGAAAGCCCUAACAAACUCAUCCCAGUUCACAUCAGUACCUGGUGGAAAGAUCGUAUCCUUCGAGGCUCUCCACCAAAACUUUGCAUUUCCCUCCAGCUGGUACUCUGCCAAAACUAUUCUCUCAGCAUCACUGCAGUCCAACAACCGGAAAAUUCGUUCCAUUUCAUCGAUCCAUUGUUCCGCCUCCUCAGGACUUCCCAUCCCACUAAACUUAAGUGGUUUCAACUUUAGGAAUUGUUCCACCAGUCCCUGAGGGCGACGUUCCACUCCGGGUUGUUGUUGCACUUGCCUUUCCAUCAGAUUUCCAAUAUUGGCCAAUGCUUGCAGGAUAUCUUCCAUUUGGGGUUCAGCCCUUGCAGCAGAGGCUUCAGCCCUCGAUGGAUGAGCACUUCCAGCUCGUACCAUGACUUUCCUGCAAUUUUCCAAGCAUUGCCUCAGGAAUAAUCUGAGACUCACUCUCUCCAUUCAAAGCAAUUACUACUACAACUACUACAUAAGUAACAUAUACAUGUUACUGGUACCUAAAGACAACUCAAAAUUAACUACUAGGGAUCUACGAGUGAAUACUCAUCACCCGUUAUUCAAUGUUAAUCAAUUUUUCCGUUUUAUAUCCUAUGGUGUGCAUCUUUCUAUCCUCAUUUCCAUCUGAGGCACCUUAUCACUCCAAAUAGACCAUAGCUCUGAUACCAAUAAAGGCUGUGGCACCCCUCGACGGCCCCCGAUCCAUUAGGGUCGCCACAGUUCGCUCUACCUUUCACUUUCACUAUUAACAUGUUACUCUGAUACCAUUUCAAUUGCAGCGGGUCCAUACAACCAUGGGGGUUCACACAAUUUUUUUUUUCUCUUUUUAACUAAAGGUCCCUUGCACAAUUCAUAUACGGAAGCACGUCCAACAACUCCCUUCCCUAUAUUCAGAAAACGAUGCACACCUACUAAAUAUUUAUAAGUAAAAGCCGUACACUUUUAUUUACUUAAAUCAGAUGGACAUCAUUCAUCGGUCCAUCAAAAUGUCUUAGUCUUUUAUAUUCGGCUACACUCCAAAAGAUGAACGACAUUUCUUCAAACAGUCAUACAUUUUAAGUCCAUCGAUCCGUGUCAGCAUCCAAAAGCUCCUUCCCUUGCUAUCCUCCUCCUCACGGUCACAUCCAACCGUUCAAACCAUCUACUAAUCUGAAAUGUUGGUCCCCAAAAGGGGUGAGUACAACCACUCAGCAGGUAAAUGAAUCCAAUAACCACUCAAUGCAUCAUACAAGUCAUACAUGCAUUGCAAGCAUUACUUACCUUGAAGCCAUGCAUAUACUAUCAUGCAUCAUCAUAUCAAUUUAUAAUACAUACAUGUGUAUCAUCUUCGUAUCAUACAUGUCAUCAUCAUCAUGACAUCAUUACCUUACACAUGUCAUCAUCAUCAUGGCAUCAUCAUUAUCAUCACGCAUAUCAUAUCAUGGGUGAUCAUCAUUAUUUCACAUCACAUAUCAUCAUCAUUUCCAUGCAUCCAUGCAUGUAACAUCAUCACCAUAUCCUCAUAUCACAUGUGCCAUCAUCAUUACCAUGCAUCCAUGCAUGUAACAUCAUCAUCACAUCAUGCAUAAUUUAAUUUCAAUUUCAUUUUGAACUGCCGCAUUUCUCUUUUCCCGGGAUCAAUGUUUGCAUCCCACAUUCAUCACUCGCGCCCAAUCCUGGCAUUGCGAGAACCAUUCGGGCAUGUAUCCAAGAUACAACCGGACAUCCGGCACCCCCACAUUCCGGGCAUCUCGCAUCCCAACUAGCAUCACGAGGCAUCCGGGCAUGCAUCUAAGAUACAACCGGGCAUCCAAAGGGCAUCGACUCAUUCGAACCUUUGGGCAUCUCGCACCCCACCUGGCAUCACGAGGAAGCUCCGGGGCUCGCCAUGAAAAUGGUUACCCCUACCCUCCGGGCAUGCAUCAUGAUACAACCCCUCACCCUCCGGGUAUGUAUCAUAAUACAACCGGGCAUCCCGACACUCCCGGGGAAAACCUCUGGGCAUGUAUUCAUAAUACAACCAGGCAUCCAAAGGGCAUCGACUCCUUCGAACCUUUGGGCAUCCCGACUCCCGGGGCAUCGUCAGCUCACACCUCCCACGGUAUCAUCAUCACCACGAUGCAUAUUCUCAUACAUCUCAUUUCUCAUGUUCCACAUUUUCCAAUAUUUUGAUCUCAAUUUAACAUGGCACAUGUCGUGACAUCAAACAAGUCAUACUUGGCAUAGCAUUAACACAUGCAUCACAAUUCAAUGUCACACAUACACCAAUAUCUCAUCAUACAUGCUACAAUGUAUAAUUAUUUAUUAAUAAAUUCAAUGGAAUUUCAUUUUAUUAUUAUUAUUAUUAUUUUUUAAUAAAUAAAUAUUAAAUUCAAUAUCUAUAAAUUCCCAAAAUUAUAAAAAUUCAAGCAUCUACAAACCAAUAGAAUUACAUGCAAAAUUCAUGGCCAAAUAGAAUUUCACAAAAUUUCACAAUUUCCACAAAACAGCCCAUAAUAUUCGGAUAAAACCAGAAUGCACAGUUUCUGAAGAAAUUCAAUUAAAAUAUCCAUACGGCCUCCAAAAAUUACGAAAUUUUACAGCGUGAUAGCCAAGACAUUUUCGCACAACUUUUAUGCAGACUUCUAAGCCAGAUUAUUUUUAUUUUAUAUUAUACAACCUCACGAAUCUUCUGGAUCCAUUACCGCAUCGUCCAGUGUACACAUCACCGAAAUAUUGAGAUUUAUCCUACCUAUUAUUUUUCGUUUCCUAUUAAAUUUGGAUAUGUUAUACAUAAAAGUAUUCUCUACAAGUUUCAUGAAGAGAUCUAGGUCAAAUAACCAGAUUAUAAUCAUCAUUUAAGUCCUUGAAGUCUCGGGUAUCUCGGAAUACAUCACCAGAACCAACAUCUUCAAGAUCUAUUCGAUUCACUAGGCUAUACUUGUUCAUUUCACUUAAAAUUUGAUUAUGUUGUAGUUUAAGAUGUCUCCUACAACUUUCAUGAAGAAACCGAAGUGAUAUUCUCAACAAAAACCAACAUGCAACCAUGAAUCCAGCAAGAGGUCAGUAAAAACUCUCCAGAUCUGAGGUCUCCGUAUAACAAGACUUUAACCCCUCAAAUCUCCAUAAUUUUCCACGAAAUUUCAGUAUGUUAUAGUACAAGAUGUUAGAUACAACUUCCAUGAAGACAUCGAAGCCAAAAUCGGACUCCAAACACACAUGCAAGCUCAAACAAGUUUCUGACUCACAUGAUCCGAACGAAAACAGUCACACUCUUCACACACGACUCAUCCAUGCUUCGGUUUUUCUCAUCUAACAUCCAAAAAUUCGACAUGCAAACAUCAUACAAGCAUGAAAGAGAAGCUAUAGGACUCCCACUUUCCUCUAAGACUGAGCAAACACGUCCACACUGACGGCAAACCGGCGACGGACGAACGGCGUGCGGCGGCGACGGGCGAGCUACUUCCUUUCUCUCUUCCUCUCUUUGUCUCUUUCUCUCCUUCUCUCCUCUCUCUCGGCACCUCUCUUGGACGACAGCCCUCAAUCCAUCAGCUACUCUCUCUCUCUCUUCCUUUUUGGUUGUAUUUAUAUUGCAUGUAUUCUCUUUUUGCAUGGGGGACAAGUGUUCUCAUGAGGAGAACAAGUGGCAACAAGGAGAGGACAAGUGUUGGAGGACAUGCAAGUUUAAUGGGCCCUCUUCUUGGGCCAACCUUGGGCCAUCAAAUGGGCUGGUCGACCACUCCUUUUUGGGCCUCUAUUGGGCCGGCCAACUUGGCCCAUUAAAAGCUUAGGCCAAUGGGCCUAACGCCCAUCCUAAAAAUUGACCUUUUCCUCUCUUUUUUUUUUUUGAAUUUCUUUUUAUAAAUAUUUUAAACUUUAAAUUUUCCACAUGGCCAAAGUCUUUCGACAUUUCAUUUAUUGAAAUUUAAUUUAUAAAGUGCAUGGCCAAGCAUAGAUUAUUAAUUUAUCCUAUAGUCCUAAAUUCAAAAUUCAUAAACACAAGCACAAUAACACCUAGCCUUAAGAAAACUAAUGGCUAACACAUAGACCAUGGGUAAUUUCAUUACCUAAAUAUAGGCUUUAAUUUCUCUAGGGGAUGACUUGAAUUUUGGGAUGCCACAAUUCUCCCCUCCUUAGAGAAUUUCGUCCUCGAAAUUAGACAUUUCCUAUGUCUCUUGAAAUAAGUGAGGGUACCUUUCCCUCAUCUCAUUUUCACUCUCCCAUGUGGCUUCCUCCACAUCAUGAUAUCGCCAUAAUAUCUUAACCAAUGGAAUUCUCUUGGUCCUGAGAAUUUGUUCCUUCCGAUCCAAUAUCAACAUAGGCUCUUCGAUAUACCUCACUUUCUCAUCUAUUUUGAUGGCUUCAUGAUCGAGUAUGUGUCCUAGAUCGGGCUGAUACUUCCUCUUAAGUUAAGGAUGCAAGCUCUUAACAUGUCUUAAUUUAUCUCAACACCAUAAACAUUUUUAAAACAAUAACCACAUCUGAAAUUUCUUUUGAAUGCUUGAUAAUCUUCCUUCAUGAAAUCAAACAAUACAAACUGAGUUCAAAAGCAUUCAACGACAACAGCAACCUUUGAAAUCAUAUGUCAUUUCCAUGUCAAAAUGUUUUCAAAUCACCAAUGUGGAAAAUCCUUUGAGUUCUUGAAAAUUCCACCUCAUGAUAUCAAAUAAUGCAAAAUAAGGAUUUGAAAGACACAGCGGUAUAACAAUGAUAGUAUCUGACAUACCAAAAGUCUGACCUAUGUACACCAUGCGUAUUGGGAAAACAGGUAAGAAAUUCAUUCAAACCAAGAAAUCAAGUGUCCACUAAUCGUGUACUUCAGCUCUUGCAUAUGGAUCUCUUUGGACGAACCAGAACUCAGAGCAUUGGAGGUAAGAAAUAUUGCCUAGUAAUUGUGGAUGAUUAUUCACGAUUCACUUGGGUAUAUUUCCUAGCAAGUAAGUCUGAAACAUUUUCUUAUUUUAUAAAAUUUGCUAAGAAAGUUCAAAAUGAGAAAAUGGUAUGUUAUUUCAAGUAUACGAACAGACCAUGAAAGUGAAUUUGAAAAUCAAGACUUUGCUAAAUUUUGUGAUGAAUCUGGUUUUUUAGUAUGUAUUCUCCUCACCUUAUACUCCAAAGCAGAAUGGAGUUAUGGAAAGAAAUAAUAGAUCAUUACAAGAAAUGGCUAGAACUCUUCUAAUUGAAAGUUACAUUUCUUCUCGUUUUUGGGCCGAAGCAGUUUCUACAACAUGCUAUAUUAUUAAUAGAGUCUUCUUAAGGCCUAUUUUGGAGAAAACUCCCUAUGAGUUGUUGAAAGAAAAUAAGCCAAUUGUUUCUUAUUUUCAUGUGUUUGGUUGCAAAUGUUUUAUAUUGAAAAAUGCAAAUGAUCGAAUUGGUAAGUUUGAAGAAAAAUUAGACGAAGGCAUCUUCCUUGGAUAUUCAACCACAAGCAAAGCCUACAGAGUAUACAAUAAAAAGACUCAAUUUGUGGAGGAAUCGAUGAAUGUCAAAUUUCAAGACUUUAUGCAAAAUCAAUCGAUUCAGACUCAACUUGAAGAACCUGAACCUGUUCCAAACUCUACAAAGUUUAAAUCUCCAGAAGCAGCUCAAACUUCAGAAGACCAGCAACAAAUGAUCGUUGAAGAAUCAAAUGAAGAAAAUAAUCAAUAGUCUGACAAAUCAACCAGCAACUAGAAGCACAAGUCUAGUCAUCUUAAAGAACUCAUUAUUGGUGACAUUAAUAAGGGAAUUCGUAUAAGAUCCAAGAGGCGUGAAGAGUCUAGUGUUGUGGCUCUUAUUUCUGAAAUAGAACCCAAGAGCAUAGAAGAAGCUUUAACUGAUGAAAGUUGGAUUGAAGUUAUGCAAGAAGAACUCAGGCAAUUCAGUAUCAAUGAUUUAUGGGAGUUGACUCAUAAACCGAAAGGUAAAUCUAUCAUUGGAGCUAAAUAGAUUUUCAGGAGCUAAAUAGAUUUUCAGGAACAAGAUGACCGAGAAACGAAAAGUCAUAAGGAACAAAGCAAGACUCGUGGCCAAAAGAUAUACGCAAGAAGAAGGGAUGGACUAUGAUGAGACUUACGCACCAGUAGCAAGGUUAGAAGCAAUUAGAGUAUUACUUGCUUUUGCUUGUUAUAAGAAUUUCAGGUUAUUCCAAAUAGACAUCAAAAGCGCUUUCCUAAAUGGAUUUAUCCAAGAGGAAGUUUAUGUGGAACAACCUCCCGGUUUUGAAGACCCAAGGAAACCAGACUCUGUAUUCAGACUAAAAUGCGCUAUAUGGUUUAAAGCAAGCACCUCGAGCUUGGUACGACAGACUAAAUAAGUUUUUAAUCCAAAAUGGUUUUAUUAAUGGUAAAGUAGAUACUACACUGUUUAUGAAAAGAGAAAGCAAAAACUUCUUGCUUGCUCAAAUUUAUGUUGAUGAUAUUAUUUUUGGAUCUCCUAAUGAGAAUUUGUGCAAGAAAUUUUCUAAGACUAUGCAGGAUGAGUUUGAAAUGAGCAUGAUGGGUGAACUAUCCUUCUUUCUCGGACUUCAAGUAAAACAAUUGAAGGAAUGAAUUUUCAUUCACCAAGAAAAAUAUGCUAAAGAUAUUGUUAAAAAGUUUGGCUUGGACAAUUGCAAAAAGACAUAGAUACCAAUGUCAAGUUCCUUGAAGCUGGACAAAGAUGAAGGAGGAAAAAAAGUUGACCAGAAGCUAUACAGGAGUAUCAUUGGUUCACUUCUUUAUCUCACUGCUUCUAGACUUGACAUUCUGUUUAGUGUUUGUAUUUGUACCAGAUUUCAAUCAGAUCCCAAAGAAUCUCACUUAAGUGAUACAAAACGCAUCAUCAAAUACGUUACAUCUACUUCUAAUCUUUGUCUCUAGUAUCCUAAAGAAGGAGACUUUACUCUUCUUGGAUAUUCAGACACAGACCUAGCAGGAUGCAGAGUUGAUAGGAAGAGCACCUCGAGCACUGGUCAAUUGCUUGGGAACAAGACAGUAUCUUGGUUUUCGAGGAAGCAAAGUAUUGUAGCUUUUUCUACAGCAGAAGCAGAAUAUGUGGCUCUUGAAAGUUGUUGUUCACAAAUUCGGUGGAUAAAACAACAGCUAAGAGACUUUGGGAUUGAAGAUUCAUGCACUGAGAUCAAAUGUGACAACACUAGCGCAAUCAAUCUCACCAAGAAUCCAAUUCUUCAUUCAAGAGCAAAGCAUAUAGAGAUUCAACAUCAAUCCAUUAGAGAUCAUGUUCAAAAUGGAGAAAUCUCGAUUGAAUUCAUUGACUCAAACAAUCAACUAGCAGACAUCUUCACAAAGCCUUUGGAGAAAAGUCAAUUUGAGCUUAUUCGUUCCAGACUCAAUAUCUUAAAGUCUGAAGAAGUUCAAACUCAGGGAUAAAAGUCUAAUGAUACUCAAACUCAGAGGAUGAAGAUCAACGAGUAUAAGUUAUUUUCGUUUUUAAAUUUAUCUCUUAGAUAAAAUCUUGAAAAUGUACGAUUAUCUAUUAAUCUAUAAUUGAUUGAUCUCGAAAAGGUACAAUCAUCUUCCCCAGUUUUCGUGAUUAUUGCAAUCAUUCCUUUUCAAAAAAGGAGUUAUUUUUGAAAAGACACUUAUCUAUUUUUUCAAAAAGGCAGUUAUUUUUUAAAAGGAAUUUUCUAUUUUUUUUUCUUUUUACGUCGCUCCGUAUGCCUCUUUUCCAUUGCUUUAUAUAACGUUCGUCUUCCUCACAAACCCUAAAAGUACAGACAUUUGUUUUCUUACUCUCUAGUUUAAUCUUCAAAUUUCUCACAUUUUUUUUUUUUUGCGAAUCGAGUUUGGAAUCUCUCAAAAACUGUGAGAAUGGCAUCCCAAUGAAAGUCUUCAAGGAUCGCGAAUAGGUGACCACAACAAAUGCGUGAGGGUCCUACACAUUUUGACCUCACUGAGGAAGAAGAAUCCCUAAGAUAGCAGCAGAGCCCACAAUAUUCUCAACAGCGUCAAUCUCCUAAGCUAGACCUCAAGGUAGUGAUCGUGGAGCGGAGGAAGAAAUCAUUGAAGGCGUAGAACCCGUAAGAUCUCAAAAGCCCGCUUUUAUCUUUAAGCUUUACUCUACUUUGAAGAGGGGAGGGACUCCCUUGAAAUAUAAUGAUGAAUUUUUUAAAGAUAAAGGGUAUCGAAAUGAAACCCACUUUUUGCGAACAAUAGAAUGAUUGGAGAUUGCUCCUGUGGGGUCAGCAGAUCGAGCAUUUGCGAAUAUUCCUAGUGAUCCAUGUGUUGAAGGUCUUAGUCAGCAUGAUGGGAAUGAUGAUGACAAAAUGUACAUUCAUUUCAAGCCUAGAAUGGGUGUUGGGGCGAAUAUUCGAAGUAAAAGGACAGAUUUGUUUCGCUCAGAUGAACACAAGCGACUUUACUCUAAGUUGCUAAAAAGAGGGGUGAUCAAUCCGAGAAGUGUAGACUUUGAUUUUCUUGAUUCUGUGAAUGUGAAGCUGCGAGAGAAAUUCACUCAACUUCAGCUUGAGCAAUUUUGUUCUGAGACGACUAAGGCAUAUCCAAAACUUACUGCUUACUUCUAUUCUAAUCUCAAUUUCUUGGAUGCGAAUAGAUUUUCAUUUAGUAUUCGAGACCAGGUUAUGUUGUUGACAUGGACACAUUGGCAGAUGUGAUUGGAGUAGAGCGAGGAGCUUUCCAAUCGAUUAAUGUGUCUGUUGGUUGUGCGACGGUGGAGCUUGUUCAGGAUGGAAUGGCUGAAGGAAGAAUUUCGUACUUGAGGAUGAAUGCCUCUAAUAUUUUGCUUCACAAGAUCAUGAUCAAUUGCCUCAGAUCCAAGUCAACCUCGAAGACAUAUGUCUCUAACUUAGAAGCAAAGUUGAUGUAUGCCAUCAACACUGGCAAGAAAUUCUCUCUACCUCACACAAUCAUAUUUCACAUGUACAGAACGAUGACGAAAGACAGAGCGCAACUUCCUUACUCAAGGCUUGUUACAAAGCUUUUCAGAUGUUUCAAUAUUCAGCCUCCCAAGAUUUUAUGUGUUCAAUCAUGUGAUCAAAUGGUAGUGGGACUGAAAAUGGUUUCCAAAAUGCGUUUGAAAGAGCUGGACAAGGCUUUGGAGUGUUUGAAAGAGAAAACCCCUAUCAAGUCUCACCAAGGUUCUUCAAUUGCUAAACGGAAAGGGAAGGAGCCCAUGACAGCUCCAUCCAAGAAAAGAAAAACACUCGUUCUGGAGGAUGAAGAGGAUGAGGAUGAUAUUACCAUUUCUGCUUUUGCACUGAGAAAUCUUCAAAGUGCUGUUCCAGAGACUGUGGAGAGAGAGGAUCAAGACAGAGAAGAAGAAGAAGAAUAAGAAGAAGAAGAAGAAGAAGAAGAAAGGAGUAGAGAGAGAGAAUCAACGCGAAAAGAAGCAGAGGAAGAAAGGAUUGCAGAAGAAGAAGAAGAAGAAGAAGGCAGAGGUGAACAGGUAGAAACAGAGCAUGAAGAGUACUUCUCACCUCCUAAGGGCAUUGAAACAAGGGGAAUUACUGAGGAAAGAGGUACAUCUCCAAUUGAUGCUAAUAGUGAAGGUGUUAGUUGUUCACCUGCAGAUCCAGAAGACAUUUAUGCCUCUCAAUUCCCAGAGGAAGGUCAUGAGGUUUCAUCGCCAAAUCUGAAUGAUCAUGCUGGCUUACCAUCAUCUGCAAAUACUCCUACUAAUCAUGUAGAGGCCUGUACUCAGACUGAUAAUUCAGGAGACCUUUGUAGAGUGCUUGAUGUUCUUAUGGAGAUGUGAGGCCAGAUUUAUGCUCUGGGAAGUGAAGUUCAGAACUUGCAGAAUGCAAGUCAAGCCUCUUCGGUUUCCUUGCGUGAUCAAGUUAAUGCCCUUGCUCUUCAAGUUCAAGCAAAUGCCAAGGGUGAAGAUGUGGCUCAACUGAAGGAGGAUUUGAAAAAGCUAGAAGGGAUUGUCUAGUCAAUGGGAGAUUUCCAGCUCAUUCACGUUCCUAGGCAACCAUGAUUCCAUUAUCUUUUUUAUCUCUACCUUUUUCAUGCUGACAAAAAGGGGGAGAGAUGGUGCAGAUUUGAAACUUGAAACUUGACUUGACUUUCAUUUGACUUUACUUUUUAAAUGACUUUUUACUUUUAUUUGGUUGUUUGGUUGUGACUGACUGUAUUUGGAUUUGGAUUUGGGUUGUUUGAUCGUUUGUUUAUGUUAAGCACUAUUGGUAUUUCAUGGCAAAGAUAGCUGUUUAUUUACAGGACUAACUUUUUCCUAUGAAUGUAGAUCUAAUGAUAUCUUUACUAAGUCAAUUAUCUUUGUGAGAUAUCCAUGUUUGCGUGAGUACUGUUUUGCAGGUCAAAAAUAUCCAAAUUUGCAGGAAAGUUUUGUCACCAUCAAAAAGGGGGAGAUUGUUGGAGAAAACUUCCUUGUGUGUUUUGAAGAUGACAAAACGUUUCCAUCAGUCUGGUCUGAAGACCUGUAGGCUCUUUAGUCAUAUUCUGAAGAUCGCCAAACCGCCAGACUCAAGAUUCAAGGUCUAUCCCCAUUGACAGUUUCUAGACCGUUGAAGAAGACUUAUCCAGAACUGAGUAUCUUAUUAAGGAUUUGAUUCUAUCAAUUGAAGAAGAUCUCUCGGCUGGAGAUAGCAUCUUGGAAUCUGUUAUUCGUUUUGAUUUCAAUUCAGGUAAUUUAGAUCCGUUGAUUGGCGAAUCAUACUUAGAAGGUUCUACUUAUAGAAACCUAGAUCCUGAUUGUAUGGGCAAGCAUGAUUGAUGGGCUAUUAUCAUAUUCCUUAAAUAACUCGAAAUCUCCCUAAUUGAUUAUGUCUAACGGGUAGAUUGGAAGAACUCCUUUGGUAAGUGUUAACGGCUAUAAAGGCAUGGAGAAGUAUAUAAGGAAGAUGUUCUAGUUGUUUGAGUGUGUGCGCAAUAGAAUAAUUCCAAAGUCUGAAGCUCCUUAUUCUUUGUCAAUUUGAUUGUUGAGCGAAAACUUGUACUCAAAAGAGCGUUUAUACUUCUAUGAGACAUUGAGGAAGUGUAGCAGAGUCUCUACAUUGUGGAAUCAAGGAAGAGCAAUACUAUAACAACUCUUUUGAUUCUUAGUCAAAUCCAGCCAGUGGGCUGUUAGUGCGGAAGAGUGGACGUAGGCUUGGAUCAAGCUGAACCCCUAUAAACCUUGUGUCUUUAUUCUCUUCCCUAAGCUCUUUUACUUUAAUCGUAUUUUUAUUUGAUUAUUAGAGUCUAAAUUCCUUUUCAUAAUCUAUUGCUAAACAGAGUCGGUAUAAAAGCAAAAUUAUACUCUUUACUCUGCAAAAUUUGUUUUCGCACCUAUUCACUCCCUCUAGGUGCUCGUACUAGCUUUCACACUAAGGCAAGGCACGAUGGAUCCGGUGUUGAAAUUCAAUAGUGAGCUUGGCAAUUACGAGGUGAUGGUAGGACCUGGUGGUUUGUUUUAAUGGCGGUUUACGACACGAUACUAAGUGAGGGAGUGGUGGUGGUACGUUGCGAUGAUGUCAACUUGAUAGACCGAGGCGUCUUGAUGGUGCCGUAGGGGAGCUUACUUGUACUGCACGAUUCGUCAAGUAUUUGAGGCUUGUUAUUUUGUUGAGCAAAAUUUUGGAUGCCACACUCCCCAUCCCUAUGACUAUGCAUCACCACCAAAUUGACAAUUUUUUUAUGCAACUUCCAAUUUUCAUUAAAAAAAUGUGCAGUGAGGCACAAAUAAUUUGGGUUUUGAAUGGAACUUUAUGUAUCAGUCGUGAGAAUGAUUCUAAAUUAAAGAAAAAAUAUCAUCUGAAACAAGAAACUUGACCAAGGAGGUAUGGUAGCAACCUUUGGAUUUGGAGAGUGUGAGAUAACCUUAGAGACAAGAGUCGUAGCGAAGGGAAAUCAUACAAGUAUACUUUACCUUCUCCAAUGAGACAAUAUUAGUGAUAUGGUUGUAAGUACAGUGGCUAUAGGUAAUUUGUCUACUCUUUGGCAUUAUCGUUUGGGACAUCUUGAUGAAGUGUGUAAAGUAAUUAAAUUCAAGGAAAUUACUUCUAGGUUUGCCAAAAGUUGAGUUGGAUUUCUAUGAGAAUUGCACAUAUAUAUAUAUAUAUAUAUAUAAACAAAGGACGGCAGUUGAUUUUCAAUUGAAUGGGUGACAAAAUAAAUGUCGAAAGUUAGAGUUAGUUCAUACUAAUGUGUGGGGGCAUGAUAGAAAAAGAGAGUUCAUACAAUCAAAACUCUGAAGUUUGAUCAUAGUAGUAAAUACAUAAGCAAGGAAUUUGCAGAAUACUUGAGCUAAGAAGGCAUAUAGCAGUUGAAGAUUAUUCCUAGAAACCCUCAAGAAAAUGAUGUAGCUAAGAGGAUAAACAGAACCCUUCUAUAAAAUGUGAGAUGCAUUAGGCUACGCAUGCGUCUCUUUCUACACUUAUAAGCUAUUACAGUUAAUGUGGCUGUUUACAUUAUCAACCGGAGUCCAUCUAGUGCGUUGGAUGGAGAGAUACUGCAAGUGCAGUGGUCAAGUAAAAAAGUUAAUUAUUCAUAUCUACUAGUAUCUUGUUGGAUUGCAUAUGAUCUGAUUAAUACAGAAGAUAGGAAGAAGCUUGAUGCUAAGUCCUAGAAGUACAUCUUUAUUAGAUAUGGUGAUGAUGAGUAUGGAUAUAUGCUUAGGGAUUAUGAGAAUAACAAAGUCAUCUGCUGAUGGAAUGUGGUAUUCCACGCAAAAAAAAAAAAAAAAAACGUACAAGGAUUGUUAGAUAAAGCAUGAGAAGGCAGUAGAACUAGAAUAUCUUGAGCUGGACAAAAUGUACGUGAAGAUGAUUCUAGAAAAUUAGAGUGCACUUGAGGGAGAGGUUAAAUAUGAGCCUAUUAUCAAUAAGGAGGUAGUUUAAGAGGAACACAGUGACUUGGAGUAGACUAACAACCUUGAAGAACUUGUCUUGAGGAAGUCUGCACGUGUGAGAAAGUCGAAGGUAAUUUUGAUCCACUAGCAAAUAUUAUUAUGAGCCAUGUCUUAUAUAUAAAUUUAGGAGAGUGUGAGACUUUUGAUGAGGCAAAAAAAAAAAAAAGACAUCACACAGGCAGUGGGAGCAUGCUAUGAAAGAAAAGGUGGGCUCGUUACUUCAGAACAAAACUUGGGAGUUGACCAAGUUGCCUAAAAGUAACAAGGCCUUAUUAAACAAUUGAUAUUAAAACAAGUGAGUGUAUAGGAUUAAAAAUGAAGCAAGUAAAGGUAUCAGAUACAAGGUGAGACAUGUGGUCAAAAACUUUUCUAAAAAUAAUGGAUUGACUACACCAAGAUAUUUUCACCAAUAGUUAAAAUGACAUUAAUCAGAGUUCUACUAAGUAUAGUUGUAGUGGAGGAUCUGCAUCUUGAGCAGUUAGAUGUAAAAACAACAUUUUUACAUGGUGACCUAGAUGGAGACUUAUAUGGCGCAAUCUAAUGGUUUUGAAGUCAGAGAUAAUGAGAACAUGGUAUGUCGCUUGAAGAAAAACUUGUAUAGCUUGAAACAAGCUUCGCAGCAAUGGUAUUUAAUUGAUGGUUUUAUGGAAGAAAAUGGAUUUGCUCAUUGUGAGGUUGACCAUUGUGUUUAUUUUCACAAAUAUGAUGAUGGUGAUAUUGUGUAUCUCUCUUUAUAUGUAAAUGACGUGUUAAUUUUCAAUUGAUGGUCCAUGAACUUUUGGUACUUAUUCGAUAUAGUCCCUAAACUAUAUAAAAAUGUUCAAUGUAACUAUCAAUCAAAAUUCUAUAUGAUACACAAAUUAUGUAAUUUGUAUAUUUGGUUGUAAUUAUCUUGUGGUGCAAGGAAAAGUUACUCCCUCGUACACAAUGUUUAUGUCACAUUCACAUGUAAUGAGCGAUUCAAAAUGUCUGCAUUCGUCAAUUGCUUAUGACAUUGAAAGACUAAGCAAGCCAGACACCUUGCAAUUAGAAAGAAGAAAUAUGCCUCGGAUUGAUUAAAUCAUAGGGACCGGAUAGAUGGGAAGAAAACACACGAGGAACAUAAGGUUUUAAUUCAAUAGGACAAACAACAACAAUCGACAGUGCUGAUGAGGCACGUUAACGAUACUCAUAGAAGAAGAACAAGAAGCAUCAAAGGAGGUUAAGAUGGUGAGGGGUCAACGGCCUGAAGACAGUGGGAGCGUGGGACUCAAUGAAGGCCACCUGAGACCUGGAGAGGUGAAGGUAGACCACCCAAUCCCCGUUGGAGAGCGGGCUGGGCAUGGGCAUAACGUACCCCGCUUUGCCUCCCCAUGGGAAGUGGUAGGACCCCAGCAUUGGCUUCCCCCACCCGAAGUCCAUCUCGGUCACUGGGAACCUCUGUCCAGAUGACACCACUAGUGCUGUCGACCCUUCCUCCUCCUCCUCGCUACCGGGCUUGCAGAAUAUCCUUGCCAAUGCUGGCACUGGCCGGUGUCCUUCCACCCAAUCUAUCAGGUCCAGAAAGUGCUCCUUCUUUGCUGCACUCUCCACAAACUCAUGCACCACAUCCGCCACCCAGCUCAACGGCUUCUCCACCACCUCCCUUGCCCUCUUCUCUCCGAAUGGCACCGACAGCACGUUCCCAAAGUAGGAUGACAUGGGGGUGGGCUUAUCGUCCUUGCCCUGACUCAUCAACCUACACCUGCCGUCCACCACGAUCCCCAUCCUUGACAUUGUCUUGUUGUCAUCAUUAUCAGCAACCAAGGAGGAUUCAGCCACCAUCCUCCAAAGGAAAGCGCUGAAUGAUUCCAACUUAGUCCUCUUGCUUCCAUUGGAGCAGGCACUCUGCUGCAACUCACUUAGCUUGGCAUUGGUCACAUAGUACAGGCGGCUUAACAGGUGGUCGUCAUCCCUCAAUGUCAUUGUCUCACAUUGCUCAUCCACCUGUAGCUUGUGUUUGAGGGGUGGGGGCAAUGCGGAGACCGGGAUGUACAUGCGAUCUAGAGAGGGGUCAAAGCAGAGUGGAUGCCUUGGGUUAAGAAGAGAACGACGGAAGGAAGGAGGGAGGGAAAUGGGUGCAGCGGAGCGAGCCGUUUCUGCCCAAAACACCAUGAACAUAUUGAUCGAGUAGGCAUCAGCUAUCCGAUGGUCAAAUGUACAUGCCACCACUAUUCCUCCACACUUUAGCUCUGUUGCCUAAAUGUUUUCCAUCAAAUGAAAAACUUAUGUCUCAAUGAACAUAACCAAUCCUAAUGCGGAAACUGUAUAAAAAAACUUAUGCCUUGGUGAGAUUUAAGAUUACUUCUACACGCUCUAGACAUAACUUUGGUAGCUUACGCCGAGAAGUUAUCAAAUGACAUAUUGACCAUAUAGAACAAUAUUAUUUCAAUAAAUAAUUAUAUAUGUCCGAACAUGGAUAUGCAUGAUUAACAGUGGAAACAAACUUGGUCUUUAUCAUAGAGACUGAAAAUGGUGAUAUCCAUUAUCCAAUUACUUCAUACGAGACUUACUAAAGAGAGGAGAGAUUGUUUAAGAGUAUUAGUAUGUAUUUGGUACCCAUUCUAUUUCCAUAAACAAUUUGUACUUGAAAAUAGUUUUUUCUGAUUCUGCUCUCCCUGAACAAGUUUCUAAGUAUUAGCCCCCUCUUUUCAUUUGGGUUACCAUGACGCCCUUGCACUCCUAUUGACAUUUCCUAAUGUCACCAGAAGUGAAAGUCCUUAUGUUGGUGUCGGGUCCCCCCUGCCCCCCCCCCCCCUUUUGUGUAGUUCUGUUUUGGGUUAAAGUUAAUACAUGCCUUACUUUUACCCCAAAAAAAAAAAACAAGUUUCUAAGUAUACGAUCCUCAAAUUUCAUAUGAAGUAAAAAAAAUUUCAAUUUUUUAAUAAUUUUAUGAGAUUUUUCUUCUUCUUUUUUCCUUUCUUCUUCUUUCUCCUCUAGCUAAUCAGUGGGCCACGGCGAUGGUUAGUAACCAACCAAAGACAAGAGCUAGCGACCUCAUUAGCCCCCGGGGAGGUCGGCCUCACCUAGCUACUAGCAAGGCUCGACCUCACCCAAUCAAGGCAAGGCCAACCUUGCUAAGGGCCAGCGAGGUCACUAGGCCUCAUCUCUGAUUAGUCAUCAGCUAGUCGCCGCCAUUGCCGAGCCCUACAACUAGUUAGAGGAGGAAUAAGAAGAAAAGAAAAGAAAAAAACAAUUUGGUUUUAUAAAUUGUUCCCGAAAACAAAAUAGUAAUUUUUUUCAAUUUCAUAUUUCUGUUCCAAAUCUAUUCCAUGGUCACCGAUUUUUUCUCGUAAAUAGAAAAAUUAGCUAAUGUUAUCAAAUGAUUUUUUUUUGGGAAAUAAAAAAGUAAAAAUAAUCAAGGAUUGACCGGUCAUCUAAUAAGACCUUAACAUGUUUCCCAUGAAGUCAAGGGUAAAAGAGAGAUCCCACCUCUGCCACAUAUAUUUGAAUUCUUUUGUGCUUGAGGACACUGGGAACCCACGCCAUGCCAUUACGGUCUCAAUAAAUUUAAUGAUUGCUUCUAAGGUCCACCUUUGCAAGAAUUUUUCUCUCAUUCAAUUCUGUCCAUUAAAAAAAAAAGCGAUAUAUUAUUAUAACUCAUCUAUUAUCUCGCUGUUCUCUAUGGACUCAAUGAGCCAAUGUAUAAUCUCAAUGAUCACACAAGUAAAGAGAGAAACUCGUGCAAAGUGUGAGAUUCUUUUUCCUUUCAAUAUUUAUGCUCAAUUUGUUUCGAAAAAAAAUAUAAUAUUUCUGAAAAAUAUAUUCCAAGAAAUCACUUUCGAGGAAAUGACAAUAUUUUAUAGUGCUUAGCUAAAAAAUGAAAAUGAAUUAGAAAAUAUUUUCUACCAUUUGAUAUGGAAUUUGAUUUUCCUAGAUAAAAUUGAUAUAUUUUCAAUUAUUUUUUCUAUUCUUUUUUUUAUUUUUCCUCUUCCUCGACCAAUCGCUGGCCUUAGCAACAAUUGGCUAGGCUCAUGCUCUCCAAAUUCCAACAAGCUUGAGCCUUGGCUCGCCUGUGAUGGGCUAUUGUUGUGGUGGUUAAGUAAGAAGCGAAAAGAAAAAAAUAAUAAUAAAAAAUAAUAAUAAUUAAUUAAAAGUUCAAUUUCUUUUUUAUAAGAGCAAACGUUUCAUUAACCAAGGACUCGAGUCCAAGUGCCAAAGACCUAUGCCGAUACAUAGUCAUAUUUUGGAAAAUGUUUUUCAACCUUUUAAGGAGGAAAUCAUUUUCCUGAAUUUUAGUAUAGGUUUUUUGUUAAUUAGGAAAACAUUUACCAUUGACUCAUUUUCCUAAGCAAACCAAAUGAUGGAAAAUGAGGAAAAUGUUUCCUAUAAAAUAUUUUUCACAAAACAAACAGAACCUUAACAUUAAAUGUUUCUACAUUGUUAUGUUUUGUAUGAGAAAUCAUUGAUGUAUUUAUGCUCUAUUUGUUUCACAUAAAAUAUAAUAUUUCUAGAAAAUCUUUUCCAAAAAUUCAUUUUCCAAGAAAAUGAUAACAUUUUAUGAUGCAGAGUUAAAACUUGAAAAUGAACUGGAAAAUAUUAUUCACCAUUUGGUAUUUAAAAUCUAAUUUGAUUUUUCUAAGGAAAAUUACUAAUAAAUUCAAUAUUUUAAAUAAUAUUUUGAAUUUAUUUCUUUUCUUUCUUUAUUAUGUUUUCCCUUCUUCUUCAGCAAGGCUCAAGCUUACUAGAUUUCGACAAGCUAGAGACUUGUUAGAGGUCAUUGAGGCAUUAACUCACCAAUCGGCGAGCUUAAGCUCGAGUCUUGUUGACCUUUGGUGAAGCUCAAGCUAGCUUAUGGGCAAUUGAUGAUUGUUGCCGUGGCCCACAAUUGGCCAAAAUGAAAACAAAAAAAAAUUUCAAAAUUGAAAAUUUUAAAUAUUUUUAUAAGAAUAAACGUUUCAUAAACAAGAACUCAAACUUGUUUGCCGAAGACCCACACCAAUACCAAAUCAUAUUUUGAAAAAUGUUUUCUGAUCUUUCAAAGAGGAAAUCAUUUUCCUGAAUUUCUAAGCAUAGUUUUCCAUUGACUCGUUUUCUUAAAAGAACUAAAUGCUGGAAAAUAUUUUCCGUGAAACAAACAAAGUCUUAAUCAUAGAUUAUGCUGUUAAGCGUGAUCAAAGUCCAAGCAUUAUUUUUCUUUUUGAACAAUGGUGAAGGGUAUCCAAAUCAAUCAGUCAAAUUCGCACGCCAAGUGAUGUAAACAAUUAGUUUAUAUUCAACACCUAUUGAAAAAACUUCAAUAGCGAUGAAUAAAUCAAUUUUGUGAACCGUUCUAAGUAAAGAUGGAAAAUUUGACUGAUAGACUAGAAGCAGAAGAUACACUAUUUCAUUCGACGUUGGUUAUGCAUGAUAACGUUUCUAGUUAGCAAUAUUAUCUCUUGUAUCUAAUUUAAGAUAUUGUUGAUAUUGUUCCCAUAUUUUCUCUGCUUGCCUUUAAGCAUCCUCAAUAUCCCUAAUUUAGGGCUCUUGUAAUAUCUUUAUAUAUAGUCUGUACAAAAGAGAUCAUAUGACAAUAUACAAAAACUAUGAUUUCUUCAAUGCAUAAAUAAAAGAUAUAAGGAAAAGACUAUAGAUUUAGGUGAAAUGAAGAUGAAAAUGGGCGCGGGUGCAUAUACGGUGAUAUGAUCUCUUGAGAUGGAUAAACGAUAUAUAGCCAGGCUUUAUCUAAUAUCAAUACCUGAACAGCAAGCACGCCUCGCUUCUUUGUGGGCACUAGUUUCCCUUCAACGGUGUCAUCCGGAUUAUACAGGUUGAGAUGGCAGAGUUCCACGUCGGCGAAAGCUUCGAUGAAGUCGACCCCUUGAUUGUUGCACAGGAGCUCAGGCUCAUCGGCUGAGUUCGGCACCACCUCUCCGGCGAGAGCAUAGUAGGAGACCAGAGCUUGGGCCAAGGCGGCUUUCAGAACACCAAACAUGGACCCAUAUUCCAGCCUCUGUGACGCGGUGGUGGUUGGAUUGGCGUAGCAGAAGAAGACGCCUACGUCAAGUGGAGGCAAGAGCAAGUCGAGGUUGGAGAGGGGCAGCCAAUGCCCUUGCAUGGGCAGUGGUGCCGCCACCACUUCUCUCUUGCCCGACUUCACCACGAACUCUCUGCCUGCACCUCCAUCUGCAUCCAUUUUAUGUACUCUGGUGCGAGUUUGAGAGGAAGGGAGGAGGAGGAGGAGGAGGAGGAAGAGGGACCGGUUUAUAAGAUUUAUAUUUAAAUCCCUCCACAAGUCCUCCCGGUUGCUAGGGACUUAUAAAACCAAUUUGCGGUCACAAUUGAACCGCUAUCAAUUUAGAAUAACGACACCAUCCGUCUAGCAAGGCCUUGUGGAAACUAGCAUUUCUCUCCCAUAUAAAUAUGAAUUCUUCGCGCUUCAGGUCAAUGGGGAACCCUGCUGUAAUGUUACGGUGUCUCAUCAAGUUAAUUAUCAAUUCCAAGAUCCUCCCUCGCAAGAUUCUUCCAUUCAUUCAAUUCCAUCCACAACGGACAAAAUGAUAAUCUCCUCCUUCAUUUAUAUUAUUAUCACUUAAGCAUCACACUAUUGUUAAAUUAUUAUAUCAAAGUAUUCAACGUAAUCUUUUUUAUUAAUAAUUGAAAUUGUUAAAAAUAUGACCCAACAAGCCAACUUUAUAGAAAGAGAGUGGUUUGGCCCUAAGUACAACUUUAAACUGCUUCAUCCGAGACUUCGUGCAAAUCUCAGCAUCCUUUAGAUGUUAAAUAAGCAGUGGGUACACUAGCGUAUGUGGCUUGAAAAAGAUAUUAUACCAAUAAGAGAGGUAAAGCAUGUAGGUCCCGGCACAUAAAAAUAAGGGAUCCAAUUUAACAGUCCACCACAUUUGUCGAGGGUCGUAAACAGUUUCAGUUGUUGAAAACGACUAAUGUUGAUCAAAAGGUUUAAAAGUAAACCACGUGAUUCAUGAUAAGCAUAAAAAUCAUGUCAAGAUUGUCUUAUUGAAAUGGAAGAUUUCUUAUUGGAAUAAACAAAGAAAUUGAAAAAAAGCAUGUGAAGAGUCAAAAGUUUGACCUGGUCCACCACGAUUUGUGUUUCACGUGCAGAGAGUCUCGGCAGCCUUUUUUUUUUCUUCUUUUGUCUGCAUCGCCGAACAAGAAAUCAGCGUGAAUGUGUGCCACGAUUUGUCUUUUACGUGCAGAGUCUCGGCAGCCUUUUUUUUCUUCUUUUGUUCGCAUCGCGAAACAAGAAAUCAGCGUGAAUGUGUGCCAAAGGUCAGACCUUGGGCCCCACCAACUUUGAUUCUUCGUGCAGGGGGACGGGGGACAUCUUCGGCAGCAUCACCUCAAAGAGAAAAAUUCCUUUUUUUUUAAUUACUUCCUCGUUCGUGCAGCUUUAGCCUUAAGGAAUCCAGCGAAUCGCAUUUUGUAAACACUCAAAUUUGAGAUAUAAUUUAACAGUUUCAGUUGUUGAAAAUGACCAAUGUUGAUUAAAAGGUUAAAAGUAAACCACAGGAUUCAUGACGAGCAUAAAAAUUGUGUCAAGAUUAUCUUAUUGAAAUGGAAGAUUUCUUGUUGAAUAAACAAAGAAAUUGAAAAAAGCAUGUGAAGAGUCAAGCGCCCAAUUUGUCAUUUCGCAUCUCUUUUCCUUUUUUUUGGGGGGGGGGGGGGGGGGGGGUAAGAGGAUUCGUGACAUUUGUUUUACUUAGAGCAUUCUUUCGUAUGGCAAGAACUAGGAAAAUGUCCAUUCUGUACCAAAAAAAAAAAAAGGACAGAAGCUGGUCUCACAUGCUUAACGUGUCGACCGUUGCUGCGAAUUCAAAAACUUCAACAACCAACGUACGAGCUUCGAGCUGAAGACCGUGUGGUCUGACACUCUCGAUGGGUUUGAUCUAGAGUGGUUCGCGUAGUUUCGGAUUCAAGUUCUGGUACCUAGUCAUAUUUUAUAAUAUGUUUUCCGAAUUUUCAAAGAGAAAAUCAUUUUCCUUAAUUUAAACUUCGAUAGGAAAAUAUUUUUUCUUUACUUGGAAAGCUUUUGCUGUUGACUCAUUUUUCUAAGCAAACCAAUUACCAGAAAAAUGAGUAAGAUAUUUUCCAAUAAUUAUAUUUUCUAGGAAACAAACGGAGCUUAAAGAGUUGGUAUUGUCACCUUGAACGAACUCUUCUCAGCCUAUACCAAUUGCAAAUUUGGCAUUUUAAAUAAAUCAUUUAGACAUACAAUUUAACUUAUUUUGGAGGUGUCACUAAUCUAUUUUGCUUAAGACGAGAAGCUCCAGUCAGCAUAAGCAAAGCUUGAACUUCUGAAUUCAGUGGUCAAAGAAUAGCUAAAAGGAGACAUGAGGAAAUGAAGGGCGUAAUUAGUGACAUGCAAGAGCAUGUUUGCGCUUGGGCAUUAUGAGAAGCGUAGGUUGAGUAGGUAUCAAACGAAGAGGCGUUUUUCUUAAGGAGGUGAACGAAUGAACGGACAGGGAAGCACACGAUAGAGGGAGAUAGAAAAGGGUGAGUGCGCAUGUGGAGGAACAGAAAAGAAGAGCAAAGAAGCAUGUCACAGCCAAGAAGAAAGCAAGGUCCGGAGGGAAUAUUUGCUUAGCUUCGAAUCGGAAAUUUUGGGAAGAGUAGAUGAACAUUCACGGCCGAAGGGAGAGGAAGAAACAAUAGCAUUCUAGAAGAAAGCAAGAACACGUUUAACUAAGCAUGGAAAAAGACGAACGUGCAUGUCGGGAUGGACUUUGUGACGUCCUAAUUUUUAGGUUCUGAUUUCGAUUGGAUAAGUUGGGCUUUUCAUCAAUGCAACUAUAGUGUUUUUCUCUAAGAUAACCACUCAUGAGAUAACUGACCUAUCAAAAGAAGCUGUUAAGAAAUUUUAAUGCAAUAGACUUGAGAAUUCGACAAGGAAUCGAUUGUUCAACCAUGCUAGUCUACAAAGGUCAUUACGGUACAAUUAAAAAUCGAUCAGAGACUGGGGAUAGGUCAAUUCGACUGAGAUGGUGAUCAAAGUGUGGGUGAUUCCACCUGAUUGCAAAAUUCUUGUCGAUCGGCACUAAACCGAUUUUCUGUUGUUUUUGGUACUCUGUAUCCGUAUUUGAAACCUCGAGAUUUUCAUAACCACCGAGAGUCGCCAAUAUGUCGAAGAGGUACGUAUGGCUUGAAGAAAAUUGACAACGGGUCAAUUGCACCAAAAAUUCCUAAAAGCUACCUAGUAGGCAAUGUCACACUAAAAGCGCGUCUGAUUGAAAUUAACUGCGAAUUUGAAUUCGAUUUCAGAAAUUGAAGGUCCUGUCGUGUUACAAGUCAUUCUAGGAAUAUUGGCUCACCUUUUGAGGAAAUUCUGGCAAGUUCGAGACUUUUACAGAAAAUCGUUUUGGACGAAUCAAACAAUGCACAGAAAUUUGAAUUGACCAAUUUAAAGAAAUUUUUGGCAUCCGGUGUAAGUAAAUUGGUGAUAGGGAAUUUCGUGGGCUUUUUCCGCUUCAAAUCAGACCCCAAUCAAAGAAGUUUGUUUGAAAAAUUGGAUCCUGAGAAAAACGAAAUGAAAUUCGGAUUUGAAGGAAAUUUGUGGAAUAAAGGGACUAUCUUAUCUUGGUCUUUGUUUAGACUUCAAAUUGCACAUUUGGCAAAGAAAUUGGCCCUAGGAUGACCAAUUGGCAAGGUGAUUUGAUGUUAAUAAUACUAUUAUUUCAUUUUAAUCUUUUUCUUCCUUCUUCCCUUGGUCUCUUGCCCCUUCACGUAAACCCUCCCUUGGCCGCAUAUUAUUUCUUCCUUUUUACUUCUCUCCACAUUUUUCUUUUUCCCCCCAUGCAUGUAGACAUCCCCUCCCUCUUGGCCACACAUUUCUCUCUUUCUUUCCCCCCCUCUCUCUCUCUCUCUCUCAUUGUUGCCCCCACCGAUGGUCCCUCUGUAGAAUUCAACAUCACUUUUUCUGUUUGACCAAGCCUUCACUUAUCCAAUGAUUAAAUACCUCUCUCUCUCUCUCUCUCUCUCUCUCUCUCUCUCUCUCUCUCUUGGCCGCAUGGACGAGCUCCCUCUGUCAUUUUCUACUUUGCUUCCUCUUGCUCAUCUCACAUUUUAUUCAUUUUUGUUGGACGUGGGCUGCUCCUAGACGAGAACCACCGUCCCUCAUGCCCACCGACAACCUUCUGCCCCUUAUCUCCAUGCCAGCAUCACUUGUGGACUUCCUGUUGUUGUGACAUCCCAAAUUUUCAGUCAUAUUUUCUUUUGAAUAAAUCAAGCAUUUCAUUCAUGCGCUUAUAGGGUUGUUCUCAAAGUUGAUCACUUUCGAGAUAACUAGGCUAUUUAGGGAAGUUAUUAAGGAAUUUUAAGGCAAUAGACUUGAGAAUUCGACCAGGAAUCGACUUCUCAACCGUGCUCAUCUUUAGAGGCCAUUACGGCACAGUAUAAAAUUGAUUUGAGAUUAGAGAAAUGUCGAUUUGACUGAGAUGUGUGGCUAAUCGUGGGUGACACUACUAAAUUGGAAAAUUCUCGUCGACCGACCCUAGACUAAUUCUUUUGUCGUUUUGGUACCCUGUGUCCAUAUUUAAAUCCUCGAGAUUUUCAUGACAACCAAGAGUCGCCAAUGAAUUGAAUGGAUUCAUUGUGGCUCGAAGAAAAUCGACCAUGGGUCAUUUGCACUAAAAAUCUCUGAAAACUACCCGGUAGCUUAGGUCACGCUAAAAACGCGCUAAAUGAAAAUUAACCGUGAAUUUGAGUUCGAUGUGUCACAAUAAAUUCUAGGAACGUCGACUCAAUCUCAAAAGAUUUUUCUGCAACCCGAGACAUUUUGGGAAAAAGUCGGCAUAGAACCAUUUUUGUUCAGAAAAUGCCAAGGAUCGUUUUUUGUCGCAAAAUUGAGAUGCAAGAAGGUUAAUUGGAUGAGGAAAAAUAUCAAUUGUAGCAUUGAGGUGCCAAUUGAAAUUAUGAGGGCCAAAUGAGAUUAAUUUUAGGUAGAUCAAAUGUCCAAUUGGUGAUGAAUUGUGUCAAAUUCGUAUGCCCCCCUUAGCCUAGCCAAAAUGUACCAUUUCAAGGUUGUGAAGAGAGCCUUGUUGGCUGAAUUGCAGCCAAGGGGGAAGGCCAUGGCUGGAAAUGGUCAAAGGAGACCAUUGAAUGGAAAAACUUGGCCAAAUGGGGCCCUUGGCCCCCUUAUCCUCUUCUUCUCUCUCCCUCCCAUAGUAGCCGGCAACCAACUCCUUUCUUGCGCUCCAUUUGAGCCGUGAGAAAACUAGCAAGCCAGAGCAAAACUAGCUACAACCGUCGCAUGCACUGCCCACACCGUCGCUGUUCUUCCGUCGUUCUCUACCCCGAGUAGAAAAGCGACCCCCGCACCAUUCCCAUCGGGUUGAUCUGACCUGCGCAUUAAUCAAGUGAGUUUUGCUCACUAAUCCCUUAUUAGUAUGCUAAUGAUGCUUAGGGGUUGAUUAGAUUUAAUUAAAUGCAAUUAGGUGAAUAGAUUAAAUUAGAGUAAUUAAAUUAGAGACUUAUCAAUGUAUGUUAGGUAAAUGGUUGGUGUAAUUAGCAAUGAAAUAGGUUUUAGUAUUUAUUGAGCGAGUCUCGGUAAUUUUCCGGGCUCGUCCCGGCUUCCAAUUAGGCAUUACGGGCCUAAAUCAGAUUUAUUGCAUUUAUUUAAUAAUUUUUGUAAUUAAUUAAUUAUUUAUUUAUUUUCUGGAAAUUAGGCUAGGCUAGCCGAUGACUGAAAUUUUAUACUGAUUAUUGUGUGCAUUCCAUUUAUUUAUGUGAGCGCUAAAUCGUGCUAAAUUGAAUUAAUUAUAAUUUUAGGAUUUUAUUCCUAAUUUAUUCAAUUUUAGAAAUUUAUUGGAAAAUGACCGAGUGUGGGUCUAUAGCAUCAAUAACGUUUUGAUGGGUUAUAUCUUUAAAGUGGUGAGAAAGAAAGUUGUAUUACAUGGCUCGGAGACCAAGAAGGUUGUCCUAGAGAAUACACGUGACUUAUGGAUUUAAUAUAAAGUAAUGAGAAAGAGAGUUGUAAUACGUGGCUCAAAGACCUACAAUGUCGUCUUGGAGAAUGCACGUGGCUCGUUGAUUAAAUAAUUCACCUGUGUAUAGCACGUGGCUCGGUGAUUAGUACGUCACCUUAAAGAAUGCACGUGACUCGGUGAUUUGGUAUAUCACAUUUGAGAAUGCACGUGGCUCGGUGAUUAAGUACAUCGCCUUAAAGAAUGCACGGGGCUUGGUGAUUAGACAUGUCGCCUUAGAGAAUGCACGUGGCUCAGUAACUAGAUGUAUACCGUUGGGGAAAAUGAAUAGUAUGAAUUAAAAUGACUGGGAAAUGGUAUGAAUGACCAUGUAAUCGACUAGGUCGAUUGGUCGAUGAUUCGAUCUAAUUGAGUGAUGUGAUGUAAUCGUGUAUAUUUGAUAUAUAUAUAUAUAUAUAUACUGACUUGCAGGAAGGAAUUAAGGUCAAUGUAAGUCCUCUGACUCGUGUUGUGCUUAAGCAACCCCUAAAGUGUAUUGGCUUCCUAAUAAGGUUUUAUGGGGUAGAACUUGUUGAGACGUAGUCUCAUCCCUGUUGUGGGACAACAUUCCAGGUCUCUAGAUGGUAGCACCUCCAUCUCCUCGUCCUCCCAUGCACUUUGGUAUACCCGAAGAAGUCACUAAGAUAGAAACUCACUUCCCGAUUCAGCCCUACUAGGAAGGAUUAGAGUACGUUUUAGUUAAGUCGACCAUCUGGGCUGAUGUGGGUAAAGAUGCCUUGAGGCUCCAUGAGUAUCGGUCAUGGUAUCGCGAAUAUCAUGAUGGGUGUAGGGAAGGUCCCAUGCCAGAGGGUGAUGUACCUCUAUUCGUUUUAGAGGAAGCAUUCAGAGAAGGGACUGCGGAUCCUAAGGACGGAGUGGUGACCGAUACCAAAGACCCUAAGCUUGAGAGUGACCCCGACUCUCCCAAGCAAUCAGUAGUAGACUCUAGCUGGAGCAUGCCUGAAGGAGAGGUUGAACAAGAAGAUGUAUACCCAGAAAAGAACUGGGAGGAGGAGCCCAAGGAGGAGAAGCCUGCGGAGGAAGAACCUGAAGAGGAGGACCCUGAUGAGGAACUAGAGGAGUCCGAGGAGGAUCCCGAGAAUGAUCCAGAGUAUGACCCGGAUGAAGACUGAGACCUCACCCUAUUUUACAAACCCCAAGUUGGGAUUCGAUGUGUGACAGGUUUGGCUUGUUAAUAGUAUUGUAAUAUAUACUAUGAGGUUUGCCUAUAUAAAAAUGUGGUUGUGGUUUCUUAGUUGUGAAAAAUAUAACCCUACUUUUCUAUCCCAUUGUUUUAUUGUCUGGGGAUUGUUUUAUCUGCUUCCAUAUAUGUAUUAAAAUGAAAGUGUCGGCGAUGUGUGCUAGGACGUCGCUAUUAAUUGACCAAGGUGAGGGAUGGGUGCGUGCCUAAUGAUCGGGGCGUGACAGUUGUUGAUGGAAGCAGCGCCGCACGUCCUCCUCUCUCCGUGUAGCUCUCCACCGAACGCCGCAGCUCCCUUCUCUUCAUGCAGGAUCCCAUCGAAGCAUCCCAUUCGGUCAUCACCAGCAACAUCUCUCCACCGCCCCUCCUUCGGUUCUUGUUUGGCUGAAUGUCUUCAACGGGUCAAAUCCAGCGAAGCCGAAGCUGUUUCUUCGGUUGAUUUGUGGACUGCCAGCAGCGAUGUUGCGCGUCCCCUCCUUGUACGCGAGCCAAGCUACCCAAUAGCGCUAGAAAUGAGCCAGAUCUACACCGAUCUUUCAGCUAGGGUGGAAAGUUGCGUGGCUGAUUUCGGGCCUAUCCCGGCCCCCGUUGGUGCUACCGCUUUGUGGUUUAUCAGCCGCCGUCGUGUCCCCAUUGUUUUGAUCUAAGCGAAUCAUUAAUCGAGUGACUUUUGCUCACUAAUCCCUUAUUAGUAUGCUAAUGAUACUUAGGGGUUUGUUAGAUUUAAUUAAGUGUAAUUAGGUGAAUAGAUUAGAUUAUAGUAAUUAAAUUAGAGACUUACCGAUAUAUGUUAGGCAAUUGGUUAGCGUAGUUAGCAAGUAGACAUGCUCUAUUAUUUAUUGAACGAAUCUCGGAAAUUUUUCAGGUCCGUCUCGGCUUCCAAUUAGGCAUUACGGGCCUAAAUUGGAUUUAUUGCAUUUAUUUAAUAAUUUUCGUAAUUAUUUAAUUAAUUAUUUAUUUCCGGAAUUUAGUCUGGGAUAGUUGACGAUCGAAUUUUAUGCUGAUUAUUGUGGUGCAAUCUGUUUAUUUAUUUGACCGUUGAUUUACACUGAAUCGAAUUAAUUAUGAUUUUAGGAUUUUAUUAAUAAAUUAUUCAAUUUCAACAAUUGAUUGGAAAAUAACUGAGCGUCAAUCUAUAGCGCUAGCAAUAUUUUAGUAGGUUAUAUAAAGUGGUGAGAAAGAAAGUUGUCUUACGUGGCUCGAAGACUUAGAGUGUCGUCCUGGAGAAUGCAUGUGAUUUGUGGAUUAUAUACAUCACUUUCGAAAGACAUGUGGUUCAGUGAUUAGUACGACACCUUAGAGAUUGCACGUGGCUCAGUGAUUUGACACGUUGCCUUAGAGAAUGCACGUGGUUCGAUGAUUAAGUACAUCGCCUUAGAGAAUGCACGGGACUUGGUGACUAGACACGUCGCCUUAUAAGAUGCACGUGGCUUGGUGACUCGAUAUAUAUUAUCUUGGAGAUUGCAUAGUAUGGAUUAAAAUGAUCGGGGAAAUGGUCUGAUUGAUAUGUAAUCAACUAGGUCGAUUGAUCAAUGCUUUGAUCUGAUGCUGUGAAUUGAUGUGGUUCAUGUAUAUCUGAUAUAAACUAACUUGCAGGAAGGAAUAGAGGCCAAGGUAAACCCUCCGACCCGUGUUGUGCUUAGGCAGCCUUAUGACAUAUUGGCUUUCUAAUCGAGUCUUAGGUGAUAGAACUCGUUGAGACAUUGUCUCACUGGUUAUUGUAUAACUAUUUCAGGUCCCUAGAUAGCGGUCAUGAAGGACCGGCAGCCCUGGAGUCUAGGAAGGAGGAGAUCGAAAAAUCGGCAACGUGUCCGAUUAGUGGGUCAUAGAACCAUUACCUUUUAUGGAGCCAAUGGAUUUUGUAAACAGCCUGCUAUUGUAAAUAAACAAGUUUGUUUAUAAAAAACAUUUCGGUUGGUUUGAAAAUUUGGUCAUACUUUCCUAUCCCAUUGGGUUAUUGUCUGGGAAUUAUUUAUAUGCUUUUGCAUGUGUAUUAAAAUGAUUAGGUUGGCGAUGCGCCAUAGGACGUUGCUAUUAUAUCAACCAAGCAGGGAUGGGUGCGUGCCUGAUCGGGCUGUGACAGAUUUCAAGGAGUUCUUCCUCCAUUUUGUUUUUACAUUAAAAGGAGAUUGACGGUGAAUUAUAGAAGGGGGAAUUUCGGGAGAAAAAGAGAGGAGAGAAAAGGAGGAUUCAUUUGAAUAUACAGAUGAACGAAGUGAUUCACUCUCUCCUAGGUUAGAUGGCUACAUGAAUUGCUAAAGGCAAUGGAACAUUGAACAAAGAGAAGGAGAACCCAUGAGUAACUAAAGAUGAUCACCUGUUUCCAUCCGUCGACUGCGUUUAUCCUCAUUGAUCACUAGUUCAUCUUCACUGCCGCAAUUAGUGUCGUAAAUUCUGUCAUGGCUGUUGUUCUAGCUAGCAAUGCCGUCACCCACUGCCUGUGACGACAUUGCUUGAUGAAAUAAUUUGAAAUUGAAACACUCGCAACUCACACAUCUCAAGGAAGCAAAGGAGACAAGAUGGAUUUUUUAUUUAUUUAUUUCACCUUAUCAGAAAUUAUUACAAUACUUGCUUUUAAAUAAGCUUGUUAUAUGACUGUUACACUCAAAUGACUCAUAAAUAUAUUUAUCAUUCCAAUGAGAUAAAUCUCGAGAAUUUACGAAACAUUAACUCAACUUAGAAACACAAACAAUCAAGACAUAGAAAUAUUAAUAGACUCUUUUAAACAACAUUACAAUAAAGACUCUUCUUAACUCAUGCACAUGUAGUGGAAUUCAAAUAGACACCAACAUUAAACUUGCCCAUCAAUACAACAUUAUGAAUUUGGUUUGAUUUUUGACAUUGCAAAUGUGAACUUUGGAGCUACCCUCCUACUCUGCUUCUAUGGUGGUUUGAGCUAAAAGAUUGUUGCAUCAUUACCGUUUUGAGCUGCAGCAUCUUUGCCAAUCAAACUGCGGACCUUAUGUACAUCUAACUUCAUGGACUAGGAUGUCAAUCGAUAAGCUAGGUCCAACACUUUCGCUCUUUUGAUUCUCCAUAGUUUCGUGUGUAUGAUUUUGUAAUAGAUGGGCUCAACAAACUCAAGCCUAUCUCUCCCAAGCCCGGACCCAUUUUAAUUUUCUUCAGCAGAUUAAGUGAGACGUCUCCGACGAACAAAACAAGGAAAAACAGAGGGAGCUCAUCCUGGGCAGAAGGAGAAGAAGCAGAAAAGGAGAAAAGAGGAAAAAGUUUAGCGCCUAGCCAAUUCAGACUCCACCAUUAGCCAAAUCAACAACAAGUUGCAACACUUAGUGAGUAUUCAAGCCGAUCAUUCAUCUAAUUAGAGUAAAUUUAUGAUUUAGGGCACGAGUUCUAACUUAUGUGGACUCUAAUGGACGAUUGAGGAGCUAUUAACCUUAGAUUUAUAUGGAAAUGAUUGAUAAAGGCAUUGUGGAGCUUUGGAGUUUGUAGAAAUUCAAUUCUGAAGUACAGUGUGAUUGGAACAAUAUUAUGAAGUUUGCGUACAAGUUACACAUAAGGAAAAAGGAUGCAUGUGUGCUUUGAAUGAGGUCACUCGCGAACACAUAGAAGUCAUUUUGUCGAUGAUUAAAUGUAGUUUAGUCUAGUCGUUUGUUAGAAUUGUGUUACUCAAGUUUUCAUAUUGUUUUUCAAUUAAUUGAUAGGAAUGCAAGUGCAAUAGUUUGAAUAACCACCGUAGGUUGGUUUAUGGUUUUUUUAGGUAAAUGAUAGUAUUUCUUCUUUGAGUUUAUAAAUUCAUGUUUCAAAAAUGAAAUAAAUUAGUUAUGUUAUGAGUUAAGAACAAGCAUAUUCCUUGCAUAAAUUGGAUUUAGCAUUUACUACCAUUUGCGUAUUAGAUGUGAAAAUGUUAUAUUUUGAUUAUAGUCUAAAUUGAUUACUUGCAAAUGGGUUUACAAAGCCUUUUGGGAAAGACUCACGAGAAGUCUUUGAUUAUAAAUAAGGUUUGUGAAUGGUUAUAUAUUGAUUUGUGAACUGGUUCACGAAAUGGACUUUGAAAUAGUUUGGGAAAUGUAUUGUGAUAUGUAAGAUGUGAUUUGAUAGAGAUUAAUUAAUGGACUUGACCAUUGAUAUUUGAAUUGUAAUGGUGAAAAGUUGUGAUCUGGUUGUUAAACCUAAGUUGUAAGAUUGUAUUUUAUUUUACUUGUGGAUUUCUAGAGAUUGAGCUUGAUGGAUUAUGCUUAGUGUCUUUAUAAACCUAUUGAGGUGUGUGUGGGUAUGUGCAUACUAGUUUAGAAUAUUUUUGUGGACGGAGUAGCUAGCUGUUAAUAGGUGGAGACCUGACUAAGGAGAGAAUCUUAGUCACCUUUUUAUGAGCAUUAUGUAUGAUCAUGACUAGAUACUUGAGCAUGAGAUUGGUCAAUGGAAUGGACUAUUUAUUGGUGGAUGAAGCCAAAUCUUUUUAGGGGCUUUUUUGUCUUUUAUAUUAAUUUUUCUUUUAGGUUAAAAGCUACACCAUUAUAUUAGUGAUAGUUAGACAUUAGCAGUUAGCCAUCAAGGGGUUGAAAAGGAAAACAAAGAGAAAAGAAAAAGCGAGAAGAAAAAGUGAGUUUUUCUUUAUGAGUGUACUCAACCUUUUUGUGCCUUGAUCUUGACCAAAAAUUAUCGCUAUAUUCCAAAUUUCUUCAAAGUGCAUUCAUAGAGUGCCUUGUGCGAAAAUGUAGUCCAGGUUUGGAUGAACUUCAACAAUACAUUUUCUAGUGUGUUCUUUCGACUCUGCUCUUUAUUAUUAUAUUAUGCUUGAGUGAAUUGUUUGCAAACGUUAUUUUUCUGAAAUUGACAUGCUCUUUCCUAACAUCUAGUAUCGUAGCCUAGGUUGGCUAAUUGAGAACAUAGAGGAUUUGUUUGGUAACGUUCGAUGGGCAGGAUUUUGGAGGUGGAAACUCCAAAUUGAGAACUAUAUUUAUUAGAAGGAUCUCUAAGCACCACUUUAGGGUUGGAAACCCAAGAUCAUGGAGGUGGAUCUAGUAGCAAAAUUGGGGUGGAAAAUUGAUCGAAAUGCAUUAGAUGCAAUUCAUCUAGGGCUAACGAAAAAGAUAAGAUACCAUUGCGAAAGCAAAAACUACAAAAGAAGCCAUGGAUAUUCUAACGAAUAUUUAUGAGAAGCCAUCCACAUCAAAUAUGGUAUUCUUGUUGAAGAAGUUGGUUAAUAUGAAGUUAUUUGUGGCAAAACUUAUCAAUAGUUUCACAUAAGUCACAUCUUAGUUGGAAUUCACAAGCAUAAUGAGGAUAUGAAAUUUCAAGCAUUGUUAUUUUUAUGUUCCCUUAUAGAAAGGUAUAAUACCAUAGUGCAAGGAAUUUCAUACCCCAAGAAGGAUCAUUUGACUUUAGAUGGAUGAAGAGAUGCCAAAGAAAGUCUCAAGUGGAGAUAAUUUUUCAGCAUCUACAUCGUUGUCCCAAGGACCAAUGUCAUUUUCAAUCACACAUCCACAUCAUGAUGCAGCAAUUCCAUGAUUCAAUUUAAAAACACGUUGACGUCAGUACAAUCCAGGGACUCAACCAUCAAUCGAAUAAAUCCUUAGUCAUUUCUUAUCCCUGAGAGUACUAUAAACUCACUAGUGCUUAUAUUAUAUGAACUGUAAAAAGAAUCUCAUAUUCUAGGCCCUAAAUUAGCCUUGAAAGGUGUUAUGCGCGCCCUUAGAAAUGACAUUUGUUAUCUAGGUAAACAGGUUUAGAAAAUAACGAAACUUUAAUAUAAGAUAGACAAGACCUAGUGGGACAUUUUUCAGCGAAGGACCCAAAGUUCGAUUCAGCUAAAUAACUUUCAUGAAGGACGCAUGUUAAGAUUCUUUGACCAAAAAUUUGUGGAAAAUGGAAAGCAAAAAGAGGUUGGUUCGGCGACCUCGAAAAUAGAUUUCUAAUCAUGUAGUUUUCAAAUGUAUUUUUGUCAUAUGAAGUCCUAAAAUUCGGAUAUUAAAGUAUGUUGUAGAACGGCCAAAAAUGGACAAUUUUCCUGAAGAAUGCCUCUGAAAUUCACAUCAUAUAAGUCAGUAAAAAAUUAGCAAAAUUCAUGGUUGGGCUAAAUCGAAUCUGUCCUCAAUCCCAGCACUAAUUUCACCCAUAAAUUCAACUACCAGCCCCCGUACGUGGUAAAUAUUAACCGUCCAUGUUCCUACGACCUAACCACAAGCUCGACUACUUCGAACUCGACAAUGUAGCUAGCUAACAUAAUUGAAACUUUUGAUAAAAUGAGGAUCUAAACAAUAUUCAUGAAUUUCUAGGAAACCAUCCUCAUCACACGUAAUCGGUCGACAUAUGAUAGAACGGGAGAUAUCUACUUGCCUUGGGUCCUUAUGGAUUGUGGUGGCAGUUCGGCAGGACAGUGGGGUGGCUGAUGGUGGCGACGUGCAUGGCUGCGACGGAAAGGGAAGCUGCUAGUGGUCGCAAGUUGUAGUGGUGCGCUGGACAAAGGCUUGGGGGAGAGAGCAUGACCGUUAACUGAGGAGGGGCGGUCUUCGCUAGCUUCUAGCUUGCUAGCAUAGACAUGUAGAGGGCAACCGAAGAUGAGUGUGAGGUGAAUUGUGGCGUGACAACAGAAGAGAAAGAGGGAGGGAGCAUGUAGUGUUUGAAGAGGGAUUAAGGAAGCAGCUUCUGCUCCGAGCGAGGAUGGGUAGAGUUUUUGUUAUACUCUGUUUUUGCCUUCUCGCUGUUGUUCUGGAGUUGGGCAGCACCGUUGCUCGAGUUGGUCGUCGUGAUUGACUUGAGCGGCAUUGCUGUUGGUGGCAAAUGGAAGAAGGGCCAACCGGUCAGGCGUGUCUUGUAGGGAUGCGGCCAGGUGGUGGCAUGCGGAGGUGCCGAGUUGGCAAGCUGGCAUGGCAUUGCCGUGGCGGUGCGGUGGAAGUUUGCCAAUGCCGGAAACUACUAACGUGAGAAACUACUAACGUGAGGCACGAUGGAUCCGGUGUUGAAAUUCAAUAGUGGGCUUGGCAAGUACGAGGUGACGGUAGGACCUAGUGGCUUGUUUUAAUGGCGGUUUAAGACACGGCACUAAGUGAGGGAGUGGUGGUGGCGCGUUGCGACAAUGUCAACUUGACCGACUGAGGCGUCUUGAUGGUGCCGAAGACGAGCUUACUUGCGCCGCAUGAUUGUCAAGUAUUUGAGGCUUGUUAUUUUGUCGAGGGAAAUUUUGGAUGCCACACUCCCCAUCCCUAUGAUUAUGCAUCACCAUAAAAUUGACAAUUCGUUUAUACAACUUCCAAUUUUCAUCAAAAAAAUGUGCAGUGAGGCAUAAAUAAUUCAGGUUUUGAAUGGAACUUCAUGUAUCAGUCGUGAGUGUAAUCCUAAAUUAAAGACAAGGUGGGCUCAUUACUUCAGAACAAAACUUGGGAGAUGACCAAGUUGCCUAAAAGUAAAAAGGCCUUAUUAAACAAUUGAUAUUAAACAAGUGAGUGUAUAGGAUAAAAAAUGAAGCAAGUGGUGGUAUUAGAUGCAAGGUGAGACAUGUGGUCAAGAGCUUUUCAAAAAAAGAAUGGAUUGACUACACCAAGAUAUUUCACCAUAGUUAAAAUGACAUCAGUCAGAGUUCUACUGAGUAUAGUUGUAGUGGAGGAUCUUCAUCUUGAGCGGUUAGACGUAAAAACGACAUUUUUACAUGGUGACCUAGAUGUAGACUUAUACGGCGCAAUCUAAUCGUUUUGAAGUCAGAGAUAAUGAGCACAUGGCAUGUCGCUUGAAGAAAAGCUUGUAUAGCUUGAAACAAGCUCCACAACAGUGAUAUUUAAUUGAUGGUUUUAUGGAAGAAAACGGAUUUGCUCAUUGUGAGGUUGACCAUUGUGUUUAUUUUCGCAAAUAUGACGAUGGUGAUAUUGUGUUUCUCUCUUUAUUUUUAAAUGACAUGUUAACUUUUAAUUGAUGGUCCAUGAACUUUUUGUAUUUAUUCGAUAUAAUCCAUAAACUAUAUAAAAAUGUUUAAUGUAACUAUCAAUCAAAAUUCUAUAUGAUACACAAAUUAUGUAAUUUGUAUAUUUGGUUGUAAUUAUCUUGUGGUGCACGGAAAAGUUACUCCCCUAUACACAAUGUUUAUGUCACGUUCACAUGUAAUGAGCGAUUUGAAAUGUCCACAUUCGUCAAUUACUUAUGACAUUGCAAGACUAAGCAAGUGAGACACCUUGCAAUAAGAAAGAAGAUGUAUGCCUCGGAUUGAUUAAAUCAUAGGGACCGAAUGGACAGGAAGAAAACACACAAGGAACAUAAGGUUUUAAUUCAAUAGGACAAACAACAACAAUCGACAGUGCUGAUGAGGCAUGUUAACGAUACUCACAGAAGAAGAACAAGAAGAAUCAAAGGAGAUUAAGAUGGUUAGGGGUCAAUGGCUUGAAGACGGUGGGAGCGUGGGACUCAAUGAAGGCCACCUGAGACCUGGGGAGGUGAAGGUAGGCCACCCAAUCCCCAUUGGAAAGCAAGCUGGGCAUGGGCAUAAUGAACCCGGCUUUGCCUCCCCAUGGGAAGUGGUAGGACCCUAGCACUAGCUUCCCCCACUCAAAGUCCAUCUUGGUCACUGGGAACCUCUGUUCGGAUGACACCACGAGCACCGUCCACCCUUCCUCCUCCACCUUGCUGUCGGGCUUGCAGAAUAUCCUUACCAAUGCUGGCAUUCGCCGGUGUUCUUCCACCCAAUCUAUCAGGUCUAGAAAGUGCUCCUUCGUUGCUGCCCUAUCCACAAACUCAUGCCUUGGUGAGAUUUAAGAUUAGUUCUACACGCUCUAGACAUACCUUUGGUAGCUUACCCUGAGAAGUUAUCAAAUAACAUAUUGACCAUAUAGAACAAUGUUAUUUCAAUAAAUAAUUAUAUAUGUCCGAACAUGGAACGCAUGAUUAACAUAGAGACUGCGAAAAAGGUGAUAUCCAUUAUCUAAUUACUUCAUAUGAGACUUACUAAAGAGAGGAGAGAUUAUUUAAGAGUCUUAGGAUGUAUUUGGUAACCAUUCUAUUUCCAGAAACAAUUUGCACUCGAAAAUAGUUUUUUUUUUUCUGAUUCUGCUCCCUAAAAAAGUUUCUAAGGGUGCGCAUGACAAUCAUUUUGUUCUAGAAAUAGUUUCUAGAAUAUAAAUAAAUUUUUCUAUUUCUAUUUUUAGAAGAUUUUUUAAGUAAAAAUAACCGUUUGAUAACGAUGCAAAAUUUCUAUUGUAUAGAAAUUCAUUUAAUAAUGACAUAAAAUUUCUUUCUUUCAAACGGUAGUGGACCGGCGGCGGCAGCAGCCGACAACUGGCGGCAGCGACGUGGCGGCCGGUGAUUGGCAGCAGCAGCAUGGCAGUCAGCGACUGGCGGCAGCGGCGGCCGGCCGACUGGCAACAAUCAACCAAUGGUGGUCAACGGCAACAAAUGAAAGACUGGUUGACGAAUGAUGAGAAAUUUUUUUAUUUUUCAUUUCUGUUCCAGAAAUAGAGAAGUAGAAAAUUUCUACUUUUGAUUUCUAUUCCAAACCUAUUUCUUGAAUAGAAAUCUAUUACAGAAAUAAAAAAACGGAAUAAGUUUAUCAAACGGAUUUCUAUUCCAAAAACAGAUCCGGAAUAGAAAAAUUAUUGCCGGAACAGAAAUAUGCAGUUGUCAUGCAUCCCCUAAGUAUUCAAAUGUGUUUGAUCAUUGCAUAAAUUUUUAUUCCCAAAAUAUUAAAAGAACAUCAAUGCGUUUUGUACGAUCCUCAAACCUUUUUUAACCUUUUUUUUCUAUGAAGUAAAAUGUCUUUCAAUUUUUUAAUAAUUUUGUGAGAUUUUUCGUUUUUUUUUUACUUUGUUCUUCUUCCUCCUCUAGCUAAACGCUAGGCCUUGGCAAUGGUUAGUAACCAACCAAAGACAAGAGCUAGCAACCUCGUUAGCCCCCAGGGAGGUUGGCCUAGCUACCAACAAGGCUCGACCUCACCCAAUCAAGGCAAGGCCAACCUUGUUGAGGGCCGGCGAGGUCACUGGGCCUCAUCUCUGAUUGGUCAUUAGCUAGUUGCCACCAUUGCCGAGCCCUACAAUUAGUUAGAGGAGGAAGAAGAAGAAAAGGAAAAAAAAAAUGAUUUGGUUUUAGAAAUUGUUCCCAAAAACAAAAAAUUAAUUUUUUUCAAUUUCUUAUUUCUAUUUCAAAUCUAUUCGAUGGUCACUGAUUUAUUCCCGUGAAUAGAAAAAUUAGCUAAUGUUAUCAAAUGAAUUUAUUUUCUUUUUUUAUUUUGAGAAAUAAAAGAAUAAAAAUAAUCAAGGAUUGACCGGUCAUCUAAUAAGACCUUAAAAUGUUUCCCAUGAAGUCGAGGGUAAAAGAGAGAUCCCACCUCUGCCACAUAUAUUUGAAUUAUUUUGUGCUUGAGGGCACUAGGAACCCACGCCAUGCCAUUACGGUCUCAAUAAAUUAAUGAUUGCUUUUGAGGUCCACCUUCGCAAUAUUUUUCCACUCAUUCAAUUCGGUCCAUAAAAAAAAAAAAAAUGAUAGUCUCCUCCUGCGCUAUAUUAUUAUCGCUCAUCUAUCAUGCUAUUAUUAUCUCGCUAUUCUCUAUGGACUCAAUGAGCCAAUGUAUAAUCUCAAUGAUCACACAAGUAAACGAGAGAAACUCGUGCAAAGUGUGAGAUUCUUUUUCCUUUCAAUAUUUAGGUUCAAUUUAUUUCGGAAAAAAAUAUAAUAUUUCUGAAAAAUAUUUUUCAAGGAAUCACUUUUGAGGAAAUGACUAUUUUAUAGUGCUUAGCUAAAAAAUGAAAAUGAAUUAGAAAAUAUUUUCCACCGUUUGGCAUGGAAAUUGAUUUUCUUGGAGAAAAUUAAUAUAUUCAAUUAUUUUUUCCAUUCUUUUUAUCUUUUUCCUUCUUCCUUGACCAAUCGCUGGCCAUAGCGGCAAUUGGCUAGGCUCAUGCUCUCCAAAUUCCAGCAAGCUUGAGCCAUGGCUUGCCUGCGAUGGGUUGUCGCCGUGGUGGUUGAGUAAGAAGCGAAAAAGAAAAGUAGAAAGAAAAAUAAUAAAAAAUAAUUUAAAGUUUGAAUUUUGAAUUUUUUUUUUUUUGCAAUAUUUUAAUAAGAGCAAACAUUUCAUCAACCAAGGACUCGAGUCCAAGUGCCGAAGACCGAUGUCGAUAUAUAGUCAUAUUUUGGAAAAUGUUUUUCAACCUUUUAAGGAGGAAAUCAUUUUCCCAAAUUUUAGUAUAGAUUUUUUGCUGACUAGGAAAACAUUUACCAUUGGCUCAUUUUCCUAAGCAAACCAAAUGAUGGAAAAAAAUGGAAAAUGUUUUUAAUAAAAUAUUUUCCACGAAACAAAUAGAACCUUAGCAAUAAAUCUUUCUACAUUGUUAUGUUUUGUAUGAGAAAUCAUUGAUGUACUUAUGCUCUAUUUGUUUCACAGAAAAUAUAAUAUUUCUAGAAAAUCUUUUCCAAAAGGUCAUUUCCCAAGAAAAUGAUAACGUUUUAUGGUGUUUAGUUGAAACCUUAAAAUGAAUUGGAAAAUAUUAUUCACCAUUCGGUAUAUAAAAUAUAAUUUCAUUUUUCUAAGGAAAAUUACUACUAAAUUCAAUAUUUUAAAUAAUACUUUGAAUUUAUUAAUUUUCUUUCUUCUUUUUUUUGUUUUCCCUUCUUUCUCAGCUUGUCACUGGCCAUGGUGACGAUUGGUGAGGCUCAAGCUUGCUAGAUUUCGAUGAGCUAGAGACUUUUUAGUGGUCAUUGAGGUGUCUAGCAAGCUCAAGACUUGCCAAAUUUCCACAAGACUGGAGCUCCCCAGAAUUUGGUGAGCUCAAGCUCAAGUCUCACCGACCUUUGGUGAGACUCAAGCUAGCUUAUGGCCAUUCGAUGAUUGUUGGUGUGGCCCACAAUUGGCCAAAAAGAAGCAAAAUAAAAAAAAUUAAUUGAAAAUUCAAAUUUUUAAAUAUUUUUAUAAGAAUGAACGUUUCAUAAACAAGAACUCAAGCCCGUGUACCGAAGACCCACACCAAUACCAAAUCAUAUUUUGAAAAAUGUUUUAUGAUCUUUCAAAGACAAAAUCAUUUUCCUGAAUUUCUUGUCUGAUUUUUUUUUUUUUGAGUCAGAUUUAAGCAUAGUUUUCCAUUAACUCAUUUUCUUAAAAGAACUAAACGCUGGAAAAUAUUUUUCAUGAAACAAACAAAGCCUUAAUCAUAGAUUAUGCUAUUAGGCGUGAUCAAAGUCCAAGCAUUAUUCUUCUUUUUGAACAAUGGUAGAGGGUAUCCAAAUCGAUCAGUCAAAUUUGCACACUGAGUGAUGUAAACAAUUAGUUUAUAUUCAAUGCCUAUUGAAAACACUUCAAUAUCGAUGAAAAAUCAAUUUAGUGAACCGUUCUAAGUAAAGUUGGAAAAUUCGACUAAUAGACUACAUGCAGAAGAUGCACUAUUUUGUUCGACGCUAGUUAUGCAUAAAUAAAAGAUUUAAGAAAAACACUAUAGAUUUAGGUGAAACAAAGAUGAAAAUGGGUGCGAUUGCUUAUACAGUAAUAUGAUCUUAGAUGGAUAAAUGAUAUAUAGUGAGGUUGUAUCUAAUAUCAAUACCUGAACAGCAAGCACGCCUCGCUUCUUUGUGGGCACCAGUUUCCCUUCAAUGGUGUCAUCUGGAUUAUCCAGGUUGAGAUGGCGGAGUUCCAUGUCUGCGAAAGCUUCGAUGAAGCCGACCCCCGAAUUGUUGCAUAGGAGCUCAGGCUCACCGGCUGAGUUUUGCACCACCUCUCUGACGAGAGCAUAGUAGGAGACCAAAGCUUGGGCCAAGGCAGCUUUUAGAACACCAACCACAGACCCAUAUUCCAGCCUCUAUGAUGCGAUGGUGAUUGGAUUGGUGUAGUAGAAGAAGACGCCUACGUCGAGUAUGAUAAGGCUAGUAAGGACACCUAGAGGGGGGUGAAUAGGUGUUAAAAGAUGUUUUUGCAAUACUUAAUAGAUUAACUCGUCUUUUGAGGAUAAUAGAGUGAAGAUGUAAAAGACUACAAAUAGUUAUAUAAAGCUACGAAUUAAAGUAAAGAGUUCGGGGAAAGAAAAUUGAAACACAAGAUUUAUAGUGGCUUGGCUUAGACCAAGCCUACGUCCACUCUCCCGCAUUGACAGCCUACUGGCUAGAUUUCACUAAGAAUCAAAAGAGAUUUUACAGUCUCACAUCCUUAAUUCAAUAGUGUAGAAACUUUACUACACUUCCUCAAGGUCUCACAAGUAUUUGAUCUCUCUUUUGAGCACAACUUAAGCUUAGCGAUUGAAAUAUCAAUGAACUAAGAGCUUCAAACUUUGGAAUUUUUCUUUCACGCACACACUCAAAUAACUUGAGCGUCUUCCUUAUAUACUCCUCCAUGCCUUUAUAACCGUUGGUACUUUCCAAAAGAGUUCUUCCAAUCUACCCAUUGGACAGAAUCAAUCAAAGAGAUCUCGAGUUAUUUAAGGAAUGUGAUGAUAGCCUACCAAUCCUACUUGCUCAUACAAUCAGGAUCUAGGUUUCCAUAAGUAGAACUUGAUAUAGCUAGUAUGAGUACCUAGAGGGGGUGAAUAGGUAUAUAAAGGAUUUUUCUUGAUAACUGCACAAUACUAGACAGUUGAUAGAUUUGAGACAAACGAUAAUCAAAGUAAGACUGAGAGAAGAGAAAAUUGAACACGCGGUUUAUAGUGGUUCGGCUUAUGUCAAGCCUAUGUCCACUCUUCUGCACUGAUAGCCUAUUGGCUAGAUUCCACUAUGAACAAAGAGAUGUUACAGUGUUGUUCUCUCUUGCUUUCUCGGUGUAGAUGAUCUACCACACUCGCUCAAGGAAUCACUAAGUAUAGACACUCUUUGUGUGUACAAUUUUGCUCAAAAUGUAUCGACUGAUAAUCAAGGUACUUCAGACUCUGGAAUUUCUCUAUCGAUCAUGCACUAAAGUAACUAGAACGUCUUCCUUUUAUACUCCUUUAUGCCAUCAUACCCGUUGGCACUUACUAAAGGAAUUCCUCCAAUCUACCCGUUGGACGGAAUCAAUCAAGAAGAUCAUUCAAGCUAUUAAAGGAACCUGACAAUAGCCCAUCAAUCUUGUUCGCCCAUACAAUCAGGAUCUUGGUUUCCAAGAAUAGAACCUUCCAAGAAUAUUUCGUCGACCAUCGGAUCUUCAAACGAUCUUGAAUACGAAUAAAAGAAUCCGUUAUAUUUAUCCAGCCAAGAGAUCUUCUCCAGAGGAUAAGACCAAAUCCUCAACCAAAUACUUUGGCUUUGGAUUGCCUUCGUCACUGGAUUAGAAGAACUGUCAAUGAGAAUAGUCUUGAGUCUUGAGUCUGGUGAUCCGAAAGUCUUCAGACUCUAAACCGAAGGUCUGUACUUAUCCAGACUAGACUGAUAGAAAUGUUUUGUCAGCUUCAAAAUAUUCUGGAAAGAUUUCUCCAACAAUCUCCCCCUUUUUUAUGGUGACAAAACUUUCCUGUAGAUUUGAACAACUUUGACCUACAAAACAUUACUCAAGCAAUAUGGCUAUCUCAUAAAGAUUAAUAAAUUAACCAGACUCUGCAUCCACAGAAAAUUGGUUAGUCUUUCAUGAGUAAGACCAUACAACAAUACUUGAUAUAAAUGCAAACAGUCAAAGAUCAAAAUCCACACAAGUCAGUCAAAUUCAAGUUCACACCCAAGUCAUACUCAAAUAUUCAAACACGUCUCAAAGUUUAAAGUUAAAGAGUUUAAAGAGUUCAAAUUGCAAUUCUCCCCCUUUUUGUCAUCAUUAAAAAGGUGAGAAAUGAGUCAAGUCUUUUUGGGAACGCGCACAAUCUGGAAGUCUCCCAUCGAUUGGACGAUGCCUUCCAGCCUCUUCAAGUCUUCCCGAAGAUGAGCCACCUCUUCUCCUUUGGCAUUGGCUUGAAUUUGAAGAGCGAGGUCUUUCAUUUGAUCUGCCAGGGUAACAGAAGAUGCUUGUCCAGCAUUCUUCAUGACUUGAAGUUCACAUUCCAGAGCAUAGAUUUGACCCUGCAUUUCCAGAAGAACAUCAAGGAUACAACGAAAAUCUGCUGUAUUGUCCGUCUGUGUGCUCGCAUUUGCUUUUUCGGAUGGAGUGAAGGCAGACGAUGGAACUUCAGCGUAAUCGAGCAGAUUUGGUGUUGACGUAUCAUGUCCUUCCUCAGGCAUUUGAGAAGCCUGAAAAUCUUCUGGAUUUGCUGGUGAGCGACUCACACCUUCACUGUUGACAGCAUGUGGUGUAGUCCUUCCUUGCUCUCCAUCUCCCCCUGUCUCUAAGACCUCUAUUGGGGAAGUGUUAAGGUCAUGCUCUUCUGCGCCUUGAUUCCCUUCCUCUACAGCUUCAUCUGCAGACUUUUCUUUUUCUGCUUCUCCUUCUGCUUCAGCUUCUUUUUCUUUCUCUUGUUGCUCCUUUGCUUCUCUGUUCUUUGAUUGUCCCUCUUCUUCUCUCUGUGGUCCCCUGUUUGCGAUUCUUGAAGACUUUCUCGAGGAAGACAUUCUUUCUUGUCGUUGAAAGAUUCCUUUACUCGCUUUCCCAAGAAAAAAUGACAACUUUCUCGAAGAUAAACACGAAGUAGAAACAGGAUUGGGAGGAGAAUGCUUUUUAGGGUUUUGAAGAUUGAGCGAGAAAAACUGUAUAUAUAUAUAUAUAUAUAUAUAUAUAUAUAUAUAACUCAGUUUAAAAAGGAAAAACCAAUCGGCACAAAGGAAAAUGAACAGACGCCUUUUUUUUUUAAAUCAAUAACUGCCAAAUAGAAGUUAAUCUUUUUUAAAAGACAAGAUUCAGUUUUUCACGGAAAUUAUAAAUUAACUGAAUUAAUGAUCGUACCUUUUCGAGAUUGAAUAUAAUAACAACUUACAGUCUAUAGCCAUGUAUGUCUAAGUAUGAGGGUUGGAGAGUCUCUAGACUUUAACUUCCUCAAGCUUCAAAAUGUUGAGUCUGGAACGGAUGAAAUCGAAUUGAUUUUUCUCCAAAGGCUUUGUGAAUAUAUCCGCUAGUUGAUUUUUUGAAUCAACAAAUUGAAUUGAGAUUUCUCCAUUUUGAACAUGAUCUCUAAUGAAGUGAUGGCGAAUCUCUAUAUGCUUUGCUCUUGAGUGAAGAAUUGGAUUUUUAGUGAGAUUGAUUGCGCUGGUGUUGUCACAUCUAAUCUCUGUGCAUGAGUCUUCAAUUUCAAAGUCUUGUAGCUGUUGUUUUAUCCAUGGAAUUUGCGAACAGCAACUUCCAAGAGCUACAUACUCUGCUUCUGUUGUUGAAAGAGCCACAGUGCUUUGUUUCCUUGAAAACCAAGACACUGUCCUGCUUCCAAGCAACUGGCAAGUUCCCGAAGUGCUUUUUCUAUCAACUCUGCAACCGGCCAAAUCUGCGUCUGAAUAUCCUUGAAGAUUAAAGUCUCCCUUCUUAGGAUACCAAAGACCGAUGCUUGAAGAUGUAGCAACAUAUUUAAUAAUACGUUUCGCAGCACUGAGAUGGGAUUCUCUAGGAUCUGAUUGAAACCUAGCACAGAUGCAAACACUCAACAAAAUGUCAGGUCUAGAAGCAGUAAGAUAAAUAAGUGAACCAAUGAUGCUCCUAUAAAGCUUUUGAUCAAUUUUUUUCCCUUCUUCAUCUUUGUCUAUCUUCAAAGAACUUGACAUUGGUAUGUCGGUCUUUUUGCACUUUUCCAGUCCAAACCUUUUGACAAGAUCGUUAGCAUAUUUUUCUUGAUAAAUAAAAGUUCCUUCCUUCAAUUGUUUUACUUGAAGACCAAGAAAGUAUGUUAACUCUCCCAUCAUACUCAUUUCAAACUCAUCCUGCAUAGACUUAGAAAAUUUCUUGCACAGACUUUCAUUAGAUGAUCCAAAAAUAAUAUCAUCAACAUAUAUUUGAACAAGUAAGAAACUUUUGUUUUCCUUUUUGAUAAAUAAAGUAGUAUCUACUUUACCUUUGACAAAACCAUUCUGUAUUAAGAACUUACUUAGCCUGUCGUACCAAGCUCGAAGUGCUUGCUUUAAACCAUACAAAGCCUUUUUCAGUUUGAAGACUGAGUCUGGCUUCUUUGGGUCUUCAAACCCUGGUGGUUGUUCCACAUAAACUUCCUCAUGUAUAAAUCCAUUUAGGAAGGCGCUUUUGACGUCCAUUUGAAAUAACCUGAAAUUUUUAUAACAAGCAAACGGAAGUAAUAGUCUAAUAGCUUAUAACCUUGCUACUGGCGCGUAAGUCUCAUCAUAGUCUAUUCCUUCUUCUUGCGUAUAUCCCUUGGCCACGAGUCUUGCUUUUUUUUGUACGACUUUUCCUUUCUCAUUCAUCUUGUUCCUGAACACCCAUUUAGCUCCAAUAACAGUUUUACCUUUUAGUUUGGAUGUCAAUUCCCAGACAUCAUUAAUGUUGAACUGUCUGAGCUCUUCUUGCAUAGCUUCAAUCCAGCUUUCAUCAGAUAAAGCUUCUUCUAUGCUCUUUGGUUCAAUUUCAGAAACGAGAGCCACAGCACUAGACUCUUCUCGCCUUUUGGAUCUGGUGUGAAUUCUUUCAUUAAUUUCGCCGAUAAUGAGAUCUUUGGGAUGACUGGACUUAUGCUUCCAGUUACUGGUUGAUUUGUCUGGUUGAUGAUCUCUUUCUUUAUUUGAAUCUUCACAAACAGCUUGAUGCUGGUCUUCCAGAGUCUGAGAUGCUUCUUGAGUUGUAAGCUUUGGAGGGUCUGGAGCAGGUUCAGACUCUUCAUGAUGAGUCCGACUGGAUUCAUCUUGCGUAGAGUCUUGAAAUUUGACAUUCAUUGACUCCUCCACAGACUGGCUCUUCUUGUUAUAGACUCUGUAGGCUUUGCUUGAUGUAAAAUAUCCAAGGAAGAUGCCUUCAUCUGAUCUUUCUUCAAACUUACCAACUCGAUCUUUUGCAUUUUUCAAUAUAAAGCAUUUGCAACCGAAUACAUGAAAGUAUGAAACAAUAGGCUUCUUAUCUUUGAAUAACUCAUAAGGGGUUUUCUCUAGAAUAGGUCUUAAGAAGACUCUAUUGAUGAUAUAGCAUGCUGUUGAAAUAGCUUCAGCCUAAAAUCGUGAAGAAAUCUUACUUUCAAUUAAAAGAGUUCUAGCCAUUUUUUGAAGAGAUCUAUUUUUUCUUUCCACAACUCCAUUUUGCUGAGGAGUAUAUGGAGAGGAGAACACAUGCUUAAAACCAGAUUCAUCACAAAAUUUUGUAAAGUCUUAAUUUUCAACUUCACCUCCAUGAUCUGUUCUUAUACUUGAGAUAACAUACCAUUUUUCAUUUUGAACCUUUUUAGCAAAUUUUUCAAAAUAUGAGAAGGUUUCAGACUUACUUACAAGGAAAUAUACCCAAGUAAAAUGGGAGUAAUCGUCCACAAUUACUAGGCAAUAUUUCUUACCUCCAAUGCUCUGGGUUCUGGUUGGUCCGAAGAUAUCCAUAUGCAGCAGCUGUAGAACAUGAUUAGUAGAGACAUGAUUUAUUGGCUUAAAUGAAUUUCUUACCUGCUUUCCCAGAUUGCAUGGAGUGCAUGGAUCAAUCUUUUGGUAAGGUAAUUUGGGUAGACCUCGAACAAGCUGCUUUGAUGAAAUUUUGGCUAAUUGCUUCAUGUUGACAUGACCAAGCUUUUUGUGCCAUAAGCUUGCUUCGUCUUGAAUUGAGAUUAGACAUUGCGAUUCAUUUGGUUUCACAUCCAGAAGAUAGAUAUUUCCAUGUCUUCGACCCAUGAAAGACUGAGUAGAGUCUUUACUGAUUCUAGAACAUAUUCAUUCUUGAAAGAAGAUCUUAAAACCAGUAUCACACAAUUGACUAAUGCUGAGAAGAUUGUAAUUGAGUCAUUCCACUAGGGAAACAUUACUUAUUGUGAGAUUUCCAAUUUUCACAGUUCCAAAUCCCACAAUACUUCCUUUGAUGUUUCCUCCAAAUGAAACUUUUCCACCAUUUACUUGAACAAGCUUUAUGAAGCAAUUUGAGUCUCUUGUCAUGUGUCUUGAGCAUCCACUAUCAAGAUACCACUUCACAUUUUUCUUGACGGAGACCUGCAUUUAAAAUAGAGUCUCAAGCUUUCUUUGGUACCCAAACUUUCUUGGGUCCUUUGGUGUUAGUAAGAUAAGCAGUAUUAGCCCAUGCUUUCUUAACAGGUUUCCAAACCAUAGGACACUCUUUUUCAAAGUGAUCCAGACUGUUGCACUUUGAACAUCUGAGAGCAUUUCGACCUACAGACUUUACAAAAACUUUCUUGAAAUGAUUUUUGUAAGCCUCUCUCGAGGGUCUUUUCUUAAUUCUUUCUUUUACUUUAGGAAAAUCAAUCAAGGGAAUUGUUUCUGCUGUCAUACCUAGACCGGACUUAUUGAAGUAAGGUCUUUGAGCUGAAAGAAUUUUUUCAAGUUUUUCGGACCCUAUUGAAAAUUUCUUUGAAAUAUUUGAUAUGUCAGUUUUUAAAAGAGCAUUUUCUUUCAAAAGAUUAUCUUCAUUUUCUUUAAGAGAGGAAACAGUCAAGUCUUGACUUUUAACUCUUUCUUCUAAAACAAUUUCCUUUUGUUUUAGAGUUGAGUUUUCCUUCUUAAGUUCUGAAAUUCUUUUGAGAGAAGUCUUAUUACUAAAACACAGUUCAUCAAUGUAUUNNNNNNNNNNNNNNNNNNNNNNNNNNNNNNNNNNNNNNNNNNNNNNNNNNNNNNNNNNNNNNNNNNNNNNNNNNNNNNNNNNNNNNNNNNNNNNNNNNNNAUUACUUGCCUCAAAUUCACUGUCUGAGUCUGAUCCAGAGUCUGAGUCUGAUUGUGCCAUUAGACAUAGGUUGGCAUUUCAUUAUCACUUUCUUCACACUCUGUAUCACUCCAGGUUUCGGCUUUGAGAGCUUUUCGAAACUUUUCAGCUUUUCCUUUCUUCUUCUUCAGAAGAGGACAAUUGGGUUUGAUGUGUCCCUUUUUCUUACAUUCAAAGCAAACUACAUCUUUGUUUGGUUCCUCAUCAUCAACAGACUUAGUCUGCUGUCUUUGAAAGCUUUGUUUCUUUGAGUUGAACCUUCUUCCUUUUCUAUUCAGUUUUCUGAAUCUUCUUAUCAUGAGGGCAAGCUCCUCAUCGUCCAUAUCAUCUUCAGAAUUUGUAUCAUCAGAAUCAUCAUUUGAUUUUAAUGCAAUAGAUUUCUUACCUUUUGGAUCUUCAUCAUCAUUGAUCCGUUCCACUUCAUAAGACUGAAGAGUUCCAAUCAGCUCGUCGACAGAUAAUGGCAUAAUCUUUGCAUCUCUCUUAUUGAAGUCUUUAUGUGAUUCCAAUCCUUGGAGAGUCCACGCAGUAGCUUGUUUACCUUCAUGGGAUCAGAAAUUGCUUGUCCUUGAUUCUCAAGACCAUUGACAAUAUCUGUAAAACGGCUAAACAUGUCAGUUAUAGAUUCUCCUGACUUCAUUUUGAAGGCUUCAUAUUGACCGAGGAGAAUGUUAAUUCUGGUUUCCUUCACUCGAUCUGUUCCUUCAUAGGUGAUAUGUAAUCUGUCUCAAACUUCUUUUGCUGUAACACAAGAAGAUAUUCUAUUAUAUUCAGUUGGUGACAAAGCACAAUAUAAAGAGUAAAUUGCUUUUGCAUCGAGUGCUUGUCUCUUGAUUAUCUCUUCUUGAGUCAUUCCGCUGGUCUCAACAGUUUCUUUCCCUCUUUUAGAGACUGAUGCAGCUGUAGGAGUAAUUCUUUUUUCUACAACGUCCCAUUCCAAAGGAUCCUUUGAUCAUAGGAAAGCUUUCAUCUUGUUCUUCCAAAUGUUGUAAUCCUUUCCAUCAAAGUAGGGUGGUCUGGUAUUGCUUUUCCCUUCCAUCAGCCCUGGUGCUAACAUACUAGCCAUGGAUCUUUUACUCUGAAGCAAAACACUUCAAAUAAAAUAAGUACACGAGCUCUGAUACCAAUUGAUAUAGCUAGUAUGAGUACCUAGAGGGGGUGAAUAGGUAUAUAAAGGAUUUUUCUUGAUAACUGCACAAUACUAGACAGUUGAUAGAUUUGAGACAAACGAUAAUCAAAGUAAGACUGAGAGAAGAGAAAAUUGAACACGCGGUUUAUAGUGGUUCGGCUUAUGUCAAGCCUACGUCCACUCUUCUGCACUGACAGCCUAUUGGCUGGAUUCCACUAUGAACAAAGAGAUGUUACAGUGUUGUUCUCUCUUGCUUUCUCGGUGUAGAUGAUCUACCACACUCGCUCAAGGAAUCACUAAGUAUAGACACUCUUUGUGUGUACAAUUUUGCUCAAAAUGUAUUGACUGAUAAUCAAGGUACUUCAGACUCUGGAAUUUCUCUAUCGAUCAUGCACUAAAGUAACUAGAACGUCUUCCUUUUAUACUCCUUUAUGCCAUCAUACCCGUUGGCACUUACUAAAGGAAUUCCUCCAAUCUACCCGUUGGACGGAAUCAAUCAAGAAGAUCAUUCGAGCUAUUAAAGGAACCUGACGAUAGCCCAUCAAUCAUGUUCGCCCAUACAAUCAAGAUCUUGGUUUCCAAGAAUAGAACCUUCCAAGAAUAUUUCGUCGACCAUCGGAUCUUCAAACGAUCUUGAAUACGAAUAAAAGAAUCCAUUAUAUUUAUCCAGCCAAGAGAUCUUCUCUAGAGGAUAAGACCAAAUCCUCAACCAAAUACUUUGGCUUUGGAUUGCCUUCGUCACUAGAUUAGAAGAACUGUCAAUGAGAAUAGUCUUGAGUCUUGAGUCUAGUGAUCCGAAAGUCUUCAGACUCUAAACCGAAGGUCUGUACUUAUCCAGACUAAACUGAUAGAAAUGUUUUGUCAGCUUCAAAAUAUUCUGGAAAGAUUUCUCCAACAGAACUUUCCAAGUAUACUUUGCCAAUCGACAGAUCUAAUUAUCCAAAUUGAUUUCAAUAAGAAUAUUUGAUCAUGAGAUGCUAUCUCCAGCCAUAAGAUCUUCUUCAACCAUACCAACCAAAUCCUUAAAGAUAAACUCGCAUUUGAAUAAAUCUUCUCUUCAUCGGUCUAGAAACUAUCAGUGAGGGUAGACUUUAAAUCUUGAGUCUGGAAGUCUUCAGACUUUGAUGAUAGAGUCUACAAGCCUUCAGACUAUACUGAUGGAAACGUUUUGUCAAUUUCAAAAUAAUAAAGAAGUUUUCUCCGACAAUCUACGCCAUUUUGAUGGUGACAAAACUUUCCCGCAAAUUUGAACACUUUUGUUCUGCAAAAUAACACUUAAGCAAAACAAGAUAUCUCAUAAAAUAUAAGAAGAUUAGGACAUGGAUAGUAAUGAUUUUGCAACCAUAGAAAACAUGUUAGUCCUGCAAAAUAACUAUCCUUCCAUAAUCAUUAUCAUAGCCUAAGUUACUGCAGGCAUCAAAAGAUUAAAUCAAACAGUCCAAAGUCAAAAAGUCCAAUCCACAACCAAAACAAAAGAUAAGUCCAAGGGUAAAAUAAUCCAAACCAACAAACAAAAGUCAAAUCUGCAUCAAACAUCUCUCCCUUUUUGUCAAUAGCAAAAAGUGGAGAACAAAUAAAAAGAGUUGUUUGAAAAUAGCGGGGUUUGAGUCAAGGCUGUUUGGGCAGGCAAACAAGCUGGAAUUCUCCUAUAGAAUUCACUGUCUUAUCAAGAUUUGCUAUAGUCUCCUUCAACGGUUAUGAAUCUUCACCCUUCACAUUUGUCUGUACUUGAGUCUUCAAGUCGAGUAGCCAUUCUUGCAGUGACACUGAAGUGGCCAUGAAAGCUUUCUUAAGAUCCUUCAUCUCAUACUCCAAACCAUAUUACUGUCUCCUCAAAUCCAACAUGAUAUCAAGCAGUCUUGAAAAGUUUGAUGUUUGUUCUAGUGCAGCACUAGGUCCAGCUGAGUCUAAUCUAGGAGUUUUGAGAAUAGAUGGCUCUUCAGCAGUUUGUCCACCAUGACUAGGAGUGGAUGCUUCUGGAUAAUGAGAGACAUACACAUCCUCUAGGUCUGUUGCAGAACGACUCACAUCACUAGUAAAGAUAUGUGAAAAAAUACAUCGUUUUUCAAUAACUUCCCCUAUUUGUUUACCUUCUAGUGGAGUGGUGAAUUCUUCUUCUUGUUCAACUUCAGCUUCAGAGUGAUUUUUUUCUUUUUCAUGCUCUUCAGCAAUUCCAUUUCCUAUCUUCUUAGAGUGAUUUGACAAGGAUAUAGCCAAAGUUGGCUCAAAAGAGUCAUCUUGAGCCUCUUCUUCCUCUUCCCUUCUUUCUUCUUCUCUUUGGUCAAGUCGAAGUGAAUAGGACCUCAGGCAUGUGUUAUGGUCCCCUGCUUACGAUUCUCAAAGACUUUCUCGAAAAUAUUGUUGAUUCAAGGAAGAAAUUCUCAAACUUGCUCGAAAAGGUGAAAUUUUUUUGGGUUAAUCGAGAGUGAAAGUGAAAGCAAGUAGGAGUUUAGUAUUUUAAGGUUUGGGAGUGAAAACGGAGAAGACGAAAUUGAACAGUAUAUAAAGCAAAUGAAGCGAGGUAAACGAAUCGUCAUAAAAAUGCCUUUUCAAAAAUGAAUAGCUGCCUUUUUGAAAAUGAAUAACUGCAUUUUUUAAAAUGAAUAACUACAUUUUUUGAAAAUGAAUAACUGCUAUAAAUUCAAAAACUUGGAAAGGUAAUUUCAAUAAAUUUGCAAUUAAAAAGUAACUGAACCUUUUCAAGCCUUUAAUCAAAAAUUAAAUUGCUAGAACCGAAAUAAUUUACAGUCGUAACUUUUGGUCUUCUAAGUCUGAACACCUUCAAACUUUACCUCUAAGUCUGAGCACCUUCAGACUUUAUUGGAUAAGAGAUGUGAUAUUCAAUCUGGUGCGAAUGGACUCAAAUAGGUUUUUCUUCAGUGGCUUUAUAAAUAUGUCUGCCAGUUAAUUCUUUGAAUCAUUGAACUGAAUCAUAACUUUUCUAUUUUGAACAUGUUCUCUAAUAAAGUGAUGUCGAAUCUCUAUAUGCUUUGCCCUUGAGUGAAGAAUUGGAUUUUUUGUGAGAUUAGUUGUGCUGGUGUUGUCACAUUUGAUCUCGGUGCAUAAAUCUUCGAUUCCAAAGUCUCUCAGUUGUUGUUUUAUCCAUAAGCUUUGAGAAUAGCAACUCCCAAGAGCCACAUACUCUGCUUUUGCUGUUGAAAAAGCUACAUUACUUUGCUUCCUUGAGGACCAAGAUACUGUCUUGUUUCCCAUCAAUUGACAAGUACCGAAAGUACUCUUUCUAUCAACGCUACAACCCGCUAAAUAUGCGUCUGAAUAUCUAAGGGGAGUAAAGUCUCAUUCUUUAGGAUACCACAAACCUAACUUUGAAAUAGUUGCAAUGUAUUUGAUGAUGCAUUUUGCAGCACUUAGAUGAGAUUCUUCGGGAUCUGAUUGAAAUAUAGCACAAAUGCAAACACUAAACAAAAUGUCAGGUCUAUAAAUAGUAAGAUAAAGAAGUGAACCAAUAAUACUCCUGUAAAGUUUCUGGUCAACUUUCUUUCCUCCUUCAUCUUUGUCCAGCUUCGAAGAACUUGAUAUUGGUAUCUCAGUCUUUUUGCAAUUCUCCAAUCCGAACCUUUUUAACGAGAUCUUUUGCAUAUUUUUCUUGGUGAAUGAAAAUUCAUUCCUUCAAUUGUUUCACUUGUAAUCCGAGAAAAAAAGAUAGUUUACCCAUCAUGUUCAUCUCAAAUUUAUCCUACAUAGACUUAGAAAACUUCUUGCACAGAUUUUCGUUAGCUGAUCCAAAUAUGAUAUCAUCAACAUAGAUUUGAACAAAUAAAAAGUUUUUACCUUGUCUUUUAAUAAACAAGGUAAUAUCCACUUUUCCUCUAACAAAACCAUUUUGAAUUAAAAAGUUACUUAACCUGUUGUACCAUAUUCGAGGUGCUUGCUUUAAUCCAUAUAGAGCUUUUUUCAGUUUGAAAACCGAGUCUGGUCUCUUUGGAUCUUCAAAUCCAAGAGGUUGUUCCACAUAGACUUCUUCUUGGAUAAAUCCAUUUAGGAAUGCACUUUUGACGUCCAUUUGGAAUAACCUAAAAUUUUUAUAACAAGCAAAAGCAAGCAAUAAUCUAUUUGCUUCUAACCUUGCUAUUGGUACAUAGAUCUCAUCAUAGUCUAUCCCUUCUUCUUGCGUAUAUCCUUUGGCCACGAGUCUUGCUUUGUUUCUAACCACAUUUCCUUUUUUCGUCCAUCUUAUUCCUGAAAACCCAUUUAGCUCUAAUAAUAAAUUUACAUUUUGGUUUAGGAGUUAGUUCCCAAACAUCAUUAAUGCUGAAUUGUCUCAGUUCUUCUUACAUAGCUUCAAUCCGGCUUUUGUCAGCUAAAACUUCUUCUAUGCUUUUGGGUUCUAUUUCAGAAAUAAGUGCCAUGGCGCUAGACUCUUCUUGCUUUUUGGAUCUGGUGCGAAUCCAUUCAUCAAUGUCACCAAUGCUGAGUUCUUUUGAAUGACUAGACUUGUGCUUCCAAUUACUGGUCGGUCUGACAGUUUGCUGAUCUUCUACUUUAGUUGAUUCUUCAACUUCCGUUCGUUGUUGUUCUUCAGAAGUCUGACCCACUUUAGGGGAGGUAGACUUUGUAAAGUCUGGAGCAAUUUCGGAAUCUUCAAGUUGAGUCUGAAUCAAUUGAUUCUGCAAAGAGUCUUGGAAUUUGACGUUCAUAGAUUCUUCCACAGACUGAGUCUUCUUUUUGAAUACCCUAUAGGCUUUGCUUGAAGUUGAGUAGCCAAGGAAAAUUCCUUCGUCUGAUUUCUCUUCAAACUUACCAAUUUGAUCAUUUGUAUUUUUCAAGACAAAACAUUUGCAACCAAACACAUGAAAAUAAGAAACAAUUGGCUUCUUUCCUUUGAAUAACUCAUAAGGAGUUUUCUCCAUAAUAGACCUUAAGAAUAUUCUGUUAAUAAUAUAACAGGCUGUAGAAACUACUUCAGCUCAAAAAAGAGAAGAAAUAUUACUUUCAUUAAAAGAGUUCUUGUCAUUUCUUGCAAAGAUCUAUUCUUUCUUUCCACAACUCCAUUCUGUUCUAGAGUGUAUGGGGAGGAGAAAAUAUGCUGAAAACCAGAUUUAUCACAAAAUCUGGCAAAGUCUUGAUUUUCAAACUCACCUCCAUAGUCUAUCCGUAUGCUUAAAAUAACAUAUCCUUUCUAAUUCUGAACUUUCUUGGCAAACUUUGAAAAGUCAGAAAAUAUUUCAAACUUACUUGCUAGAAAGUAAACCUAAGUAAAUUGAAAGUAAUCAUUCAUAAUUACUAGGCAAUAUCUCUUUCCACCAAUGCUUUGAGUUCUGGUUGGUCCAAAUAAAUCCAUAUGCAGAAGCUGCAAAAUACGAUUAGUAGAAACCUGAUUUAUUGGUUUGAAAAAACUUCUAACCUGUUUUUCGAACACACAUGGUGUGCAUAAGUCAGAUUUUUUAUAUUUCAGGUUCAGUAGUCCACAAACAAGCUUCUUAGAUGAGAUCUUGGCAAUUUGUUUCAUGUCAACAUGGCCAAGCUUUCGAUGCCAUCAAUUCGCUUAAUCUUGAAUUGAUAUUAGACAUUGAGAUCUUUCUGGUUUUAUAUCCAUAAGAUAAAUGUUCCAAUGUCUUCAUCCAGUAAAAGAUUGAGAAAGAUCUUUACUAGUUCCCAAACAUAUUCCUUCUUGGAAAUUAAUCUUGAAUCCAAUGUCACACAAUUGGCUAAUGCUGAGUAGAUUGUAAUUUAAUCAUUUCACCAAGAAGACAUUAUUGAUUGUGAGACUUCUAAUCUUUAUAGUUCUGCGCCUAACAAUACUUCAUUUGAUGUUUUCACCAAAAGAGACUUUUCCACCAUUUAUUUGCAUAAGUUUUAUAAAACAACUUGAAUCUCCAAUCAUGUGCUUCAAACAGCCACUAUCCAAAUACCAUUUAACUUUUUUUUUUUUUUAUAAUGACCUGCAAUUAAAGAUGGAACUCAAACUUUCUUUGGUACCCAUAUUUUCUUGGGUCCAGGAGAGUUAGUGCAAUAUACAGUCUUUGUCCAUUCCUUUUUAACAGGUCUUUAAACCAUAUGGCAUUCUUUCUUAAAAUAUUGUAAACUGUUGCAUUUUGAACAUUUGAGAAUACUUUAGCCAACAGGUUUUACAAAGACUUUUUAAAAAUGGUUUCUGUAAAAAGUUUUUGUAGGUCUUUGUUUGAUUCUUUUAUUUACUUUUGGAAAAUCAAUUCGAGGAAUAGUUUCUAAAGUCAUUUCAAAGCCUGGUUUGUUGAAAUAAGGUCUUUGUACUGAAAGAAUCUUUUAUAACAUUUCGGAUCCUAUUGAAAACCUUUUUGAGAUAUUUGAAAUGUCCCUUUUUAAAAUUGUAUUUUCUUUUGAAAGAGAGUCUGCGUUUUCUUUUAAAACAACAAAAAUUUUAUGUAAAUUUUCGAACUUUUCUUUCCAAGAAUUUUCCUAUUGCUUAAGUGUAGAAUUUUCCCUUUUUAGCUCGGAAAUCCUUUUAAGAGAGGUUUUGAAACUAAGACAAAGUUCAUCAAUAUAUUUCGAGACUUUAGUAGGAAUUUUUAAAUUGCUUACCUUGAUUUCGCUAUUUGAGUGUAAGUCUGAAUUUAUCUCAGAUUCUGAGCCUGAUUCUGAUUUUACUAUUAGACAAAUAUUGGCAUAACCUUCAUCACUUUCUUUGCAUUCAGUAUCACUCUAUGUGUCUGCUUUGAGUGCCUUUCUAUUUUUCUCAGCUCUUCCCUUCUUCUUUUUUCAACAAAGGACAGUUGAGUCUGAUGUAUCCAUUUUUCUUGCAUUCAAAACAUAUUACAUUUUUGUUGGCUUCAUCAUCCUCAGUUGAUUUGUUUUGAAAUUUUUGAGUGCUCUACUUCUUCCAAUUGAAUCUUAUUCCAUUUUUGUUCAAUUUCCUAAACCUCAUUAUCAUGAGUGCUAACUCUUCAUCGUCCAUAUCAUCUUCAGAAUCAGUAACAUCAGAAUCAUCGUUAGAUUUUAAAGCAAUUGAUUUCCUACUUUUAGGAUCUUCUUCCUCGUUGAUUUGCUCCACUUCAUAAGACUGAAGCGUGCCAACCAGCUUGUCUAUAAAAAGCAGUAUGAUCCUUUGAGUUUCCCUAAUAUUCAGGACAAAGCGUUCAGACCGGAUAAACCCGAUCCGACUCACUAACCCGACCCAAUCAGAUAAAAACGAAAUUUUUUUAGUUUUUUAGUUUUUUUUCUUUCUUUUUUGUCUUUUUGUCCUUUCCCUGUUUUAGCCAAUUCACUGCACUCCCUACUUCUCCACCCAACGUCCCCAUCUGCCGUCCUUUCUUCCCUUUUGUCUUUUUUCAAUUCUUUUCAUUACCCCUUUUUAUUUCUUUUUUCUUUUCUUUUCCUCUUACUUUUGUUUUCCCUUUUGGUCUUCUUCUUUUUCUUCGUGCAUCCCCUAUGCACGCCCGAAGUUAUCCAAACCCACUAAAGCCAAAGCAAACCCAGACUCAUUAAACUCAUCUCGGUGGAGGUCAGCUCCAUAGACCAGAUUAAACCCAUCGUCCAGCAUGACUCUUUUAACAUUCCGCACCAAAGUAUGAGUUCUAAAACAAAGCCCGCACUAACCUACAGCAACGCCCUUUUCAAUUUCACCAAAAUAAGCCCAACACCAUCUCCUAUUGGCCACUUUACUCAGCCUCACGCGGUCUUCUUGCUCCUGUUAUUGUAGAACAAAAAAGGAGCCGAAGAUGGAAUGUGAACUCCGGGCAAUCAAAGGGGUGAUAACACCUCCAAACUCCAACAUAACCGAGACUCCAUCACCACCCGACCAUCAUCUACUCUCACUUAUGAACAUGCCAACAUUUACCACACAAAGGCCACAAAGGCACAUUGAACCACAGAGUUAAAAAAUCCAUGUGUUGAGGUUAGUAAAAGAUCACCAUUAAGCAAAACCUAUCACAACACAUUUCAGCGACUGAAAAUCGGAGGAAAAUAUGUGCGACCUUGGUUCAAAUAUUUUGUCAAACAAAUGGUCUGCGGUAGCUCUGUAAAACCCAAAACGCAAACGGACUAACAAAAAGAACAAGUCUCGGUUUCUUGGCUUGGCCAAACUAGGGUGAGGCACCAAAAGAUUUGAGGAGCGAGCAUUUGGUCGUGGGGGUCCCUACCAGCUCACAGAUGGCGGCGGGAGGGCGAGCUCGAGAUGAAUCAAGCAAUGGCCGACCGCCCCCACAAUGUUUCCGAGGCGUGAUCCUCGGGAGAAGGGAGGUUCUUACCGGAAAAAUGAAACUCACUGGAGAGGUUUGGUUACAGGGGUGACCAGGUCGGAACGACGAGGAUAACGACCGGGGUCGUUGAACAAGACUCAGGCGCGCCAAUCGACCCGAGAACUCCUCGCUUUCAGUCGCUCUCCCUCAAUCGCCCCUUCUCCCAAAAAACCAUAUCCUCUCUCGGUUUCUCCAGUUCUCUCUCUCUCUCCGCGAACCCUCUCCUCUCGCAAAUGAGCGAGUCGCCCCCCUUUUGAGAGCAACCGGCCAGCGCGCAUGGCCUCUGCCGCUGCCAACUUGCCGGCCGAACUGCUCCCGACCCGCGGAUCACGCCGCCCGCUUGCCCCUCGCGAUCCCCUGCUCUCCAUUGCUGCUGUCCUCUCCUUUCUUUUCUGCAGGUCGCACGCGAAGCUCGUCCGGAGGGAGAAGACAAGCUGGGAUGGGCCGGGCCGAAGGGCAGGGAAGACUGGGCCAGGCCUGGUUGCGCGAAAAGGAGAAAAGGGGGGAAAAGAAGGAUGGGCUGGGCCGCGCAGGGAAGGAAGGAAGGGCGGGUUGGGUCGAGGUCGGAUUCGGCCCGACCCGGCCUCUCCCACGCGUUUUUUUCUUUUUGUAAACAUUUUUUAAAAACAUUUUUUACUUCUUUUUUUUCUUUCCUAUUUUUUUUUUGAGACUUUCAUUAAUAUAUGUUUGAGAAAAAAACUAGGUGUCGACAGGUUUAGUUGUGAACUCAAAUAAGAUUUUUCAACGUAGAAGGCUAGAAAUAAAGAAAGGAGGGCAAAUUAAGAAAUCAAGAGUUACACAAUUAAACUACUGCAAGAAAACAAAUGAUACUGAAUCAAUCAUUAUUAUUCAUUUAAGACCUUAUUUAUUUCAUGACAUGAAGGUAAACAAAAGAUGAGACACAUAACUUAGGACCACUAGUACAACACACUUAACUUAGUACCACCAAUACAGCUCAAUCAAACCACUCCACUUUUGCAUUACGAAGCUUUAUUAUGGUACUGCUAAGUCAUAAAGCAGCAACUUACUGGUAAUAGCUAAUCACACAGUAAUAUAUAUAUAUAUAUAUAUAUAUAUAUAUAUAU
rnacentral:lncRNA from 1 species